rnacentral:lncRNA from 1 species
UUUUUUUUUUUUUUUUUUUUUUCUGUGCCUAAUCUACGAGGUUCCCAUUAGGAGGAAACCACUUGAAAGUGCUAGUUACAAUUAAGUGACCAGUAUAUGGUAAGAGAUCAAAAUUGAAUUCUUGACUUCCCACUCCAAUAGGACUUUAAAGUCUUGGUGAUGACCAACAAUCCAAGAGGUUGUUGGCUAAGUCCAAGUCCUACUAUGGCCAUGUUUGGCACUUGAGUUUUUUUGCCAAGUUUGUAUGCUACAAGUUUUUUAAAAAUUUUAGUUACAGUAAUCUCAAAAACUUUUCAAAAAUUUUAAACUAUACACUUCAAAAUAUUCAAAAAUUUACACACUCAAAAAUUUUUUUAAAAACUUCUACAGUAAGUUACAGUAAAGUUUUAGACAAAUAUUCAAAAAACUCACUAGCCAAACUGAUAUAUGUGAUUCUUGACUUUUAAUUCCUUAGAUAAUUGGAAACCAGAUGGUCUAUAUAUUUGUAAUAGUAGUCGUGGCGUAUGUGCUGAGAGUGAAAAGAAAUAAAGAAGUUGUUGCUCCUCCACUUCGUUUUUUGCUGUCGCGAGUUUUUUUUAUAUUUUCUGUUGCCAAGAUUAUCGAUUGUGUGAUUCAUUUGUAUUAUUUAUACUAUGGGUUAUUUUUCUUACAAAAUGGUAUUAGAGCUUUGCAUGAGAUCUUAAGAAAUUGAAACAUGGAUCCAAAUUAUUUGCAAAAUUAUCACGUUUUUAUCUUUGAUGGUAAAAAUGAUUUUGAAACUUGGAGGAUAAUGAUGGGGAAUUUUUUUCAAAACUAUUGGAAUUUAGGAUAUUGUCGAAAUGGGAUACACGGAACCGGCUGCAGGCACCAAAUCAUCAAGCGAUAUGGUUAAAGAAUUAGAGAGGAAUAGACAGUUGGAUUACAAGGCACUAUACUAUCUCAACACUCAAGUCCAAUUGCAUGUAGCCCAAAACUUCAUACAUGCAAAGUCAGCAAAAGAGGUUUGGACAAUUUUGGUGAACUCAAAUUGGAGCGCUACUAAUGUGAGAAAAAUUAGAUUGCAGGAACUCAGUAAACAGUUUGAGUUGGCCCAGAUGAAACUCACGGAAUCAGUUAAAGAUUUUAUUGGCACAAUUAAAGAAAUUGUCAAUGAUAUGGAGUCCAAUAGUGAGAAUUUGGAAGAAGUUGAAGUUGUUGAAAAAGUCUUAUGAUCUCCAACUGCCAAAUUUCAUACCAAGAAGAUGGUCAUUGAAGCCACAAAGGACUUUGAUAAAUUGUCACUUGCUGAAUUGGAGGUGAAUUGCUAACGUAUGAUAUGUUCCUGAAUCAGCAGCCAUCAGAUAUAUUAGAGGAGGUGUUAUAAGUCAAGGUGGAUCACCCAAAAGAAAAAGAGGAGAUGAAUCAUACGGACACAAAUCAAAGGGGUCAGAAUUUCAGAGGCAGAGGACGUAGGGGUAGAGGUAACUUUCAUGGUUGUGGUAGAGAUAAUUAUUCUGACCACCCCAAAAAUAAUUCUAAUAGGGAUCAACAAAAUAAUCAACAGUAGAAUCAAAGAAAUAAUUUUCAAAGGCAUAAUAGAUCUAAUAUCCAAUGUUAUAAUUGUGGUAAAGUUGAUCAUUAUCAGAAUGAAUAUUGGUCUAAUAAAGAGGUACAUGUUAAAUGGCUGAAAAUAGUGAUGAUAGAUAGGAUACUUUGUUGAUUUCUAGUUUUGCAACUGAAGAGUCUAGGAAGAAUGAUUGAUUUAUUGAUUCUGGCUAUAGUAAUUAUAUGUGUGAUAAUAUGGAGAUGUUUUCUAAUUUGGAUGAAUCCUUUCAUAUAUUUGUGAAAUUUGAAAAUAAUAAAGGGUGUCGAUUCUUGGAAAAGAGAAAAUUAGAAUUAUCUUGCAAGAUGGGUCUUCGAAUUAUAUAUCUGAUGUUUUCUACGUGCCAAGUUUAUAUUAUAAUUUAUUGAGUUUGGGAUAACUGUCUGAGAAAUGUUAUGAUCUGCAAUUUAAAUAUGGUGAUAGCACUAUAAGUGAUGAAAAAUUGGAAUUAAUUGCCAAGGUAAAAAUGAACCGUAGUCGUUUGUGACCUCUUUCUCUUAAUUGUGGUGAUUUACCUUGCUUUAAUUCCAUGACUUAUGAUGAUUCUUGGUUAUGACAUAUGCAGUUUAGACAUUUGAAUUUUAGGAGUUUGAAAGUUUUUGCAAGAAAGAAAUUGGUUAUUGGGCUACCAUGUAUUGAUUUUUUUGACAAGAAGUGUGAGUUUGUAUUUUGGGAAAGAAGUAUAGGGAUUGUUUUCCAAAAGGCAAAGCUUGGAGGGCAAAUCGACCAUUUGAACUAAUUCAUUCAAAUUUAUGCACAGUUGAAGUUCCUUCUAUUUGUAGUCAUAAGUAUUUUAUUAUUUUCAUUGAUGAUUUUAACAGGAAGACCUGGGUGUAUUUUUUGAGAAAUAAAUCUGAUGCAUGUGAUGUGUUUAAAAAGUCCAAGUAUUAUGUGGAGAAGCAAAAUGGUUACUUUAUUAAAAUUUUAAGAACUGACAGAGGUAUCGACUAUUUUGUUUGUGAUGAUUAUUUGGUAAAAAGUGAUAUAAAACACUAAUUGACAGCCCUAUAUUCACCUCAGUAGAAUGGUGUGACAUGAAGAAAAAAUGGGGCUGUGAUGGAUAUGGUGAGAUCUAUGAUGCACUCCAAAGGUAUUCUUAAAUUCUUUUGGACAGAAGCAGUAUCUUGUGCUAUUUAUAUUUUAAAUAGAUGUCCUACGAGAUGAAAUUUUAAGAAGACCUCACAAGAGAUUUGGACUGAUAUGCAAUCGAAUAUUUCUCACUUCAAAGUAUUUGAUUGUCUUGCGUAUGCACAUAUUCUAGAUCAUUUGAGGAAGAAAUUGGAUGACAAAGCAAAUAAGUGUAUUUUUAUUGGUUGUAGUCAUAAAACUAAGGGGUAUAAAUUGUUCAAUUCAGACACAGAAAAAGUGAUUGUUAGCAGGGAUAUGACUUUUAAUGAACAUAACACUUGAAAUUGGUCCAGAAAAUAUCUUGAAACAUUGUCAAAAUAUCUAUCUAUUUCUCCAGUUAUAGGAGUAAGUUCUAUUAAGCAACCUAUAGACACAGUUGUGUAGUCUCAUGGUGACCCCUCAACUUCUACUAUGCAGGUUAAGAUAUCUAGUCAACCACAGAGAGAACGCUGCAUGUCAGUUCGAUUUGAUUUUUAUAUUGUUAGUAAAAAUGAUGAUUUAUCUGAUGAAGAUAUUGUAAAUUUUACUCUUUUGGUAUAUUGUGAUCCUGUCUCAUUUAAUGAAACUGUCAAAGAUGAUCGUUGGAUUCGUGCAAUGGAUGAAGAAGGUCAUGCCAUUAAGAAAAAUGAUACACGGAAGUUUGACCACUAUCCCACCUGAAAGAAGCCAAUUGAAAUGAAAAUGGGUAUAUAAGUCCAAGUACAAGCCCACAGAAGAGAUGGAUCGCUCCAAAACGAAAUUAGUUGUCAAAGGUUAUAAGCAGAAAUAGGUAUUUGAUUAUUUUGAAAUUUUUGCUCCAGUUGCCAGACUUGAUACUGUUUGUAUGAUUGUUUCACUUGCUGCCAAUAAUUGCUGAGAAAUUCAUCAAGGGAUGUGAAAUCUGCUUUCUUAAAUGGUUUUCUUGAAGAAGGGGUAUAUAUUGAGCUACCUAUAGGUUAUGUUACAAAGGGUCAAGAAGACAAAAUUUAAAGAUUAAAGAACGCAUUAUAUGGGUUGAAAUAAACUUCUAGAGUUUGGUAUACUCACAUCGAUACUUACUUUGUUGAACAUGAUUUUCUGAAAUGUCCAUACAACAUACUUUGUACAUCAAAUUCAACCUUGGAGGAGAUGUUCUUAUUGUAUGUAUAUAUGUGGAUGACUUAAUAUUUACAAGCAACAAUUCCAAACUAAUUUCUGAAUUCUGGAAGGCCAUGAUCAGUCAGUUUAAAAUGAUAGAUUUGGGAUUAAUGUCUUAUUUUCUUGAUAUUGAGGUUCGUCAGUUGGAUGGUAAAAUUUUUAUUUUAAAAAGAAAAUAUGCAGGUGAUAUUUUGAAAAAAUUUAAGAUGGAUGUGGCUAAACCAAUGAUGACCCCAGUUGAAGAAGAGCUAAAAUUGACCAAAGAUGCGUUGGUGAUUUUGUUGAUGCUACCUAUUUCUAGAAAUUGGUAGAAAGUCUCAUAUACUUGAUUUUUACAAGGCCUGACAUCACUUAUGGAAUUGGUUUGGUUAGUAAAUUCAUGGAAUCUCCAUGCCGAUCCCACUUGCAAGCUGUUAAAAGGAUUUUGAGAUAUGUUCAAGGUAUGCAAUCUGAUUGUAUAUUUUACAAAUCUUCGCAUGGUGGCAACCUUAUUGGAUAUACUGACAGUGAUUGGGUUGGUGACACAAUACAAAGGAGGAACACUUCUGGUUAUACAUUUUAUUUGGGAUUUGGUGUAUUUUCUUGGUUUUCAAAGAAACAAAGGUGAUUGCUUUGUCCACAGCAGAAGCAGAAUACAUGGCGGCUGCGAGUAAUGCUACUCAAGCACUUUGGUUGAGGAGAAUGUGUGAGUACCUGAAAAUUUUCUUAUUUUAUCGAAUAUUAUUGGUUUAUUUAAAUAUUUAUUCACCUGUUUUCUCUGAAUAAUUCAUUUCAAUCAUUUUAAGUCCAUUUGUAUGGAACGAUAUCUCCCUUAUGUUUUUAAAACGUCCCGUUAGCAAAUUCAAUUUUUCGGAGGUUCGUUUAAGUGAGAAAUAACGAGUACACGUUUUUCAAAACUAUAUUUGAAUCGAGAAUGUAAUAAUUUUUGGAGAAUUACGAAUGAUUAAUAGUAGAUUAAGAAAAAUUAAUUGAAUAAUUAAAGGUGAAUGAGUUCUAAUUAAGCGCAUACCGCUCGCGCGUCGAUAGUUUUUCGAAAGACCCGCUGAUGCAAAUUAAUUGGAGAUUUGAGAAAGUAAUACUAGACUCAUGUGAGAACUCAUGUUUUUAUUACUAAAAUAGGUAAAUUUUAUGUCUAAUUACCCUAGUAUUAAUUAGUUAUAUCAUUGUUAUAAGAAUUUCUUAGAAAUUUCGCUUUAUCGCGCACAAGUCGGAAGUACACGUUUUCGCGCGCGCGAUUAAUUGAUGGACUUUGGACAUUUAUUUUUAGACUAUUAAGAGUAAAUAAUAAUAGUGUUAAUGGAAGUGCAUUAGAAGUUUAGUGCACAAGUGUAACUAACCCGAGAGGAAACGGGCACGAAACGCGCGUGUACGCGCACUAUUGGAGAGUUGACUUUUGUGCACCUUAGAGCCAACUACUAAGCUUACUCUAGAAGCUUUUGAUCAGCAAAACACUCUCUUUUUUCUCUCUCAAACAGCCGGCCACACCAAGGAGAAGAAGGAACCAAAACUUCUUCAUCAUCUCACUCAAUCUUUCACCAAAUCACUUCAAAUUCAUACCACAACUUGCAAACAACUUGGUGAUCAUCUUGGACUAGGAGAGGAGCUUCAUUCUCACAGUUUUCUUGGAGCUCUAAGGACCGAAAAUUCGGAGUUCAUCAUCUAAGAAGGUAGCAAACCAUCCAACCCUUGAAACUUGAUUAUUGUAAGUUAGAUUAGACUUAGAAACUUGUAGCUUCAUGUGGGUAGUUUUAGAUGGUUGAAAAUCAUUUGAGUGGGCUCUAUGAAAUCUCACAAUGGAUUUAAUGAUCUGAUUUGAUGAGUUUGGAUGUUAUUUGUGUUGAUUAAGUGUUAAUCUAGUAGAGAUAAGUGGAAAAAAUGAAAAGAAAGUCAAAGGAAGUGAUGCAUGAAGAAGGGCCGAAUCUGUCCUGUUCUUGUCAAACCUUUGGUGCGAUUUUUUUGUGGUUAAAUUGACUUGAUUUUGAUGUAGAUAUGUUGUAUAGGUUGUGUGAAAAGUUUUCACUAAAAAUCACUUGAUUUGAUUGAGUAAAUGUUUGGAUUUCGAAAUUUAUUCAUGGCUGGAAAACGUGUCCAGAGUUACUCUGGCAGUGAAUUUCAAAUGACCAUAACUCUUUACUCCGACGUUGAAAUCAAGAGCUGUUUGUGGCAUUAGAAACUAAACACUUCUAGUUUUUUAACGGUAUAAAAUGUAUCCCCUGAUUCCACUUGAGUUAACCGUACCAGCCUUUCAAAAUUACCUGUCCUGCUUCAUUGCUGUGUUAGAAAACCUGUUAUUUGCUGUGACUUGUUGCUCAAAUAUGAGCUAGUUAUGGACAGAAUUUCAAAAUGAUUUCUUCUGAGAAAUUGUAGCCCUAUGGACAGAAUUGUAGCCCUAGUUAUGAUUUCUUCCAAUGCCAUUAACCACGCCCAAUUUCAAAUUGAAUUGAGUGAGUUAUGGCCGAAUUACAGAACUGCAUCAGAGAAAGAAAACCCUAAUUUUGGGUUAGCCAAUAGCUUAUUUCGAAUUGGGACUUGUUAUUUUGAAACUUUUGAUGUUAAUCACCUACCAAAUAUAUUUUGGAUAUUUCUUAGACCUUGUCCUCAUAAAUGAACUGGAUUUGAGUUGAUUUCAUUGGCCAAAGGUUAGAAAAAGGAAAACGGAAGUACAAGGCAGAUUUGCCUUGGAAAUUCUUGGAACUUUAGUGGCUUUGUUAACUGACCUUCCGUACCAAUGUUUGCAUGAAAUUUGACAGAGAAAUAGCUCUUAUAUGGUAGGGUAAUACUACCAAAUUUGGUGCCAUUCCAAGUCCAUUUCGAUGCCCAACCAAAGUCUCAAAGUUCAUGUUUCAAAUCUGGAAAACUCUUGUUCAGUGAGAAAUUUUCAGCAAUUUUGAGCCGCUAUAUCUUGGUGCUCAAAACUCUGAUUCUUGUUUUGUUGAUUGUGUUUUAAACUUUGAUUAUAACUCUAAUUGAGUUCCAAAUUUCAGAGACUAGUUCGCAUUCUGUGAAUUUUGCCGAAUUUUUUAAGUUUGCCGAAAAUCAACUCCAAAUCUGUCCGGGGAGUCCAAAUCAGCAACUUUGAGCCAAAUUUUGAGUGUCUUCCAUUUUGAAUCAUGGAAAAGCAUCUUCCAGGAAUUUUUAGUACUUUGGAAGUAGUUUCCGAUGGUAUCAAUUUUCCAAUUUUGAACCUACAUAGAGUGAGAUACGAUUUUUCAAAGAUUGCUUGUCAAAUUUGAAAUUUUCGAACUUAAAGGAAAUUGAGUAUUUAGAACUCUCCAUUUUUCUUCGAUAUCGUUUGACCGUUUUACCCUUGAUUUCAAAGAUGAAAAUCAAAUUCUCCUUGUAUUACUAAACCCUAUUUUUAAGUCUCGAUUUACGAGUAAUUAAGACUCAUUUUUAUGAUAUCUUCUUAGAUUGUAUGUGAGUGCAAUCUUUCUUGAUAAUUAGGGGUUUUAACCGAUAGUGUGUAAUAGUUAAUUGUUAAUUGCUCAGGCACUCAAGAGGACCUUCAAAAGGAUCUCACGGUGGACGCCUGAACCCUCAAGCGGGCACACUUGUUUUUUUUUUUAUUGGUGAGUGUCAAGUGCAUGAAAUACGUGUUAAUUGUUAUUGAUAAUCAAAUAUUUUGAAAAUGCUGAGUCGAGUGUGUACUUUACCGCACUCAUUCUCAUUUGAAUGAAUCGUGAUUGAAUUGAUUGAAGUAUAUGGAAUGAAUUGAAUGAAAUGAAUGAUUGAAAUAUAUUGAAUGAAUGAAAUGGUAUGCUAUGGCUACAUACGUCGUUGGAGUGAAUCUCCUCGACUCAUAAAUGUUGAUUGGGGGACGCCCAAUUCUCACUGGCCAACCUUGGACUCAAGCCGGCAUGGGCUUGGUCGAGCUCCUUGGUGAACCAUGAGAAAACAUAAGCUUGCCCUAUUGAGAGGUCUUACUUGGCAUACUCGACUAGUAUCGCCUCAAACAAGCGCCAGGCGAGUCCGGUACAGGGGUAUGUAAUGGUGAAUGGGAACAUGAUAAGUGAAGUUCUACGGACUAUAGCCUACCCGAUUGACUGAGUGUCAAUCGUGGAGGUUUUUGAUCGUGCAAGUGGAAAAAUAGCUCAUGAGAGCUCCUAUAUCCUUGAAUUGUUUCUGUUUACUUUUCUAGUUCGAAUUGUUAAUUACUUAAAUAUUAUUGUUUACUCGUUAAAUGGGAUUGUUACUUGAACAACGUGCUUGCAUGUGUGUUUUCUUGGCUUCACGAGCAAUUGCUCACCCCGUAGAUUUGUUUUCCUUAACAGGAAUGGACAUGGAAUGAAAUUUGGAGAAACCUCUUUUGAUGUACUUUUGUAUUAAGGUUUCAAAUGUAAAUGACUAGACAUUUUGGCUGUUGUAUAUUUUGGGAAUUAAUGUAUCUUUUAGAUACUUGAUGUAAGAAUUGGAUAGCUGAUAUAUUUUGAACUCGUGGUGUAAGACUUGGAUAUUCAAUUAUGGAAGCGACUUUUCUUUAUUUGGCUUGUAAUAAUCAUUAUGUAUUAUUAAGCGUGAAUCGAAUUGUCUUGAGUCCUGGCGAGAGUUGGGCAGGCAUCUCGCAGAUAUUCUUUGAUUCGCCUUAAGGAGAAGUAGGGGCGUCAUAGAAUGCUUGGGUUUUUACAACACAAGCAAAAUGGUCCUACCAAAAUAUUUUGUGAUAGCAUGUCUGCUAUUGAGUUAACAAAAAAUCUAGCUUUUCAUGAGUGCAGCAAACAUAUUGACAUCAAGUAUCAUUUUGUUCAUGAGUUGGUUCAAGAUCAAGAGAUUGUCAUUGAUUAUUGUAGAAGUGAAGAUUAAGUAGCUGACAUUCUGACAAAACCACUCAAGUUGGAGAUGUUCAUGAGGUUGAAAAAGAUGCUUGGCAUGAUGAAGUUUGAAGACCUUAAUUUAAGGGAGGCAAUGUAGGAUGUUAAACCAAGCUCUUAUUCUUAAUUGGUUUCCGUUAGUUUAAAGGUUUCUUUAUAAGUGUUAGGCUUGUCCAAGUUUCAGAGUCCAAGUCCUACUAUCUAUGUGAUUAAGAGUGGAAAAGAAAUAAAGAAGUUGUUGCCUCCUCCACUUCGUUUCUUGCUCUGUCGCAAGUUUUUUUUAUUUUCUGCUGCCAAGACUAUCAGUUGCAUGGUUCGCUUGUAUUCUUUAUCCUAUGGGUUAUUUUCUUACAACCCUCCUUUAUCUUCCAUUUGGAGUCUAAUUGCUCCUGCUCCUUUACAUAUGUUUGUUCUUAUAAUCAUGGCAAAAGCAAUUUCGAGUUUUGAGAGACUGCUUGUGGGGGCUGACCUCAAUAUAUUAUGGGUUUCUAACAGAAUUCUGGGCACGUAUAGUUGCUUUAGGAUCAGUUGUCUAGAGGAAAAUAUUGCACCAUUGAAGGUUUUAUUCAGUACAGGUGGGUGAACAAUUAUCGGUUAGACUAUGUUAGAACCUACUGCCAUAAUUACCUAAUGGUUUAACUUAACCAACACCCCUUGUAAAUAUUGAAAAUUUUGAUUUAACAGUUUAGCUUUAUAUUGUAUUCUUUUCUCUGUAACUCUCCCAUAUUAGUUAAACCAGAGUCUGGUUAUAAGCUCCAACUAGCGAAUCAGCAGACAUAGUCGAAUAAACUACUUUCAACUCAAUUAUACCAGCUCAGAGCAGUUUUUAGUCACUAAUUACUAUUUUUCAGUCACAAACUACACCUUUUAUUAAGAUAAGCAAAAGGAAAUUACAAAUAGAGGUAAUCCAUUGUAGUACAGAACUGCAAACAAGCAGUAAUCCUAACACAGGUAGCUAGACACUUUCACCUAUUUAUCAAACACAACAAACGGCAAACACUACUGCAGGACAAGUUCUCAUGAUUCCUUUGGAUACCUUUUCGAGUAGCACAAGCCCCUUGUACUGUUGCACAUCCUUCACAAUGGCCUUACUUACAUACACAACAUGAUUCACAAAGAUUUGCUAAUGGAUUGAUUUGUUCCUUCCUUUCUAUACAUGUAAACAAAGGCAGCUAAGGCCAACCUAGUCCUACAAACUUGUGCUACAUUCCAUGAACAAGAUACAGUUCAAACUCUAGCAACCUUGAAAAUAUGUUAUAAGCUCUGAGACUAAUGAAAUAGGAAAGCAAAAAGAAAAAAAAAAGGAAAAUGACUAGCUGACACCUCAACUAGAUGACACAAAACAUAACCCUAAUUAGUAGCAAUUAAGGCUCUAUUUCCUCAAAUCUUCCCUUGUAUGUCGUUAUUCCAUUUAGAAAAUUAUAACUUAAAAGAAGAUUUCAAAAUCAAAAGCAAAUAAAAAACAAUUCCAACGAAAAUACAUAGUUGUUUUCAGCACAACUAUGUGGAAUUUCUUUUAGUCUUUGUUCAACUAUAAACAACCUUCUUACUAUUUUGAUAGCUAAUAGUGUAUUAUUGAAUUAUUUAUGCUGUUCAUACAUAAAAUCAACAGGUUUCUUUUAAGACGACUUUUAUACAUCUUCGGUGGGAUGGUCAAUCUUGGAAAGGUACAUCCUAGUUAGUGACCAAACUCAUGAUGGUUACGAUAUAGGAACAAAGGGAGCAAAUCAGAUGAAGCAUCAAUCACCUUGGACCAUAAGGCCAAGAAAAUAGGGUCACAAAUUUUGACCUUCCCUGGUCUUGUUGAACAACAAUUAUGCAUCUAUUCAUAGAACUAGAAUUCGUAACAUCCUUGCCUACAAAGAGGGACCUAAUGUUCUCAAUUAAGGGUUCUGUCAAUUCAAGCCGCUCGCGAGUAGCUCGCGAGCGGUUUGGUAAAAAGCUUGACUCGAGCUCGGUAAAAUCGAGCUCGAGCUCGAGCUUGAGCUACUCGUUACAUUUAACGAGUUGAGUUCAAGCUCCUAAAAUAACUACUCGAGUGCUCGAUGAGCCUAAUCGAGUUUUCGUAUAAUAUAUAUAUUAUAUAUAUAUUAAGUAUGGAAUGACUAUUAUGGGUAUGUGUUUUAAUAAAUUUACAUGAAAUAAUGUUUAGUUAAAAAAAGUGAUGGAUGGUAAAAUGGUAAUGUGAUAAAUCUAAAAUGUAAAAAAUUAAAAACAAGAAAAAAAAAAUCACUCUCGUUUACCUUAUUGUCUGAACCCUAAACAAGAAUGCACUCUCACAAUCUCACUUUUAAAGUUCAAACCUUUAGUACUUCAUCGCAGCUCGCAGGUGAGCAAAAACCAACAUCGCCGUCGUGCUUUGCUUCUCCUUUUGGUUUCAACUUCACAAAUCACAACAUGGUCCCGCUGAUUUUCUCCUCUGCACUUGUAGCAUGACUAGCGGCGAAAUGUCACUCAAUUGUAAAGCACCUUGCAGCCGGCAGUUAAUGCAGCUCAUUUGAGGUAAUAAACGACUGGCCUUGGUAUUUGGGUGUGAAUUUUUGAGUCUAAGUUCCCAUUCUGCUUCAGAAAAUGAAAACCUAAUUUUGGGUCUUUGGUAAAAAUUGUGGGUUUUGUUGACAGUGAAUAGAAGCUAUUAAAUAAGCAAUUUGCGGCUUAAAUUUAAGGUGGAAUCAAAAUGGAGUAAAAGCUAUUGUAAAUUUUUGGAGAAAAAAUGCAAAGUGACACUGGCCCUUCUACUGGUGGUUCAAGAUUAGCUGCUGUACCUCAGGGACUAGGUAACCUACUGAUUCAUUUUGCACUUUGUCUCUGUUCUUUCUCCACGAGUCUCAGGGACUAAGAGUAAAAAAAAGAGAUAGGAAAGAAGCUUUCUUGAAACUGAUUUCAUUUCCCCCGUGGAUAUAAUCUUUGUUUUUUUAUUGUCAAGCAUUAUAUAGUGUGCUUUACUUUACUAGUGAUAGUGGAUUGUGCACUACUAGCAGAGGGACCACACUUCACCUAAAAGCAUUUUGCUAUAUCCCGUAUGAAUUCCUGAAAGCAUUUUGCUGUCCUUGGCAUUUUGCUUUACUUUACUAGUGAUAGUGGAUUGUGCACUACUAGCAGAGGGACCACACUUCACCUAAAAGCAUUUUGCUAUAUCCCGUAUGAAUUGCUGAAAGCAUUUUGUUGUUCUUGGCAUUGAAUUAGUGGCCCCCAACAAAAGAUUUGUGCAAAAGACUAAGUUGACUGCUUAGAUUUUGGCUCAUUGUUUGGUUUUGAAUGGACCUUGCCCCUAUGCAAUUGGCUAAACCGACAUGUAAUGUAAUUUGGCAUGUUCUUGGUUGAUGAAAAACCAACAUGUAAUCCUUGUAGUUUAGGACUUAAUGAUUCCUGUGAGAUUAAUGUACUAAUAGUUUAAGACUUAAUCAAGUUUAUGAUUUUUUUUUUUUUGGCAAAUUGAAGGUGGAUGGAGUCCACCUGAGAUUCCUUCUAUCCCUCAGCUAUCAAAUGCUGGUUCAUCCUCUCCAAUAUUGCUCGAUAGUCCUAUUUUUGUUAGCAACAACACAACUCCAAAUCCAGAAAUACAUGUGACUGAUCAAGGAACUGAAAAAACUCCAGUUGAGAAUGAAGGAAUACAAGUGAAUGCUAUGGAGAAAAAUGUAACAGAAGGAGAGCAAGAUAAAGGUGAUGAUGAAUUUCAUAUUCCAAAAAGAAGUAAAACAUCACAAGUUUGGGAUGACUUUGAAGAAAUUGAAGAAAAUGGCACUUUCUAUGCCACGUGCGUCCAUUGUAGGAAAAAACUUUCAAGGGGCAAAUCUAAGCAAACUUCAAGCAUGUUAAGGCAUAGGAUUUCAUGUUCAACUAGAAAAGUGCAUCUUAGAAUGGUAGCACAACAAACAAAACUAAAUUUUCAGCCAGCUGAUGAGAUAUUUUCGACUUUACCGGCAUUACAUACUGGUAAGUUUGAUAUGGAGGCAAUGAGAGAGGCUGCUGCACAUUGGGUGUUAAUGCAUGAGCAUCCAUUCACUAUCUUGGAGGAAGAAGGUUUUAACAUCAUCAUGAGACGGGGAAUGCCAGAGUGGCAAAAGAUCUCCCGAGGAACAGCAAAAAAUGAUUGCGUGACAGUCUAUGAAGUUGAAAAGAAGAAGUUGAAGAACAAGUUGAAGCAUGUGCAAAAAGUGAGCAUCACAACCGACCUUUGGAAAUCUAAAAAUCAGAAAAUAGAGUAUAUGGUCAUCACUGGACAUUGGAUUGACUCAAAUUGGAAGCUUCAGAAGAGAAUUCUCAAUUUUGUUCACAUACCACCACCUCGACGUGGGGUGGAGAUUGCUGCUGCAAUUUUUAAGUGCGUGAAGGAAUGGGAAAUUGAUCACAAGAUACAUACUAUAUCAGUCGAUAAUGUCUCCAAUAACGAUGUUGCUAUCCGACUUUUGAAGGAUGACUUCUCUAGAUCAAAAAAGCUGCUAUGUGGAGGCAAACUUUUUCAUGUUCGAUGUUGUGCACACAUCUUGAACCUUGUGGUUCAAGAUGGCCUUUCCAAGAUGGUGGACAUCACCAACAAUAUUAGGGAAAGUGUGGAAUUUGUCAAUCGCUCCGAGGGAAGAGCUUUGCUGUUUGCUGAAAUUGCCCAACAGCUCCGAAUACCUGGAAAAAAAUUGCUUUAUGAUUGUCGGACUAGAUGGAAUGCCACAUUCGAGAUGCUGAAUUGUGCCAUCAAAUUUAGAGAUGUUUUUCGCCGCUUUCAAGAUAGAGAUCCACUUUAUGAUUUUUGCCCAUCUCCUGAUGAUUGGGAUAAAGUAGAAAAGGUUUGCUCUAUCUUGGAGAAAUUUUGGACAGCCACACAUAUUAUGUUUGGGACUGAUUAUCCUACAAGCAACUUGUUCCUUCAAGAGGUGGCAAAAAUUAAGAAAGUUUUAGAUGCUCAAGUCAACAAUGAAGACGACUUCAUCCGGGCCAUGGUAACAAAGAUGAAAUCCAAGUUUGAUAAAUAUUGGACUGUAAUUUGCUAAUGGCAAUUGCUGCCAUUUUAGAUCCGAGACAGAAAAUGCGAGUUGUAGAGUUCUCAUACCCUCAAAUGUAUCCUCCUUUCCAAGCUCAAGAGCAUAUUUCAAAUGUUCGAAAAGUCCUAUUUGAUCUUUAUGAGGAAUAUGUUGCUUUAAUGGCAAGUAUAGAAGGAACAGCAAUGGAAGAUUGUUCUUUAGAAGGGCGGCGAAAAAAUGCACCAGUUUCUUCUUCUUGGGAUGAUUUCGAUGUCUAUUGUGAUGAAGUUGAGACUAACGAACCCCUUAAGUCGGAACUGGUUGAUUAUUUAGAUAAGCCUCGCCAAAAGACUGGAGCAGACCUGAAAGCAUUUGAUUGCUUGGAAUGGUGGAAAAUAAACCGAAUUUCCUAUCCAGUGUUGUCUCAAAUGGCUUGUGAUAUCUUGGCCAUUCCAGUAAGUACAGUGGCAUCUGAGGCAACGUUUAGUGCCGGAACUCGAGUAAUAGACUCCUAUCGAGCUUCACUUCACCCGAAAACUGUUCAAGUAUUGCUGUGUGCCGGAGACUGGUGUAGAAAUCUCCAUGGAAUCAAAAAGAAAAUGAAGGUAAUAUUCAGUAUUUUAGUAUUCGAGACCACUAUUUGUGCAUAAGUUACUCAAUUUAUUAUUUUCUAAAUUAUUUCUAACUUUUAAUGUUUUGUUUUCUUUCUCUUUCUUCUAAUAUGCAGCAAGUUAAGAUAAUUAAAGAAGUUGAGUUGCCGAAAGUAUGAAGAUGUCUCUCAAACAGCCAGGUUUAGUAGUAUGGUCCUUAUGGAAUCUUGUAGUUCUUAAUUGUUUUUUUCUUACUUUUGUCCUUUAAAUUGAUACAACUGCAUUCUUGAUAGGACUGCAAUUUUUGAAUCUUGGGUUGGCUUCUGAUGCGUACUAGGAUGCCAAGCAGACUAGCACCUUUCUUUUGUUAAACAAGCUGUGGUUGCACUUGUCCUUUUGAAUCUUGAUGCAUACUGGAAUCUUGUGUGCUUGUCUUGCGGUGUUGUUCAUUUUUUGAUAUCUUGAUGGACUGAUCAGUGGUAGUUCAAGCUGACUUGUUACUUUUGUAUUUUGUAAUGCUCGAAACUUUUGACACUAAUUUGGGAUGUUAACUGAUCAGUGGUGGUUCAAGUCUAUUUCGACAUCUUGUUAACUUUUAUUUGUGAGGAUGUUAACUGAUAUUAUCUGUACUUUGAGAUGAAUUUGAAAAGGCAAACCUGUUUCAUUAUAUACACUUGUUAGUCAUGGUUUAUAUUCGAAGUCUGGAAAUCUGGAAUUCUGGUUUAUAUUGGAAAGGCAAACCUGUUAACAUGAAUCUGGAAUUUGAAUUUUGAGAAAAUAGGAACUCGAGCUCGAGCUCGAUCUCGAGUAGCUUAGGCUUGAUAUUUACUCGAGCCCAGACGAGUCGAGCUCGAGUUUAGUUUUCAUUUUAUCGAGUCGAGCUCGAGCUCAAAUUUAUGUACUCGUUCGAGCUUGAGUUCGAGUAAUAUUGCUUGAGAUCGAGUUCGAGCUCUAGUAUGGUGUUGCUCGAGCUCGACUUGGCUCGAUAGUAGCCCUAUUCUCAAUCUCAACACGUACACCUCGAUAACCAAUUGAUAAAUCCAUUAUUUGCAUACAUUUACGUUAUGAUUUGCUUAGCUUUUGUUGUGGAUUUGUCAACUUAUGUAUUUUCUAUGGUCUUCAUGAAAACAAGUUGAAAGAUUGAGUUGAAGAUUGAAUUGAGAAGAUAUUGAGACAAUUUGAGGAUACUAUUGCGGAAGUUAUCAAGAUAUGAUUGGAUAUAUCAUUGGGCACUUAUCACGUGAUUACACCUUGGCCAAUCAAACAAGAUCCCAUUUACAAUCCAACUUAACUUUGAAACGAAAUUUGGUGUGAAUUGGAGAGAUUUUCUUAAUCAAAUAUCUUAUCUCCUAAGUUUUAACCUCGAAUUUGAGCAGUAUCGUUCGUUAUUUGUAAUUCCUUUAUAUUCAAUUAUUUAUUUCUUGUUUGUUCAAUUCUAAUGCAAUUGAUCAUUAUUUCUCGCUUAUUGAAGCAGUUGUGAUCAGAUUGUAGACAUGCUUUCUAGCUUCUAAUCGAUAAUUGUUGUUAGGGAUUAGAACAAGAAACAGAGUGAAUUAAUUUGAUUGUAAGGCAAGUUAAAUAAUUAUUUAGACUUUUGAGUGGUGCAUGGAUUAAAUUUACAAUAUCUAAUGAUAUUAUUGAAUGAAUAAGAAUUGCUUUUCAACAUUGAAUUUGCUUGGUAAUAAAAAAAUUGACCAGAAGCUUUUUCUAUGUAAUUUGACUAUUGAAUGUCUCAAUUUUCCUUAGUUUUAAGGACAAUCAAAUUUAUUUACUUGAAUUGAAAGGAUGUCAACUAAGUCUAUGGAGCGGAUGUUUAACUUUUGAACUAAAUUAUUAAAUUGUUUAGUUUCUUUAAUUUUUUAGAACUUGUUUAUUAAAUUUUUAAUUCAAAUCCCCCCUUUUCUUUUCUGAUUACAAUUUCUUGUAAGACAUUUAAAGUUAAAUUUUUCUUCAGUUCCACCUGGAUUUCGUCUUCGUAUCACAAAAUUUUCUUUGUUGUGAUUGAGGAGUCAAUAUUAUUUUUGGAGGUUUUGACAGUCGACCACCAACCUAUUAUACUGAUUCAAAUACUAAAGGUGAGAGUCCAAAAUCAAUUGAGAACUGAUUCAAAUACUAGAGGAUGAGAGUCCAAAAUCAAUUGAGAACGACUUGUUGGAUAAACUUGAUUUGUUAGAAAUUGCUUCAAACCUCUAAAGAAGUUCUUGAAAUUUAGAUUUGUUUUGAAAUUGAUAAUAACGGCAAUCUUAUAGUAUCUAUUAGAAAUAAAUUUAUAGGAUGGACCACCGUAAGUAAUCUUGUGAAAAGGUUGAAAUGGAAGAAAUUUACAAUCACACAAAAGGAGGUUGAGCAGUGAGGCCACGGAUGCAAUUUCCAAAAAUAAUAGAUGUUUUUGAAGGAAAUUUUAUAAAUAAUUUUGGAAGGAAGGACGUGUCUUGGUUCCAUGUUUGCCACACAAUCCUCAGCAAAUUAUGCGUAUGCAAGAAGAUUAAUUUGCUCUAUCACUUUCCAAUUCAAUUGAUCAAAAAUUAGAUAUCAUAGUGACUUCAAUAUUUUGCUACGUUGGUAUUUGAUAACCUUAGAGUACGUGAACUGUUUAGAGCAAUUGGCAUAAUUUAUGGCUCACUUGUAUCCAUAGUUCAAAGUCGUGGUCUUGGUCAUAGUUGUGGUCGUCACUAUUCCAUGUCAAUUGCAGUGGAAUCAUCACAAUCGUGGCGAGAUGCAUAUUUAGUAUAAAACUAUUUGCAAAAAAUACAUAUAUUAUAUCUUACACAAUCAUUCUUUAUUGUUAAAUAAGAAAUAUAUUUUUAACUCAUUUUAGAGCAUAUGGAUGUCCAAUACUUAAAUAUUUUUGUGGGUCUCCGAAAUAUCACCAAAUAAGGAAUUGUCAGAAGUUUUGAAUUUUUCUCCCUUAUUAUUAACUCUACAAUGUUAAUUUGAUAUUUUAAUAAUUAUUAUGAAUCUCAAACCACUUUAAUUGUUGAGUAAGUAUAUUAUUAUAUGUGCCAUGUAGAUGUAAUCAAAAUUGCAAGAGAAACUCAUAAAUAUAUUUUAAAACAUUUAAGUGUCAUGACACAACAUUUAAAAAGUUUUAGUUUUCGUAGUCAAUUCUUUGGUAUAUCUUGCUUCUAUUCUAAUUAAGUUAUUGCUUUUUCAUAGAUAUUCUACUUUAAUUAUGGGGGAUUCAAAAAUUCAAUUAAUUCAAAUAUUGACACGGUACUAUGUGAAAUAAAAAAUGAUAUUAACGUAACAUUUAAUUUUAUUUAUGUUUAACCCUGUAUAUCUCUAAUCUUUAUAGCAUUCACCACAUUUAACAUCCAUUUAUCAAUAAAUAAUCCAAUUAUGCAUUGUAAUACAUUUUGAUUUUUAAGUUUUUUUUAACAUAUUUCAUCUUUAAUUCAACAUUUUUUUCUUUUUUGCGAUUAUGUAAAAAAUUAUAUUAAAUAUCUUAAAGCAUGGAAGAGUCAUGAACAGUGGUGGAGGAGAUCAAGAAGCCCAUAAUAUUUGUCAUGCUCAUGGCUAGGAUUGCAAACGAGAUAAGUCGAGUCAAGUUUUGGUUUAAAUGAGUUGAGUCAAGUUUUAAUCUAAUCGAACGGAACCUUAACUUAGGUUUAUGAAACUCGAUGAGCUCAAAAUGUAAAAUUCGAACUCGAGUUCGACUCAAAUUAACUUAAAAAAAUAAAAAAUGAUUAUUUUAUUUUUUAAAAAUGAGUAAAAUAAUAAUUUUUCUUGACAAAUAAUAAAAUAUUAGGGAUAUAUAUGUAAUUUCAUUAUUAAAAUAAUAUAUAUAUAUAUAUAUAUAUAAUCAAGUUAGCUCGCGAGCUACUAAGCUGAAUAUUUUUAACUCGAGUCCAAGUUUGAGUUCGAAUUGGUCAGCUUGAAUUUGACUCGAACUUGAUCAACAUCGAACUCGAGUCGAGUUCGGAUUUGAGCAGCUCGCGAGCAGCUCGAUUCGUUUGCAGUCCUACGCAUGUCAUUGAAGACUGCAGAUGUAGGUUUGAAGCCCAGUUGGAAUGUGAAAUUCUCAUCCUCGUCCACGACUCUUCCUGAAGUAAAUCUGGAAUUAAUGGUCAUCCCCCUGUACCAUUUGGGAGACCACUAUCUCCAACUCAGAGCCCUUUUGUUUUGAUUAAUGGUGUUGUGUAUGUAUUGAUGUGAUGCCACGUUUAUGAUCCUACAAUUUUGAUUUCGUUUGAUCUCAGCAAGGAGGAGUUCCGGUCUGGUCAAUCAAACCAUCCCAGGAUCCCUUGGUUUUGCGCAACCAGCUUGAUUGGGUACUCGCUUACAAUUCAUGGGAUGCUCAGGGCUGUCAGGUCCUACUAUAACUGGUGUUCCUUGAAACAUUCUGUUUUAUGCACUAGAAGAUGAUGAUGGCGAUUCCUGGAGGAGCUAUGCUCUUUCCUUGCCCAUUCCGCCUGAGGAGGAUCAGCCCCACGUUGGGUGGCAUUCCCAGCUGGCAAUCUCCGCACUGGCUGGAUACUAUUGCCCUCCUUAUCCUGCAUAUGGAGUCUAAUGGCUUCUUUACACGUUUAUUCUUAUUAUCAUUGCAAAAGCAGUGUUGAGAGACUGCUCGGAGGGGGUGACCUCAACAUGUUAUCGGGUUCUGACAGAAUUCUGGGCAUGUGUAGUUGCCUUAGGAUCACCAGUCUAGAGCAUGGUUCAAAGUCGCGGUCGUGAUUGCGGUCGUGGCUUGGACCGUUCCACAUCGGUCUCGGCAUAUCGGUCGUUGUCUCCACGAGACGCGAAUUUGUGAAAUAUUUAAUAUUCUAAAAAUUGUAAAAAAUAUGAUAAACAAAAGUAAUUGAAAAAUAAUAAAAAUUCAAGUUGAUUCGGGAUGACUCGAAGUGACUCGGUGUGAUUCGACCGUUUCAACCCUUCACGGUGACGUCUUGGCCUGUCACGUAUCUCGGAAACGUUUCAUCGCGGGCCGAGUCGUCUCCGUCUCGACCGAGUCUUCGAACCAUGGUCUAGAGGAAAAUAUUGCACCAUUGGAGGCUUUAUUCAGUACAGGUGGAUGAACAAUUAUUGUUAGUACCUCCUGCCAUAGUUAUCUGAUUGUUGUAACUUAACUAAAGCCUCUGUAAAUAUUGAAAAUUUUGAUUUAACACUUUGGCUUUAUACUGCAUUCUUUUCACUGUAUCUCUCCCAAAUUAGUUAAAGCAGAGUUUGGCUAUAAGCUCAAACUUGCAAAUCAGCAGAUAUAGUCUAAUAAACUACUGUCAGCUCAAUUAUACCGGUUCAGAGCGGUUUUGAGUCACUAAUUACGUUUUGUUUCAUCGCAAACAACAAGUUUUAUUAAGAGAAGCAAGAGGAAAUUACAAAUAGAGGUAAUCCAUAGUAAUACAAAACUGCAAACGUGCAGGAAUCCGACAUAGCACAGCUAGCUACACACAUUCACCUAUUUAUCAUCACAGCAAACGGCAAACUCUACUGCAGGACCAUAGACAAGUUCUCAUGAUUCCUUCGGAUACUUUUCUGAUCGAGCAGCGCAAGCCCCAUCUACUGUUGUUCAUCCUUCACAUUGGCCUUACAUACACAACAUUUAUUCAUCCUUCACCAAGAUUUGCUAAUGGAUUUAUUUUUUCCUUCCUUUCCAAACACGUUAAACUGAAGCACCUAAGGCCAACCUCGUCCUGUAAACUUCUGCUGCAUUCCACAAACAAGAUGUCAUUCAAACUUUAGCAACCUCGAAAAUAUGCUAUAAGCUCUGAAUCUUCUCCCAAAAGACUGACGAAAUGGACAAGCAAAAAAAAAAAAAAAAGGAAAUGAUUAGCUGACCCCUCGACUAGAUGACGCAGCGCAUGUCCCAAAUUAGUAGCAAUUGAGGCCCCGUUUGCUCAAAUCUUUCCUAGUAUGUCGUUAUUCCAUUCAGAAAACUAGAACUUAAAGAAGACUUCAUGACGGAGCAAAUAAAAAACAACUCCGACGAAAAUACGGAGUUGUUUUUGGCAGAACUAUGUGAAAUUUUUUUUAGUCUUUGUUCAACUAUAAAUAAUCUUCUUAUUAUUCUGAAAGCUAAUAGUGUAUUAUUGUAUAUGUGAUUCUUGUUCUUAUGUAAAAUCAACAGGUUUCUUUUAAGACGACUUUUAUGCGUCCGCGGUGGAAUGGUCAAUCUUGGGAAGCUACAUCCUAUUUAGUGACCAAACUGAUAAUGGUUAGGAUUUAGGAAGAAAGGGAACAAAUCACAGGAAGCAUCAAUUAUCAAUUACCUUGGAACGUAUGGUCAAGAAAAUAGGGUUGCAAUUUCUGACCUUCCCUGGUCUUGUUAAACAACAAUUAUGUAUCUAUUCAUCAUUAUCAUUAUCAUUACUACUCCCUCCCUUUUUUUAUAACUGACGUUUAAGGUUUUGCACACCAAUUAAGAAAAAAUUUUCAUUGCUUAAAUCUGUACACUACUUUUCUUUUGUACCCUCAUUAAUUGUCCAAUUCACCCAUGUUUUCUCUCACUAGAGUAUUAAAUGGUGCUGUUUUAUUAGGCCAAAAGCAAUACAAACUAACUCCCACCAAACUAGGAGUAGUAAUUAAGAACCCUGUAUUGGAAAAGAGAGAUAAAAGGGUAAAAUUGUGAAAAAAUAAUUAAUACGGUAUGGGGAUAAUAAAACGACAGAUAAAAGUACACUAGAGCAAAUUUCUUAAACGUCAAUUAUAAAAAAAAGGAAGGAGUAUAUAAAAAGCAUGAUGAGUCUUGGCAAUAAGGAGUGUGAGUAUAAGCAUAUUUUGAUUUUAGUUUUUGUUAUGCCUAAAUUACCUUCAUGUCUUUUAAUUAAAGUUAUUGCAUUUCAAUCAUGACACUGACAAGAAAAAUGAAAUGUUUCAAUAAAUUGCAUCUCAAAAAUGUUGGUAAUUAAAAUAAAAAACGACCCACUUACAACUAUAUUCACCAAUCAUUUUCUUCAUCUUCAAUUAUUGUAUGUGUUAAAAUUAUCUUCAAUCAUUAUAUUCUUAUGUGUGGUAAUUAAAGCUAACCAUAUUUUAUACACAUAUUGGUUUAGAAGAAAGUCACAAUUAAUAAGAAGACAAAAAGUUAUAAACAGUUAAUGAUCAAACUAAAAUGUUAAACUGAUGAUUAAAUUCGCUAUAUUAUAUCAUAUUGACUAAUAAAACUUCAAAAAAAUUGUCGAUAAUUAUAAAAACAUAACAGAAAAGAUUUACAAUGACUUGAUAAAAAUUUGAAAAUGUUGGUAAUUAAAAUUAAAAAUUGCUCGCUUACAACUAUAUUCACCAGUCACUUUCUUUAUCUCCAAUUAUUGUAUAUGUUAAACUUAUCUCUAAUUAUUAUAUUCUUGUGUGUGAUAAUUAAAGCUAACUGUAUUUUAUAUACAUAUUGAUUUAGAAGAAAAUCACAAUUAAUAAGAAGAUAAAAGGUUAUAAACAAUUAAAAAGGUUAAAUUGAUGAUGAAAUUCACCAUAUUAUGUCAUAUUGUCUAAGAAAAUUUCAAAAAAAUUUAAUAAUUAUAAAAAAAAUAUAUAAUAGAAAAGGAUUACAACUAUUGAAAUUGAUAAAAAUUUGUUAUAUCCAAAUCAUAAUGUUUUAGUAUGUAUUUUGCCCAGGUUUUGUUUUAUGCACUGGUUUGACACAACAUAGAAAAUCUUCUCUUCUUAUUGUCACAACCCAAGUAAAAUAUGCAAUAACUUAGUUUCUUCUUAUUGUGUUUCUCCUGGACCACCACUGCUUCAUGAACGCCGGAAUCCAUCUUCUCCCAAAAAUCCAACCCUCAAAACUCCUUCUCCACCUCAUUCUUCCACCUCAAUUUCAUCUCUUUCUCGGAGGUAAUUUCCAAUUGAAUCUUUGUAUCAUCUUCAACCAUCACAAAAUUCCUUCAAUUCCAAACCUUAUAUUUUCAGCGGUAUCAGCCCCAAGUAAACCUCAUCUCCAGCAAAAUCAGCAGGUGAAUGCAAACUAUCCAUCUCCAGCAUCAAAUACCGGAGCACUUGAAGCAGAAGAUCCAAACACAACGUGCACUACAUGAAGAAAGAAAUUGCUUGUGGCGGAGGAGUCAAGAAGGGAUGGGUACAGAAUGGUGUGAAAAUGGGAUUUUAUUUUCUCUUGAAACUCUUGAACUCCAUGCAUAUGGCAAAUAAGCUGUACAAAUAGCUUGUGGUAUCAAUAGAGGCAUAAACAGGAGCUGGCUAAUGUAAGAAUCAAGGUAGAGAGUGGAUAAGAAACUCUUAGUUCAACUGGGCUAUAAUGUUAGAAUCAAGGUAAACGGUGUAUGGUCGGAAACUGUUGAUUCAACUUGAAGCUCUGCUGAAAAGUAAUAGCUUGCUUAAAUAUUUCACUUCUUUCCGCUGUAAAGCUGUAUUUAUGCACCCAGAAGUUACAAUAAUGCAGUCAAGUUCUUAAUUAUUCAUUAAAAAAAAAUUGAUAAUCUUUCAUCUUCAGAGUUCAAUAAACUGUUAAUUGUUUUGUAUCUAAUAAACAUUUUCUACAACCAACAAUUGCGUAAUUUUGUUUAUUAUAUGGCUUCUUAGUCACUUCCAUCUUCAGAGUUUUUAUAAUUGUAGAAUGCACAAUAAAAUUUUAAUUGCUUUGUACACAAUAAACAUUUUGUACAAUUACCAAUUACUUAAUUUUGUUCGUUAUAUAGUUUUUAGUUUAUAUUAUGCCCAUAAUCAAAGUUUGGUACAAAAAUUUAAUAUAUUAAAGAUUUUAUAUCUUGAAAAAAAAUAUAUUCACAUGCAAAUCACGUGAGUUAUUUACUAGUAGAACUAGAAUUCGUAAUAUCCUUCGCUCAUUAGUGACUAAAGUGUCUACAAAAUUGCAAAAUAUAGCCAAUAUUUCCAAACUAUGUUUUAGUAACAUAUCGAACCAACCAAGACCUGACUUCUAUAUAGCUGUCAGGUUUAAUAUUCCAACAAACAUUCCCACCAUCUGUGGGGUAUACAAUCUGGGUUAUCCACUUCUUCACAGUUCAAACCCCGCGCGCUGAAGAAUAAAAUGCAAAGGAAUAAGAAGAGAAAUCAAAAGGCGCUUUUCAUUACACGAGCCCGCAGGGUAAUUGCCCACCAUAAACUCCACAUAACUUUGGAAGAGAGGUAUAAUAAUUGCCAGUGCAAUCAAGUCUAGAAUUCUAGAAUGCGGUGCACAAUCUUUUAAACAGGUUCUAAUAUAUUGACAGUAAAUAACUUGAAUAAUUUUGUUAUAGGGAUGUAAUUUUUAAUUACUGCUCUCAUGGGUUGUGUCAAAAUUACGUAUAGAAGACAUUGGUCUCUACCCUUGUCCAAUAACACUCCUAAACACCUACCAACAUCAGUUGGUUCAAUUGGUAAGAACAAGACACUUUCCAACAAUAGGUCGUGUGUUCGCAUUUCACUAUCGAUGUGAGAACUGUAUCAGUGGACGAUCUGUAAGAACUUCUUUAGGCGAUCUAUAGUUUCAAAUAAGGUAUGCCCUAACCCAUAAUAGUAAUUGGAUGCAAACCCAUUCAAUCCUAAACACCUUUGACUUGCCAUCUAAAUUUUUUGUCCGCCAUUGUAUUGUCUGGAAGAACCGAGUAUGUUUAUGAGGCACAGGCAUUGAGCUGAUUCAUACAUUUCUUGCAUUUGAAAACUUUUUAAAGUUGUACUCUUUUAUGCAUAAUUUUGGAUGCAUUUGUCUUCUGGUCUCCACACACUUGGAACACAAUAUGCAUGGUUAAGAAUAAAAGUAGAAACCCACUUUCGAAGAAAAUAUCUACUGAUAAUACUUGAAUUGUUACGUAAAUACUGGGGCUCAUUAUAAAUAUGAAAAGUUUAAUACUGAGUGUUGUUUGCUAAUCCAAAUACAAGCAUAGAGGGAUGAAGAUAUGCAUAUCACCUUUUAAACUAAGUUUAUUUUAAAAAAAAUUUAAGAAAACUACCAAGGGAAAGAAUUAUGAAUUUUAGAAGCUUGAUAAGAGGGUACAGUGAGCAGCUAACAGUCUUAUUGAAAAAACAUUAAUACUUAUAAGAAUUAAAUAAAUUGAUCGCAUUUAUAGACCCUAUUUUUGGGUCCAAGACCAUACCCAUGCUUUCCCUAAUCUUUAUGUCUACGAAAAAUCUAGGAACAAUAAUAUCAUAGUAGAUGAGUUUUUCUGCACAAUAUCAUGUGAUGCAACUAUUAGUAGAUAUUUUCUCACAAUCUAUAAGCAUUCUAGUAUAGAUUAACGGUCCAUGGCUCAAUUCCUGAAUCUUGUGAUCAAAAUAAGAGUACUCACAUGAGUUAGGUGAUACAUGUUGAUUUAAGAGGGUAAUUAAGAUAAUUCUUGCAACCUAAUUGAUUACAGGAGUGGUGAAAUUCUUGUGACUUAAUCGAUUACAUAUUGAAUUAUUGACUACUUUGCAUUUCUGUUUAUUGGUAAUUACUAAUUAGGCUACGAAAAACCGAUAUAUACCAGCUGAAUUUUACCAUCACGAAGUCAAUGUAAGAUCAUCUAUUUUUUGUACUACAUUAUAUUACACAUAGUAUCUAUGUUUAGUUUUCUUCAAUUACUAAUAACAAAACCACAUCCAAUUUCGUCAUAAGCCAUCAAGUUUCCUUUGAAAAAAUGGAUUGAAAUGAUUUGAGAAAAAAAAUAAUUUGCUUCAAAAAUUCCAAUUAUCUUUUUAUCUUCCCAAUCAUUUUUUGUCUCACAUAUAUCACACCACAAAAAGGUGCUACAGUAAUUAUUUUAAAUCAAUUAUUCAAAUAAAUUCUUAUCCAAACAAACUCACUAUAACUCAUGAACCGUUUAUCUGUGGCAUUAGCAUUUGGCUUCACAACUCGCAUAGCUCAGUUCGAAUUCUCGAUAUCACUAUCUAAUACUAAAUUCAAUGUCAAUUCCAUUUAUCAUAUAAAAGUAAAGAAAACUUGAGUUAAACUAAACUAAUUCGAUUUAUUAAAAAAUUAAAGAGCACAUGAAAAAUUAAAUAAACAUAAUACUUGACAUAAAAAUAAAAAUGAGAUUAAAUUGCCACCAAAAAAUGACAUCGAAAAUCUCUAUCUAUGUGCUCAUAGCCUGGUUAUUGCAAAUGCAGGAAAUGUGGUUCGAACAUCGAUAGACUUGGAGUUGACUGGUUUCACCCUAGAAUUUUCUGAUGUUUUCGGGUCAUGUGUUCACAUUAAACAGCAAUGGAUAGGGUUUGGAUAAGAUUAACAUCGAACACAUGACGCCAAACCAGUGACGUUUCUUCCAUCGGGCAAAGGCUUUGCCCAAUUUUUUCCAAAUUCUGUGUGCCAAUGCGAUAUGCUUUGACUUAAGACUUUGACUGACACUUUUCCGACCGGAAUUUGACCCUACAAAUGUGAGAGUAACUCCUUUGACGGGACACGGGGACAGCACUAUCGUUCUUAUUCUCAUCAAGAAACAGUGGCGGAGUUAUGGGAGAAAAAGUUUCGGUGGAUGUAUAAUUAAAAAUAAAGGCCUGCUUGCCACUUGAAUUUUUUAUCAAGUUUAUCUGUUAUAAAUUUUUUAAAAAUUUUAAUUACAAUAACUUUAAAAUAUUUUUAAAAAUUUUUAAAUUAUAUAUUUUAAAAUAUUCAAAAAUUUACACACUUAAAAAAAAAUUUUAAAAACUUUUACAGUAAAUUACUGUAAAGUUUUAGAUAAAGACCCGAAGAACUCACUGGCCAAACAGGGUCAAAGUUCUCCGGUUUGAUAAACAUUACUGUCAAUAAUUAAACAAAUAGUGAAUAAUAUCAAGUAGUUACACAAAUAAAAUUAGUGAGACAACAUUGAUAAAUUAGUGAGAUCUUUUAAAAAUUCUAUGCCUAAAAAUAGAUCUGCCACUACUACUACCAUCAUUUUUACGUCAAGGUGCAUACUUUCCCAUUGACGAAUGAAUAGAUCUGCCACUACUAGCACUUUUUUUUAUGGUAAGAAAUAAUUUGGAUGCGUUUGGCUCCGAUUAUCGUCAUGAGUCAAGGCAUAGUUUCAAAAUCAUAGGUGACGAGGUUUUUACAAAUCGUCCACCAAUACAACUCUCACAUCGACAGUAAAAUUUAAACACAUAAUUUUUUGUGAGCAAGUGACUCAUUCUUGCUAACUAAGUCAACUUGUAUUGGCGCGACUACUAGUACCUCACAAGCAAAAGUUAAAGAAACCCCAAAGCAAGAGCCACCACCCCAACAAGACACCAUCUGCAUAGAGAUCCACUCAUAAAAAUCAAAACUGAGAAAGGUUUUGUUUACUUAGUCCCGUUAUAAUAAAGUUAGCUUCAUGCACAUCUUUCUUCCACAGGGAAAGCUAACCAUAUAAAGUGAAAAUUGUCACCCAAGCAAAUAAACAACAAUUGAAAGGAAAUUUCGUUGCACCGAUUGCUUGUUUGAAGCACAACUAGCCAGACUUCUGAGCUGGUCUUUUUCUAUUCAGAAUAUACGAAUAACACGUUCUGGAGAAAAUUAUGCAUGUGUAAUGCCACUUUCAAUUCAAAAAUGGUUUUCUUCUCCAAUCAAACUUAGAAAAAGAGCAGACUUCUAUGUGGCUACUUAAAUUUGGAAUUCCAGUGCAAAUAGCGUAAUUUACCUGCUAUAUUCAAUUUUGGUCAUUAACUUGCAAACCCUUUUCAGACGAUACCUUGAAUCUGCAGAUAUCUUUAUGACAUGAUUAACUGCGUACCGCAGCUAUUAUGCUUUUAAGUAAGUAAUUAUACUCCGCCAUUAGCCGGCUAAAAAGAACUUAGAAGGUGAAUAGACAAACAUAAAAGUACUUUUAAACUUAAGUAAUAAAAGUAAUACAAGCUUUGGAAAAAUGAUGGUAACACUAAUAUAAUAAGGUACGUGGAAGCAAUAUGGUAGUCACCAACGAUGAUAACCAAUAAGACAAGGCUUUCGAGAAAUUAAUUUCAACAACAGCUACAUGUGUUAGAAAAGGGUUUAUUUUUAGUUUUUUACCAGUACUUGUGUUAAUGUAGGAGAGAAAUAAGACUAGAUUAUAGUACGACUAUAGCAUUCAAACGACAUCUAAAGGCAGUAAUAUUCAGGUAAAAUUAAAGCAAAAUUUUAGAAGCCUAGGAAUGCAACUCUUCCAAUAAGAACAGCUCCACGUAUAACUAUUGCAGGGAAAAAUAACCAGCCACUUGAUAAGAAUAAGUCGUUCUUUCGAAUAUCUUUCAAACCUCGGGUUUUAGCUUCGAAUUUUUUUGGAUUAUUUGGAAUUAGAAAAUUGUUCUAGAUUUUUGUUACACUUGAUGUUGUUGUAUAAUGUUCAUUAUCGUAGUAAAGGGUAAAUAGCAAUGCUGUAUUUUUGGCUCACAUUGGUUAGCGUAGUUGUUAACCUUUAACUUCAGGUCCAAGAUUAAGUUCUUGGGAAAAACAAUUAUUUACACAAAAAUCAGAAACAAAUUGAAGAACCCUACAGCACCAUGACUGCUAUCCACUUAAAAUACAUAACGUCCGCCCACUAAAUUCAAAGUUUUCUAAGGUUCUGUUCGAUAAAACUGAAUCUGAAUUCCGAAGUCUGAAUACUGAAAUAAUUAAUUUGUUGAAUUUUAAACACUGAAAAAAAUUAUAUAAAUGUCUGAAUUUUAAUGCUAAACCUAUUUAUACUGUUUGAUAAAUAUUUAUAACUGAUGCUUAAUUAAUUUAAUUUGACAAUUUUACCCUUAUAUCCUUUCAUUCAAAAAAGAAGUAGAAUCUAUGAUUUAAUUAGUUUAAAAUGGUUAGGUAUGAAAAUGACAAUAUUUAUUUUUAAAUCAAAUUAAUAUAAAAGAUGAAAUAUAUUAUAUGAGGAGUAUGGAAAAGAUGUGAAAGUCAUUAAAAAUGGAGAAAAGAGAAACUAAAAACCGUUAGAUAGAGAAUAUUAGGUUGUUUAAUUAGAUAAGAAUUUUGAACAUAAUUAACAAACAAGGGUAGAUUUUUUGUAGAUAGGAUAAGGUAGUUGAAAUAGUUCUAUUGAUUCUUAUCAAAAUUAAGCAUUCAGUUAGGAUUCUUGUGUUGAAAAAAAUACACACAGGUUCAACACUGCUUAACAAGUUCAGCAGAUAGAUUUUCAUUUAUCAAACACUCAAAAUAUCUGAAUGUCUGAAAUGGUUCAGUUUCAGUAUUUUUUUAUAUUAUCAAACAGACCCUAAGUAUAGUAUAAAAUAUCGGAGUUAUAUUACUUAUAUAUAUAUAUAUAUAUAUAUAUAUAUAUAUAUUCAACCCCCAAAAAAUGCAAAGAGUUCCAGCUCCCUAGUCAACAUUUUUUGUGUCUUACAUUUUUCUAGCGUUUGGAAAACCUUGAAGUAGUACUCAUACCAUACUUUUAGAUGCAUUUGUGUUGUCCUCUCCACACUCAUGGGUUAGAAUAUGAACUGGUAAGGAAUAAAAGUAGAAGCACAAUUUCAAAUAAGUUUUCCAUCUAUGGAACUUGAAUUGUAAUGUAAAUACUGGGUCUUAUCCUAAAUAUGAAAAGUUCACUGUUAAGUAUUGUUUGCUGAUCCACACACUAGUAUAGGGAGAUGAAGGUCUGCAUAUGACACCUUAGAAAAACAAAUAAAUGCACAUAUCUAAGUCAUGAUCAACCGACAUUAAAGUUAAGAAUUGAGGGAGGAAAAGUACGAAUUACAGAAGCUUGAUAAGAGGCUAGUCGUAGUACAAUGAGUGUUACUGAAAAACAUUAAUCAUAAUAAGAAUUAAAUAAAUUGUUCACAUUUGUUAGGCUACGAAAAAGUGACAAAAAGUGGAUAAAUUUACCUCCGCGAAAUCAAUACAAGCUCCAUUCCGUUGUUGAACCAUAUUUUAUUGCACAUAUUGUAUUCUAUCUAUCCAGCAUCAAGACUUCCUUUGUUAGUUGGAAAGUCAAAUAAAACAACCAUGUCUAGCUUACAAAAAGAAAAACAAAAAGAAAAAAAAUACCACCCCUUAAUUUUAUCAUAAGCCACCAAGUUUCCUGCAAAAGAAAAAAAAAAAAAAAACUAUCUAUAACUCAUGAACCCUUUCUCUGGCUCGCAAAACUUUUGAUUAUCGCCAGUGCAGAAGUGGUUUGGACAUCGUUAGACUUGUAGUUCUUGGGAAUUUCCGAUGUUUACUGGUCAUAUACCCGCGUUAUACAGCAAUGGAUGACAUUAUCAAGACUACUGAAGAUAUGACGUGAACUCAAUGACGUUUUCAAAAUUUGGGCAUAGGCCAGUUUUUCCAAAUUCGAUAUUGCCAUUCAAAAAGCAGCUUUGAAUGAAGCUUUUCAAAAAACAUAUUGACUGCUUUCAGAGACAGAGGAGGUUUUGUUUGCACGGUCCUUAUACUAAAGUUAGCUUCAUGCACAUCUUUCUUCCGUAUGAAAAAAUCAUCGCACUAGAUAGUAAAUUAUGUGAGAUAAUUUAAUCAAAAAAUAUUACUGUAAUAUUUUUUUGAUUUAAUGUACGUGAGAAAAAAAGAUGAUUGAAAAAUAUAUUGAUGAUAUAAUUAAUUUAAUGUGUGUAAAUAAGGUGAAAAUAAUGUGUAAUUCAAACACACCCUAUAUUUUUUUACGGACUCCUAAAAAUAGCAAUCCAAACCGGAUUGUAAAGCUAUCAUCAUCGUCACUUGAGAAAAUAAACAACAACUUGAACGAAAUUUCCACAACAAUGCUUUUGGAAUCACUUCUUGUCUGAAGCACAACUUGUCUGAAUUUUCUGUUUGUCUUGUCCAAUCACAAUACCUGAAUAACGUUCUCGCAUGUAUAUAUAUGUUACGCGUGUGGCUUUGUAUUGACGGUUUGACAGGUUCCAUAUCUUGACGGUUCUCUCUUUGAUCAUGGAAAGCUAAUAAUAGAUAAUGACCAAACUCUGUCGUCUUUUUUUUUUGGAUACAAUAAACGACUGGGCGUUCAUGAUCACAUCGGUUUUAUAGAAUGAACAAGUCAAAAACAAUACACAUGAAUAUGACGAGAUUUUGAGAAUACAAUAACAAGAAUCACUGCUGAUGUUAGCCCUGUGACGUCCAUGAGAUUGCCAAAGCAGUCAAAAUUUCAAACUUUGUGUUUUCUUCUCCAAUUAACUCAGGAAAAAACUUUUCCUAAACUUCUAUAUCAAAUUGUGAAAUUCCAAUUCACAAGCUUUUACAAAAUGGUACAAACAAGGUAUGCAAAAGCAAACGCGUCCACCGUGGAAGUCACCAACGAGUGUAACCACUUACACUGGUCAGAUUAGGGAUUUGGGUCGUCUCCGAUGGCUUUUCUCUUCAUAUUUUAUAAUGCACGUUUAAAUGAAUAAUAUGUGUUUUCAUUUCAUUUAUUAGAAAGGGAUAUAAUCAUUUUAAAUUUGACUAAUUCUAACCCAUAUUAAUAAAUAAAAAUAUUUAUGUGUCGUGCAUCUAGGUGUCCACUACCGAGAAUGGAGAGAGAAUCAACCGCAGAGGAGCCAAAUCCUCAUAUUAGCUUUAACCUUUUAACUUCAAGUUCUAGAUUAAGUUGUUGUGAGAAAUUGUUUCUCUUAAAUUUAGUUUUUUAACACAAGAAGUCAUAAAUGAAUUGAGGUGUUGUGGAUCUCGAUUUGGACGCUACUUUUGUCUAACAUUUGUCUAACUCCAAACUCAAUUCAACAGAAUGAAUCAUCAUGAAAAUCUGUAUCCUUACCUUCACGACACUCCACAAGACUUUUACCACAUCAAACUACUCUUACAUGACUUGCUAACUCACAGAAAUUUCAUCAUCCUAAUUCGCUUCUGCCUGGUACUAACAAGCUUAAAAAGAGCUCCCUCCAUAAGGCUUAGAAAUUAAUAUUGAGGUCAGAAUUACACAUUAGGGAUUUGAAGCUGGAAUCCCAGGCUUGAAGUCAAAUUUUGCAAAAUAGAAUAGAUGUUACCAAAAUAUAUUACGUGAGUGUCAAUAAAAAGCUUAGUUAGUCCACAAUACUAAUGCCAUACCCUCAGAAUCUACCAAUAAAAGGCAAUUCUAAAUCACAACACGUUUAAAUGAUAAAUACAAAUAUGAAAUCCUCUCUAAAAUCAAGAAAGUGGAUUAUUCAUUAAUUUGUUUGUGUCUCGCUUAAAUCACAUGUCGUCUAGUAUAGAAUUUUUCUUUCACAAAAUUAGUUUAUUAAUCCCGCGUCUAAGCAAACAUCUUCCAUCGAUAUUCCUUGAAAACUCCAACCAAUUACGGAAUUGGUCAUUAAAUUAGUCUUUUAGUAGUAUUAGAACUAGUAAUCGUAUUCUUCUAAUUAUAUAUUAGGAUGAAGAAGCAAUUAAUUGGUUGUUUAACAAGAAGACCAAGACCUGGCAACCAUGCAAUGCCUUCAACGCAAUUGCAGGCCAAUAAUUUCACGAACCAAUUCAAACAUCGAACAACCAACUUCUGACUUCUGCAGGGCUAGCUACCAGGUUCGAAACUGCAAGGAACAUAUCCCAUUAUCCACUUCUUCAAACCCUACAAGCCCCACCCUAAAAUAUACAGAGGAACGAGAAAGAGAAAGCCAAUUUCCAAAUGGCGUUAUCUCAUUAUAUAAAUUAAACACAUUACCUUCUUCUCCACGUAUCUCAUUGAACAACUUUGACUUGACUGCUGACUCCCCAACAUAUAUCAACUUUUUUUUCCCAUCCAAUCCAAUUGCCCGAAACCGAGUACUGGUCUUAUUUAUGCUUUUCGAUGCAUUUGGCUCGUGGCCUCCACACUCCUCUUGGAGUACAAUAUGAAUGGGAAAGGAAGAAAAGUAGAAGCAGAACAUGAUGCUUGACUUGUAAAUGUAACGUCGAUAAUGGGGUCUUGUCGUAAAUACCAACUGUUUAAUAUUUGGUAGGGUUUGAUGAAUGUGACACAAAUAUGAGUACAGGGGGGACGAAUAUAUGUGCAAAAGAAAAUUACUAAGCUGGAAAAGGAUGACUUUUAGAAGCUCGAGAGGAGGCCAGCUGUACUAACCUGCCAAAGCACCUCUAAGUCUUAUUAGAUACACAUUAUUAAUAACGAGAAGAUGGAGCUAAUUAACAAAUUGAUGGCAUAUUUUAUAGCCAAUUUUUGGGUGCAAAUAAACAAUAAGAAAGAAGAUUUUUCUAACAAAUACUCAGUGACCACUCGUUAGUACAUCUAAAUUAUAUUUAACUGAAAUUCACAUAAUCACGGUUAUUACAUUUCUACAUUUAAAUAUUUUUCCAAAUGACUAGUUGCAAAUUUUUGUUAGUGCAAAUGAUGGUUGCAAAUUUUUUUUUUUUAUAUAUUUUCACCAUUAUAUAUAUAACAAAUAAUUCAAAUUUGAAUGUGAAACUCAAAUUUUACAUAUGUGUCGUAUAUCCAGCCGUAAUAGUGUAUAUGAGAUUUAAUCUAAUGUUAAUAUUGUGUCAAAAAUUGCUUUGGCAAGAAAUUUUCUACUCUGACAAUAUCACCACACGAAAUACAUAUAUAACCCAAGUAAUGGACUUAUAAUUACAAGAUAUUAAGGAUUUCGGUGACAAGAUAUUCAUAUAUUAAUAAUAGCAUAUUAUCUUAAUAAUAAAUUUAGCUUUAUAAUUGAAGCAAAUAAACAACAACUCGAACGAAAUUUCUAUUGCAAUUACCAGUUCUUGUUUAAAGCACAACUUGUCUGAAUUUUCUGAUAGUCUUUCCCACUCAAAAUGUAUAUCAUAUUGCUUUACGUACAUGCAAUUGGGCAGGUUUCAUUCAUGUGACCAAACUUUUAUAAUCAUCAAUGGCUUUAUCUUGCAAAGUUAACCAUAAAUAAUGAUCAAACUCUUGUCUUGUGUUUUUUGGUACAAUACAAUGCAACGACCAGACUUAUAUCGUCUUUAAAGAAAUGGAAUCUUUUGUAAUUGAUUUGUUGACUUGUAUCAAAAGUAGCAAAUGAUACCCUGUCCUUCUCCCAUCAAACAUUUUAUGAGAAUAUGAGAUCAUAUGAAAAAGAAUUGCUGAUGUCAACCUGAUGACGUUCGUAUGAUUGCAAAAGCAUCCAAUACGUCUAAAUUAAAGAGUCAUUUCUGUGUUUCAACUUUUCAAAAAUCCACCCCCUUCAGACAGACAGACUUCCCUAUCACUAUCAAAAUUUGGAAUUCCAAUGCCCAUAGCGUAUUUUGUCUGCUAUAUUUGAUUUCGGACCGCUAUGUGGACUUGCUUUAGGGAAGUAAACUCCACCAUUAUUAGCCCCCCUAAAAAGUUGAAAUGAGUAGACGAGCAUAAAAGCUUUUUAAUUAAGAUUAAUUAAUAAAGCUAACAGCAAGCUUUUACAAAAAUAAUGGUAGUACAGUACUAAUUAUAAUAAGGUUCGUGAAAGCAAAAAAAGGCUACCAACAUGGGAGUCACGAGAGACAAUGACCACUUAAUUAUACGACAACGCAAUAGGGAAAUUUCGACGAAUGAAAACCACAUGCAUGCAUGCAUGCAGGGCCUUUCACUAUACCUAAAGUUUAGGCACAUGCAAAGAGAAUAAGCAAGUAGUACAGUAAAGCCUCCAUAAAUUGAUAAACUCUAUCAAAUAAUAACUUUUCUCGGUCCUGACUUGGGCUAACAAGUUAAUUCAAUAAGAUGGAUAAGAUAAUAAUAUUUUUUGAAAACCUUAAAUAACUAUUUGGUGCCCGUCACAGUGUAAAUUAAUAAUUCACUAAAAUUACACGUCAUAUUUUCCUAAAAUAUGAGUCUACUAUUAAUUUGUGAAUGCCUUUCAGAUGGGAAGCCAUCGUUUAACAGUGAGACAAGAGAGAGAACUUUAUGUUUAUUUGUUAUAAAAAGAGUUCCUUGUCAUUUAUGUAGUGCAUUUAAUAAAAUGGCAGUGGGCAUCUAUCAUUUAGUAUUCCUCCUCUUGAUAACAGAAAAAUGAUAUUAGUUACGUUCGUACAUUAAUUGAAGAUAUUAAUAAAAUUAAAUUGUACUUGUAAAUCAAGUAGAUAUAUAUGGAUUGGUUUUUAUUUCUUAGAUUUUUAGACUCUUUUUGUUAAUAGAACAUUAGUUGAUUAAAUGAGUAUUUUUUGAAUUGUAAGUAUAUUCAAUAAAUUAAUAAUUAAUUUAUCGAUUAAUUAUUACCUCCUUAAAUUAAUAGAGUUUGUAUAGUCCAAGGUUAUUAAUUUAUAGAGAUUUUACUGUACUUUAACCGUAUUAAAUUACAACAAAUGAUUAAGAAUAGAGUGUGGGGAUAAACAAUAGCCUGUUAAGGACAAUUCAUGAGUCAUGAUACUCAAAUUUUGUGAAGAUAGAAGAGGGUAUUAGUAAAAAAUAACGAAUAAAUGUCAAGAAAUAUAUAGGUGUUAAAUUCAGCUCGGACAUCAACCUGGCAAGGCCAAUUAUUUAACAAGUUAGUAGUCCAGUCGUGGAUUCAUCAGUUGAAUCGAUGGCUAAAUAAUACAAUAAAAUAUAUAUCCAAAUUUAAAAAAUAUAUUUAUAAUUACAGAAUUGGGGUAAAAAUGGUGGUUGAUUUUUUUUUCGGAGACGAUAACAGUUGUAUAAUCUAAUCUAUUCUACGCUAUGGGGGAGGGGGUGGACCUAAGGAGGCACAGGAAUAAUUCGGAGGGAACUGAACCACCAUCGGACCGAACGGGUGCACAACACAUCCGUCUGAAUUUUUUGAAGUAAAACACUUAAAUGUGACAUUUUUGUGGGAGAUAAGGUUUGAUUUGAACCUUGCCUCCCACCCCCAUCAAGUUAGGUGGUGGCUGGGUAAAAAUGGUAGCUGGAUUGACCCAUUUUUAAGAUUUUAUCGAUUGAACCGAUAGGCCAUUCAACAAGUUACUUUUUUAUUCCGUCCAACUACUAACCUAGCCUGACUGCGUAGCUAAUUUAUUUAUGGUAUUAACCGGUUAAACUCCCUAGUUAGAACGGGUUUAUAAUAAAUAUGAAGAAAAACUUUAACAAGUUAGUCCAGGUCAAAGUAGAUAUGGUUCCUUCCCCCACUAAAUUCAAAAUCUUCUAAUACAUAACUACUGCCAUAACAUGAAUGCUAGAACGCUAUUUGCUCAACAUGGAUAAGUUCCACCCACAAAAUUAAAAAUCAACAUGACAUACUAUUGAGAAUGAGGAAAAUGGGUUCUUUCGCUUUCCAUGUUGCCACAGUUCAAGCUCGAAUCGAAACCGAACUAGAAUUAGACCAAUCUUUUGUUGAAUCAGAAUAAUAACCGAAUGUAGAGAACCGAAAUUAUUACUAAAACCUUGGUUAAAUGUUCUCGUUUAGGUUCUUAAAAAAUGUGAAAAUCAUAACUUAUGUAUCGUAACACAAUAGAAGUUAAUCGUCACAUUAUAUUACCUAUGAUUCAUAUAGCUAAUAUUUGACAAAUAAAUCACUAAUAAAAGUUGAUUGCCACAUUAUUUAUGAUCCGUAUGGCCAAUAUCUGACGGAUAAACCACAAAAUUUCAUAGUGCUUAAGUGCAUGGAAAGAAAAAAUAAAAUAAAAUAAAAUUGACGUACACUUGGCAACUUCAACAUGCUGUGGGAUCGAAAAUAUUCAAAUCCCGCAUGAAUAAAUUAGUUAAUUAAAUCUGCGUCUGGUCUGGUGGGCAGUGACCAAACUUGUUCUUCAAGAUUUCGCAAGCGCCAACCGUAAUGAUUUCUUUCUAGGGUCGAGAGAAUGCGUGGAAAUACAGAAUUGGUCACGAGUCACCGCCUUAAAUAUAAUUAGUUUAAAUAUUUGAAAACGCAAUUGCAAAUGUUUCAAAAAAGGGGCAAUUGCCCGGAAAUUCACUCAAUCAACGCGCGAGGGCUAAAAGAACUGACUGGAUAAUGGGGUUGAGCUCUAUAUAUAUCUCAGACGAUCGUGAUGAUUUCUGAUUCUUUGAUGGGAGUGAAGGGAGGAAGGUAGGGAGGGAGAAAGAAGGAGAGUUACUGGGAAAUUGUUUGUCUGUUAGUUUGUUAGACAAGCAGAGAAGCAAUGGGGGGAUGCUUUUCUGAUGUGAAAGGAGGGCAACAAGCUGUCGGAGGAGGCGGAAUUGUGGGCCACCCAGGGGCCCAGGGCAUCCGUGGUGCUGGAAGCGCCGCCGGGGGCGCCGCCUCUGGGCUCAAUGAUGCUGUGGAAUUUUUCUUCCGGACUAAAGGUGACCAAGCCCUUAGCACGCAACUCGAGGUCUGUCUUGUACAAUUAAUCUAAAAAAAAAAAAGUGGUCAACAUAGGACCAAUAAACCAAACCCUUGUUCAGAAUUGAAUUGUCUCUGUUAAACGUCGUACUUACACGAAUUGUUUAUGCUGUCUGACUUUUCAAAGUGUCUACAGUAUUUAUAUAUUGGUCUUUUAUUUUUUUGUUUUCAUUUGUUUCUAAUAUUUGAGUUUUUCUUUAUGGUAUGCAUACUUUGUUUUAGAAUUCUUUUCAAGAAUUUUGAAUUAUGCUGACUAGUAAGUAAGGUACACUUUAAUUUCAAGGAUUCAAGAUGAGAAAAAAGAUUAUAAAAAAAGGGGGUUUCAAGAAUGAGUAUGAUUUUCGAGAUACAAGUAAGCACUUGUUAAAAGUGAAGAUUCUCGCAUUCAAUAGACUAAUGUGAAAGAGAAAACUAAGAUCUAACUGAUAUUUGAAAUGGAAAGUAAGACGGAGGAUGAUAAGUCGAUUAUUAGUGAGCUAGAAAAUCAUGAUACAAAUUUGAGAGAGAAAGAUAUGAUAGUCAUGAGAGUUUACUUUUAACUUUUUUAACUUGUUGAAAGCGAAAAAUUUUGUGUGCAAUAGACUAAUGUGAUUAAGGAAAUCUAUCUGUGGAAAACAACAAUGGCCUCCAUCAAAGGGCAUAGUAAAAAACGUUUGCUGCCCUAAUUUAAUUCCAUUAUUGUGUGCUAGUAGGAGGAUGCCUUGUGAAUGCUCCAACUGAAUUGUAGUGCUAUAAGUUGAUUACUCACUCCAUCCUCAUCAAAUCCUUAGAAGUUUAACUUGAGGUUUAUUGGAAGAGUUUACCUUUUGUUUGAUUCUGGUGACAAAUUGUAAAAUAUUUUGGUAUAUUAACUUGUUCCUUAAUUGUCUUGAAGAAAGGCCACCAGAACAGGAGUUUCUUUUGUUCUUGUGUGCUGAAAAAUCAAGGGUAAACUUAAGUCUUCAACUUCUUUAUAAAUUGUGCUGAAAACAAAGCUAAAAAGUGGAUUAAGAUCAUAAUUGUUGAUUUUAUACUGCUGUUCAGCCAUACAUAAGGACAAAAGAAGAAUAUGGUGUAUUCCAUAUCAUGCUAAGUUGUUUUCUUAGUUAUGUAUUUUGUCAGCAGUAUCUUCUUCAUAUUUGUGCAACCCGACAGUGAUUUCUGGUAGUAAAUCUGAUUUUUGAUCUUUUAUCAUGUUUCAAAAAAUUAUAGUAUUGCCUUUAUAAAUAUGCAAAAAUGGAAUGGGAUGGAAUCUGUUGGAUUUUCAUCUAGAGUACAUGAGAAUGUAGGAAACUGUUCCCUGUUUAUCCUUUAGAGUUAAGGAUAUUACCGUAUGGUGGGAUAUAUGAAGGGUUAAUCAUAUAUUGGGCUAUAUUGGACACUUUCAUGUGAUAAGUUUACCUGCCGAUGGUUCAAUUGAUAUUGACAUCUUGUUUUGACAUGCAUAUUACCACCAGCAAUUUACUUGUCGACAGUUGAAGUAUCACAAUAAGUCACCUUCAGUAUUCAUAAUUUAGUUGAGUAUGGACUGCUAGUAAUUAUUGUCAUUGCUUCCUUAAAUGCAACCAAAUAUGUUUCUCUUCCUUCCGUAAAAUGAAACAAAGGGAGACAAAGGGGUAGUGAUUCUUGAGUUUUUAUGGUGAUUAGAAAAUUUGUCAAGAGUACCAUGGCGGGCAUCCACUUCUCAGCUAAAUGCGGCCCAUGUUCCGCUGUUGACUUAUAUGGCAUACUUAGGCAUUGUUCUAAGGCCUUGUCUGGCACUGUGGAUUGGCCUGGAAUUGAUCAAUAAUGUAUUUUGAUCUAAAGUUAGGUUAUUCACCUAAAAGGAGUGGAUUGUUUAGUCCUGAAAAGAUGGUGAUUAUUUUGACUUUGAAGUUGUCCAACGAUUGAAAAGUGUCUUAAUCUAUAAGAACUAGCAUAUAUCUGGCGAGGAAACAUUAUAAAUCUGAUUCCCGAUUGGUUAAUGCAAUUUGAAUCCAUAAAAAUGGUAAUUUUGCAAAUUAUUAAUACACAAUGCUCUAUUUGUACAUGUGGUAAUCAUUGAAAAACUGCUGCCUUAACAUCGUUGAUACCGACUAAUUCUGAAUAUUUUGUUGGAAAUAGGUUUUGCUUUGAAUUUGAUAUGUAAAGUGAUAUUUAGAUCUUGCUAUAUAUGUUGCAUACUUUAAAUUAUUUAGUUAUGAAAUUUCUAGUACUCAUUGAAAAAGGGUAAAAGUCAAGUCACUCUAGAUUGACAAAAAGUUUUACAAGUCACUAGAAAAUGGAAUAGGAAUUAUCUUUCGCAUAACGUUUGGUGAAACUUAUCCAGGGUCUUGUUCCUUUUUCCAUUCCUGUGAACCAUGUGACACUGGAGGUUUUGCUGGAGAUGAUUAUUGGAUUUUUGAAAUAAUGGGUCAAUUUAGUUAAUUUUCCCCUUCUUAAGCAGUUGCAGAAAGUUAUCUCAUACUGGAUUUCCAGUUGGGCCAAUGUCUGUCUUGCUGACAGUAGAAAAAGAAUGCUUACCAAAAAUAUAUUCUUGUUUGCACUGGUUUCAGUAUGUAGAAAUGUAUGUCUUGCAGUGGAAACCUUAUUUUUUCUGAAGAGACAUGCUAUUAUCAUAAAAACUAAUAUUCCUUAGAAAGUGGCCAUAGAACUGAUGGUGGUCCUUAUGUUGUGGGGCCAUAAAUCAUGCAACGUUGAUGACCAUCUAUCGUACGAAGCGGUUUCUUCCAGCAUUAUUAUCAUAAAAGUUGCGUGUUUCUGAAAACUCAUCCUUUUUCUAGCAUGGUUCAACAUUAAAAGUAGUUUUCCUUCGGAAAAGACAGAACAUCUACCUUUUAUAUAAUCUGGAAAAGUAGUGCAGUUACUAGUACUUGGUAGUUAAGCAAUGGACUCAUGAAAAAAUUAUAGGGGUUUAUAAUGCAUGGGUUUGAAAGGUGACUACAAUUUUUAGACUGUUGAAAAUACAACAAAUUCAGAUGAUCAAUGUAUUUUUCUGAAUUUGGAAUGCGUCUGCUGACAAUAGGAAAAAUACAACAGUUGGAAGUUGAUUUUUGUAUAGAUUUCUACGCAAACAUAUCUGAACCAGUUCUCUCUCCAUAUAAAUAUCAUUCUUGUUUGUAUUUAAGUUUUGUUUAUAGAAGGAUCCUAUUUGAUUUUGUUGUCCAUCACGUAGACUGUGGUUUAACUGAGAGUUUUCACCUGCAGUUAUCUUUGUCAGCUUCAAAGUUGCGUGAUCGUGAUAUUUUCUCAAAGGUUCGUACAUCAUAUUGAGUUUGGCCAUCUAAAUCUCUCUCUCUCUCUUUCUCUGUACAUGUGUUUGUCCGUUGUCUGUUUGCAUGGUGUACAUGUACACAUAUGUAAAUGUAUUUCGUUGGUCAUCAAUUUUCCUCUGGGUCUAAAUAAUCAAGAGGCCAUUAUUUGUAUACCCACCUAAACUGUAGAGUGACAAGUAAUUAGUCUGGUUAUACAUUUAAAUUUGGUCUCAUGUUUUAUGGAUUUCUAUGAAAGUCCAUUUAUUGCUUUGGCUUUUCUGGGUUUAAAAUUUGAGACUGACUGUUGAAGAUAAAAGAGUUUGGGAAGUUUUCUUAUCAAGUACUUCUCUGGCUAUGUAAAUAGUUUUCCUCGGAAGUUACUGAAACCCGCUCUACUUCUUGUCAUGUGGAAGUUUUAUAAAAUAGGGAAAGAGUCUGGAUUUAGGAAUUUCAAACUUUGGGAUUUUAGAGUUGCAACAUUACCAUUUUCUCGAGUUAGUUUCAAGAUCUUUGUGUUUUCAAGGCCUUCAUUUCAUUCUGCUCCAUCACUAAUAAGUCAGUAUUUGCAGUCAGCGUUCAUACCUUAUUGGCAUCUUAGCUGGUGCUCUAGUACUGUAAUCUUGAUUAGUUGGCUGUCAAAAUCUUGGUCUUGCAAACUUAAGGAUCUUACAAGUGAAUGUUGUUUUCUACCUGGCAACAGAGCGAUCCAAUGGCCGUGGUUUAUGCAAAGAAAAGGAAUGGAACCCUUGAAGAACUUGGUCGAACAGAAGUGAUUAUGAAUAAUCUGGAACCUGCUUGGAUUCAAAAAAUCAGUGUCAAUUAUCAAUUUGAGAUUGCUCAGCCAUUGAUGUAAGCUUUUGUACAACCUCUUAUUUGCUUCCUUUUGUGCUCAUAGCAUCUUGACUAUCUUUUGUCACCCCUUGCAGCUUUCAUGUUUAUGACAUUGAUUCGCAAUACCACAAUUUACCUGUGAAGGUAUGCUAUGCUGUACUAUCUGCUCUUGAUGCAGUUCUUCUACAAUUUUUUUUUUGGGUUGGGACUCAUCAUUUACCAUAUUUGCAAUACACAGAGAUGAUAUUUUGUGCUCAAUAAAUGUCUCGAGUUGUAGUCAUUGAACCUUGAUUUUUAUUUGUUAAUUGUUGAGUUAGUUUUUGGAUUGUACAGCUACCCCUAAAAGAUUGGUAAAGCUAAUGAUUUUGAAGAAAUUAUGCAGUUCCGAUACUCCACUUACUGUGAGAUUUUCACCAUACUGAAAAAAUGUGGGAUUUUUCUGAAUCACUGAUACUGUUUGAUCACUAGUAAAGAACAGAAUAGUUCAACUUUUCAUCUAAUCAAUAAGUAGUGUCCAAUGCUGUACAUCAAGCUUAAGGAUUGAACGUGUUUGAAUGAUGCUUCUUUAGAUUGAGAUAGCAUUUGAUUUGGUUCAUGAAAUUUUGGAGCUUUUAAGCUUCAGAUCUGUAUGGAAGCUUAUGCGAAUCUUUGUCGUUGCAAACUUGCAGAACUUGAACUUGAAGGAUCAAGAUUUUCUUGGUGAAGCUAGUUGUGUUCUCUCUGAGGUGAGUUACUUGCAUUUUGUUGACAACUGUAACACAUUAGUGUUGCUGCAGACAUAGUUAAUGUGGUAGUCUAUUUUGGGUUGGUGAAUUGUGUUAGUACCUGGAAAUAAGUGUCUUUUACUGUUGUGCUUGGGAAUGAUGCAGUCUUUACCCUUCUCCGAGGCAACAUUAAGGUGGGUGCCGGGGAAUGGGUGGAGUGGCCUGUGUGCACACUAUAAGUCAUAACUGUUAGAAAUUCUCGUAGACUUGAUGCUGAUUUUGAGUUUUAUGCUGAGUUUCUACUUUUGAAUUUUUGCCAUCCAUAGUCUUAUUCUAAACUGUUCGGUUCCAAGUUUAAGGAUUGGUAAUCUAUAUAGUUGGUAAAUUCUCCUUUAAAUCUCCAUUCUUAAUAUUUUUUCUGAUUAGUCCUAUUAGAGACCUCCAUUUUUGGAAUGUUAGCCAUAAGUUAAGAUUAUGGGGAAUUAGCUAGCAUAAAAAGUAUUGGAAACAAAAGAGAUGAAGAUUGAAGUAUCCACAAAUAUACACAAAAAGUCUGAAGAUAGUAGAUUGCAUUAUUUUCUUGCUUAUAAUGAAGAUAGUAGAUUGGAUUAUUUUCUUGCUUUAAUACAUUAUGAAGUUUUUAUCUGUUACUCCAAUGUGCCAUGUAUUAGCGAACUUGAAAUGGAGAUGGCAUUGACUUUUUCUGAUAAGAGACAUUAUGAAAUUGAAUUGCUUCAUCAUUUUCGUUGUUGAUACAGUCUAUAAUGUUGGGUUUUUAUGGUUCCGGAUAGUAGAUUGGAUUAUUUUCUUGAUUUUAUAUGUUAUGAAGUCUUUUUAUUGUUGCUCCAAUGCUUCAUAUAUCAGCAAACUUGAAAUGGAGAUGGCAUUGUCUUUUUCUGAUAAUGGACGCUAUGAAAUUGGAUUGCUUCAUCCUUUUCAUUAACGAUACAGUCUAUAAUGUUGAGUUUUUGUGGUUUCAGAUUGUUACUAAAAGAAACAGAACUUUGACCUUGAAUCUUCACAAUCAAGAUGGUCAUGGCUUGAAAAACUUGGGUACUCUUACUGUCCAAGCAGAAGAAACUGUAGCUUCAAGGAAUGCUGUGGAGAUGACUUUUCGUUGUUAUCAUCUUGAUAACAAGGAUCUGUUUUCUAAAAGUGUAUGGAUUUUGUAAAUAUCAAUUGUGAUGAACUUGAAGCUAUUUCAACUUUAUUUUUACCUCAACCUUAUUUUACUGUUUUCAGGAUCCUUUUCUUAGAAUCUCUAGGAUUGCUGAGAGUGGGGUUUCCAUUCCAAUUUGCAAGACAGAAGUCAUAAACAACAACUUGAAUCCAGUCUGGAAACCGCUGUGUCUAACCAUGCAACAAUACAUGAGCAAGGUAGUUUCCUGCUUGCUGUUUGCCGAAUCAAGGGUCCGUUUGUUUGCCUAUAGAAUGUUUUCCCCUAGAAAAUAUGAUUGCUGAAAUCAUUUUCUUGACAAUAUUUGAUUUUUCCAAUAUUUUAUAAUGUGUGGUUGACUUUUGAUAAUAAUUUCCUGACAACUAGUGAUAUGCCAGUACUAUUACCACCACUUUUUAACCACUACCAGCCAAAAGACAAUCGAAAUUAUUUUUGUAUGCAUUCAUAAUCAUAGAAGGCCCAGGAAUGAUUCUAAGAAGUAUUGAAUAAGAUAUGUACCCAACAAGAUGCCACCAAUUGAUCCAAGCAAAUUCAAUGCCUUACUGGAGUUCCCUCCCUCAAAUCCAUGUCAUGGAUUUCUUUGUCUCCACCUAUAUGUAAGAAGAGAGAGGAAGAGGAAUAAGUAAAUGUGUGUUAGAGAUGAGAGAGGAAAAGGAAGCGAUGAAUUAGUGUGUUUGAGAGAGGAUGAAUAAUUAAAGAGGAAGAGCCACUUAGAAGGUAAGCUUUUUGUUUUGGAAGAGGAAUUAGUGUUGGUCUGGAAACUUCUUCAGUGAAAGCUUUAUGUAAUUGUUUUUAUCUGAUUGGAAAACCUUUUUCUUUCGGGAAAAAUUUCCUGACAUAUCAUGCAGCCUAAUACCCAAAUAAAGGGAAAAUAUUUCCUGGGAAAUGUUUUCCAGCAAAACAAACUUGAGAUUAAAUAGAGGGAAAAGAAAAAUCAGGGAGGAGGUUACAAGAAUGAUAAAUUAGGAAGAUAUAUGAAGCUAGAAUUGGAGAAAAUGGACCCAGGCUAGAUUGGAGAAGUCAUAGACACAGGAAUAAAUGAAGUUACAGCAUGGAUAACCCCCAUAUUUAACAUUUGCAUGCACUCUAUAUAUAUUAAUAAAGAUCUGCAUUGCAGGAUAACCCGGUGAUCAUUGAGUGUUUUGAUUUCAACAGCAGUGGCAAUCAUGUCCUCAUUGGGUAAUUUCACUUUUCUCAUUCCACUUUUUUGGUACUCUAUUUUAUGAUUUCUAAUGUUCCAUUAUUUUAUCCUCAAUGGUUCUGCUUAAUGUUCAAUGUUCAUUUUUCCUCCUUCCACCUGUUCCUCUUGAGUCAUAACUAUUGACAUAACUUCAAAUCUUAACAGGAAACUGCAAAAAACAGUGGCAGAGCUGGAACACCUUCACAAAACUAGAUCUGGUGUAAAUCUUGUUUUACCCCCAUCUCAUUUGCGGCGAGUUGAAAAGGUUUAAUUAUCUCCUCUAUGCAUGAGUUAUCGGUGCUUUAUGGAUCUGUUUCCAUUAGCCAAUGGAUAUGACCUUUGUCUUGUGUGUAUGUCUCCGUCAUACAUCAUCUGAUGCAUGUUUUUUAUAUCCAAUCUUCUUGCAUUACCUAUUUGUAGAUUACUGAAGGUCAGCUCUUUGUGGAUGGGUAUAUUGAGAAGCAACUAUACAGUUUCCUUGAUUACAUUUCGAGUGGGUUUGAGCUUAAUUUCAUGGUUGCAGUUGACUUUACUGGUAAGUAAUCUUAAACCCUUUUUGGGCCUUUAACAAUUUGGUUAUAUCUUUCUUAUUUGGUCAAUCUCCACAUAUUUCUAUUUAAGUAUCCUGUUCCUCUUUUAACUUCCAUUUUAUUCAGCUUCAAAUGGAAUUCCUCACAAUUCAGACUCCUUGCAUUAUAUUGAUCCUUCAGGGCACCUGAAUGCUUACCAGCAGGUAAAGUUGGUCUUGCCUCUCUCUUAACUUCCUUAUACAUUUCCGGUCAUCUCUUCUGUUGUGCUUUUUAGAAUAUCUGAAAUUUUCUAAAUUAACCAUAUACUUAAAAACUUCACUUGUAUUAAGUAGAUGGAUGAUGACAUAAAUUGGAUGUAUAUAUUGGCCAUAAUUUUCUAGAACUUAUUAUAUUGUUGCCAGGAAUUUAAUUGGAUCAGUUCACAAAGCUAACAUAAUGCCCUUAGUUUCCUGUGUCUGCAUUUAUGACUUAUCUGGAAGUAGCUGAAAAUUUUAUGAAAUGCAAUCCUCUUUUUCUUGUACUUCAGAUGUUAAAAGCUUAUAGUUGAAUUAUUAACUGAAAAUCAUUACAGGCUAUAAUGGAGGUUGGGGAAGUUAUACAGUUUUACGACUCUGAUAGACGCUUUCCAGCUUGGGGUUUUGGUGCAAGAACAUUUGAUGGUUCAGUGUCCCAUUGUUUCAACUUGAACGGAAUCCCUACUGACUCUGUGGUAGCAAUCUCUUUUAUAGUUACUAUUUAUCUGAAAACAUCUUGUGCGUUAUCCAUAUCACUUGAUUCCAUUUGCAGUGCUUCCUGCAUUCAGUUAUCUUUAUCUUGGAUUGGCUGAUAAGCAACAGAAAAUUAUUUUAUGCUAGCGUUUGAUUAUUUAGUUUCAAAAGGCCCUCACAAUUAUGUGAUCUUAGAUGGUACAAUUCACUUUCAAGUUACAAGAGAGACAGAUAACUUUGAUUGUAUUCCUGAUGUUCUAUUUGAUGAUGGUCCCAUGACCCGCAAUCACUUUUUGUAGACACAUAUUUUGGCUAAGACCAAUGAUACAGGCCUUAGGAAUGGGUUACAGACAUUAGUACGUAUCUGAAACUCCUUAACAAUGAUUACUGAUGAGCAUAUUCAUGGUUUAUUUCUUUUUGACUAUCAAAAGAUGGAUGAGAGAUAAUGUCUAUUAUUAAAAUGUCAAUAUAUUUUGUCAGCGCAAUUUGCUCUCACACAGUGUUGAUAUUUUGGGGAAGUCAUAACCCUGGAACUUUAAAUGUUAUAAAUUUCAGGGUCUAGAAUGUUGGUAUUAUUAGUCGCUUCUUCAGCAUAUCCACCUAUGCCAGGACAAAUAAGCUCAAGCAAGAAGUAAUAUAAUUUCUUUUGCCAAAUUAAUCAAAUAAGUUAUGAAAGCAGCCGAGGGAAUUAAAUAUUAGUUUAAAAAUUCUCCCAUGUUAUGAUGUUUUGCCAUUCUAAUUUGGGUAACAAAAUUCACUUCUCUCUCACAUCAAUUUCUCCAUUGCACGUGAGCUGGAACGUUGGUUAGAUUGAAAAAAAUGUUUGAUUCAAACAGGGACACUAGCAGAGUAAAAUUGUAGUAGCUUGAGGAUUUUUUUCCCGCUUAUUUAAGAGUAUCAGAAUUAAAUGAGAUCCCCUAUUGCACUUAAUCCUUGUCGUUGUAUUGUUGGGUAUACCACUUAACCAAUUGAGAAGUCAAGGAGAUGCCAUUGAAAUUGACUAUAUUUAUGCCAACUUUGCAUAUGUUUUGUCCAUCUAUUAAUAUUAAAACAUGAAUUUUUUGUUAAUUAAAUUUUGAAUUCUGUGACAGUGGUUUCAUUUGAUUGGUAUUCUUUAUUGUAGGUUACUGGUAUAGAAGGCAUUAUGGCUGCUUAUUCAAGUACGCUGUAUAAUGUCACCCUUUCUGGGCCCACAUUGUUUGGUCCAGUUAUUAACAAGGCUGCAGAAAUUGCUGGUGGCUCCCUCUCUGUCAACCAGAACAAGUAUUUCAUCUUGCUAAUUAUAACGGUAUGCAAAGUAAAUACUUGAAUUUUAUUGUCUUUGCAGCGUAUUUUUACUCUUUGCUCCUGAAAUCUGGCAAAUUUUGCUUUCUUGUAGGAUGGAGUCGUAAGUGACAUCCAAGAAACUAAAAAUGCUUUGGUCAGGGCAUCUGACCUGCCACUUUCCAUCCUUAUUGUUGGAGUUGGCGGAGCAGAUUUUACGCAAAUGGAGGUACAUUCUUACUGUAAUAAUUUUAUAACUUUUUUAGCUGGAAUUUGACUAGGUCCAUGUAACGAGUUUGCAUGUGAAAAACAUUUGGCAGGUCCUUGAUGCUGAUGAUGGACACCGAUUAGAGAGUUCAACUGGAAGGGUAGCUACCCGCGACAUAGUUCAGUUUGUUCCUAUGCGUGAAGUACACCGUAAGUGCUUGUUCACUUGCUUUAUAUUAGGAUAUGGUUCUUUUCUAAUAGAAAGACCACUUGUUAUGUAAAUAUACCUAUUCUUCUUCUGGCGGUAAUUUUAGUGGUUAUUUUGCAUCUUUUGGUAGGUAUUCAACACCUUGAAUUUCUAGCUUUUAUAUUAACAAUUUAGUUGACAUAGGACAAUUGCGAUGGAACUAGAACUACCCUAUUACAAGAUAUCUUGUUAUUGCCUGUUAUAACUGGCCAAGCUUUUAUAGGCAUCUAGUCACUUGGCUGUUGUUAAUUAGCUCGUGGAUUUCAUUUCAUUGAAUGUUGAACCUUUUACUCUGCAUGGUUCCUUUCUUCAGUUACUGUGUUUUUCGCUUCAGUUUUUUUUGGGUUUGGGGGGGGGGGAGGUUGGCGGUGUUUGUGACAGCCUAUCAAUAGACUGUGAACUGUUGGUGUGAUCCAAGUCUCCAGAUUGUGAGAAACGAGUUAUCUUUUACUCGCUUUCAGUAUUUAGUUAGUGGAUUCAAAAGGCACUAAGAUCUUGAACUUGGUGGAGAAUUUUGUAGUUGGAUUUGGUGGAGACUUUUGUAGUUGGAUCAUGCUCAAGUUGUUUAAGCUAAUUGAAGUGGUACGGUUUAUAAGUGCUUUACUUAAGACACUGAGAACUUAUUAAGAAACGAGAUGCAUGGUAGCAAAGGAAAGUUAUAACCAUCUUGAGGCUAUACUUGGUCCUUAGUCUGAAGUUCUGGUUUUGGCUUGAUAAAUGGAUUGGAUGCAAGAUGAGUUAAGAUUGAAUAUGGGUUCUGAUGCCUGAAGACUGACUGAAAAGUAUAUGUACACUAAGAGGAAUAAAGGAUAUUGAAAGAGGCACAAUAUUUUUGGUACUUGGAGAACUUGAAUCAUUUCACAAAUUAAUCAUUUUCGUACUGUGUCUAGUACUUACAGUGAAACUAUUCUAAUUCUCCAUUCUCAUUGUCUGCAGAAGUAAUUCUAACCUUUGAAAUGUUAACGACUACCGUGUAAUAUAUGAUCACAGAUUUAUUCAAAGUUACUAGUAGAAUCUUGACCAAUAAUUAAGUUGUUGGACUAAAUACCUAAUUGCAAUUAUUGCCUUAAAUACUUACUAAACACAAUGCGAUCAGGAGUGUAAACUAUGGUCGCGACUAUAGUUAUAGGUGCCUUGAAGGUUUUGUUGUAAAAUCCAAUCCCCUUGAUUAGUUCCAUUGCCCUCUUCAAGUUCUUGAACAUCUUUAAGGAACCUUCUCUGAAGCUAGAGCCUGUUUUUGAAGAUUCUUCUCUUAUUUACUCUUCCUGGACCUCUGACUGGUUCACAGUUGGCAUUGCAUUGACUGUCAUCACUAACCAUGAAGCUAUUUAAAUUUCUAUUUAUGAAAUUAUAUAUUAAGUAGAAGACAGGCUGUAGAAAUAAUCAACUUCCAGCAAGAUUGUCUCGUGUCAUGAAUGGAUUUUUGGUAGUUAAGUUGCUAAGUGUUAAUGAGAAUUACAACCAACGUUAAUAUAAAUUGUGUGGAAGAUCUUGGAGAUGGACCGGUGGAGUGCAUGUUGUUUAAAAUGGCAAAUGCAAUGCUUUUAUAGAGCAGCAUAGGUCUCUGAUUAAAUUCUCCUUUAAGAAGUUACUUUUAAGUUGUUGGCAGCUUCAGCACAAUUUAAAAUCUCUUUGCUUGUCAAUCUUUCCUUGUGUUUUUCCCCCCUUCACUUGCUUUCCUCUACCUAAUGUAUGACCUGAUAUUUGGCUAACUUUGUGAAGGUGGAGAGAUAUCAGUUGUUCAGGCUCUCCUGGAAGAACUACCUGGACAGUUCCUGAGUUACAUGCGUAGCAGGGAUAUCAAACCUCACUUUCCUGAUAUUGUUCAUGCUUCAGGCCAGGGAACCCUUUAUGGGGUUUGAACUAUUAAAAUGCUCAAAAGUUGCUUAACAUGUAAUCUUCUAGGAUUUUAAUCUAACAGAAAUUUCAGAAUGUAAAUAUCUAGGGAGAAAUAGCAGAGCAAAAAUAGAUGUUUUUUUCGGAGGCAGAAAUAUGUCAAUUCUUUGAUUCUGUUGGUCUUCCUCAAGUACAUAUGAGUAGGUAGUAGAGUAUGGAUGUCUGUCCCCAUCUAAAUUUGUUUUCAAGCAAGUGCAAUGUCUUAUAGCACAAACCUUUCUACAUUGCUUAUUGGUUUUGAGACAUGAAUAUAACAUGUAAAGAACUUAAAAUGCUGCUGGGAAAGGAGUUUGCAAGUUGAGCCCUGGAGCUAGAUCAUUAUCCUGCAUGGUGUCUUCGUCAGAACCUGAUUCCUGAUAUGCUUUGGUCUAGGUACCUAUCUGUUGUCAUUCACUUUAAUUUGAGGACACAGGUAUUAUCCCAAUAAGAUCAGAAGAGAGAGGUUUUUUAGCGUGAACUUCGCUGGAUCAUUGAUGUCUGCCAUGCUAUCUGUUCUACCAUUUUAAAGGAUCACAGAGACACUUGAACAAACGGAUAACAGUAGAUGAACAUUACAUCAAUAUUUUCUGCAUUUCUAGGGGUUGGGAUGAUGCAAGAGGGCAGGAAAUGUAAUUUCUGGUGUGUGUGUGUGUGUUUUUUUUUCGUUCUGUUUGCAGCAUGAACUAUCUUUCCAAGUUAAUUAAAAUUAUGCAAUGUUUUCCCUUAGAAAUAAGACUUAUGGAAUAUGUUCACAGAUUCUUCUCCGAUCGAGUUGUUAACGCAAGGAUGAUAGCAAAAUGAUCAUCGAAAGUAAGAUCCAAAAUACCUAAUUGGAUGACAUUACCAAACUUUUCAGGCAUCUUCUUUCUGGCGUUUCCGAACUUCUGCACUGCAGAAAGUAACUGAUAGUUUAGAGAUAGAGACUACCACAAAUUCGUACGUUAAUUGCUGCUGAACAUUUUGCUAAGUCGUUGGUUGAAUCUGGAACACGAAACAACUCGAUACAGUGUAAAUGUUUUGCAGAUUCAUUCCACCUUAGAUGGUAGACAUGCUAUACGAUUUGCUGACCAAAGUACCGUAGUUGAUGUCUUUUACUGCUGCUAAUCAAUUCUUCGAAAACAUAAAUGUCUUGAAAACAAUGUGAAGUAUGAAGUAGGGUUUUUCCCAAUGAUAUUUGUAAAACAAGUUUCCGAUAAAAUUGAGCCCAAUCGAAACAAUGAACGGAAAGUGAUAAAAUACUUUUUGCCUUUUCUUUUUGGUAUUUGCUUGGACCUGCAGAGUCCUAAACUGCACUUCCUGGUUUAGCCAAAAAGAAUAAACACUGUCCUGGCAAUAUGAUGUUGAUAUGCGGUCGAUUAAGGAAUUGAAUUUUCACACUUUCCUCGUGGAUUUUCUCUGUAACAAGGAAAAGCAUUUGCAGAUCAAUAUGGGUGACGGCAAUAUUCUCAAAUAUGCGGCUCAGUUGAAUCAGAUCAUAUUUAAUAUAGUUUGCAGUAAUAUCUUAAAUCUCUAGUCCAAACAAGCCAAAUUCUGAACUUGUAAUCUGAAAUUGUUCAUUGUGAGACAUUUUACCCCCCUCCUCCCCCCGUGACAAAGAUUACAGUGACCAUUUUAAGUUUCCCUAUGCAAGAAAAGUCAGCUCUUUACAUUCUUUUUGCCGUUCAGGCAUCAACAAACCUGAUACUGCAGAAUUCAGUAACAGAAAUGCAGCUCGCAUCACAAUGCAGCAUAAUCCUAUCAAUGAUGCCUGCGGCGAUCCUUCUCCCUCGAUGAAUAAGAACUGUGGUACUCGCGAUCUACAACAGAUGAAACGUAACUCAAAAAAGGUCUAUUAUAGCAACAGUUUGCCCAAGAAAAAUCAUCAGAUAACUGAUUUACUUACCUCGAGAAGAGUGAUGUUUCGAUUUCUCCCCAUGCCCUGAAGUGUGAGCGAAAAAUAUCAAAUGACGAGUCGUUCAUUUUCACUAAGACAGAAAAGUUGCAAAGAGCUUGCGAAUCUGCAAAUAUACUAAAACAUACUUACCUUUGUCCCUUGAGCGAUGACUCCUGUCCUUAAUUUUAUCCCUGUCUCUCUCAUUGUCCUGUCUUUCCCUUUCUCUUUCCCGUUCCCGUUCUCGUUCCCGAUCAGAUUCCCUUCCCCUAUCACGGUCCCGGGAUUUCACUCUCUCCUUCUCCUUGCUGCGAUCCCUGUCCCUUUCAUUCUUGUCCCUUUCCUCGCUUGCCUCUGUUUUAUGCUCAGACAUUGAUUUUGAAAGAGGUUCUUCUCUUGAGUCUCCAUCGGUAGGCAAGCUUCUAGAUUCUCCAUCACUUUUCUUCGAGUCGUUUAAUUUGUCUGAAGCAGCUUUGGAUUGUGCAUCCUUGCCUGAUUCUUGAUUGGCUCCAGUAGAUGUCCCCCUGGGGCUGGUAUUAUUAUCAUUUGCAGGUGGGACACUCAAGGAUCCUUCCUGCAUUUAACAAAGAAUAAAUCAAUUCAUACAUUUAUAAUGCUACACGAUACACAUUUGACCGAUUGAACCACAGUAAAAACUAAAAUUUAAAAACACCAAACAUGCAUGCCUAAGCAUAGCAAAACAGAGAAAACUAACCCUUGGUGGCUGAGGCGAUAAAUCCCAUGAUUUGUUAGAUGUUGUAAAUGACCCUCCAUCCUUGCAUACAGGAAUGUACUGUGCCUUGGGAAGGCUAUACAAGUGGGCAAGUACUCUGCAAACCUCAUCUAUCCCAGAUUUGUCUGCAUCAAAUGCCUUCCACCAAGGAGGAUUCUCAGGUAGGGGUACCUGAAACCUACGAGCUGCUGCAUAAACAACUCCACAAGCCACGACUUCACUUUUGAAUCUCACACACAAAGUAGUUCGCAAGCUGCUCAAAGAUGCAUAAGCAAUGCAGGAAACUAUCAGAAGAGAAAGAUGCACAGAAAACCAUGAAGUCAUAUCCCAUACAAAGCAAGUGAACCCAACUUCUAGUUCUUUAGAAAGUAAAUAGAAUACUGAGAUAAAUUCAAUAUUCACUAUUCAACCAAGACAUCAAGCUUUUAAAUUUUCAUAAGGAAAUGCAAUAGCUAAAAGUGGUGCUAGAAAAUGGCAAAUGUCAUCAAGGCAAUUGAUGUAAACUUCUGAAUACCAUUGAAUUUAUAUUCCUUAGUGAAAAUUUCUGAAUCCUUGCUAGCACACUUGAAUGUAGAACUUGGAAAUAUUGCAGUUAUUUGGGCCAAAUCUGUCUUAUCUUACAGCUUGAUACCUAUCCCAACCCAAUUUAUGUAUGCAAGGACCAAAUAUGUCUUAAAGUCUCUCAAAGUCCUAGACCACGUCCAGGUCCAAGAUAAGGCUCAGGUUUCAAGCCCAUAUCCAUGCCCACGAGACAUUUAUUGCUGAUACUCACAAAUAUCUGAUAUAAUGUUUGACAAAGUUCAACUUAAUGACUGAUAAAACCCCAUAACUAAUAAUGAGAUGAAUGAGAAACUCAUGUCACCUUAAACUAGAUAUCUCUGUAAAAUUUUAAUAAAUCUGCAGGAGAAGACGGUUUGAGAUCUGCCUGCAAUAGAGGUUGUCUUAAAAGAUGUUGAAGCACCUAAUUCCUGAACUGGUCUUUUGCUAUUAUCUUUAAGUGAUAUCCCAUCAGUAGGUCAUUUAACUUACCCUUCUACUUCUGUCACUGACACAUCUUUUGAGCGCUGUUCUAGUCUUUUUCCUCCUUAUGCUGUGGUAAGUACUUAAGCUUUCUACAUUAUAUUAUCCAAAAUCUUCUACAGCUAGAUGGCGGCCCUAGUGAAAAACAACAUAUAAUAAUUCCUGCAGAGAAAUUCCAAAAUUACUCAAACCCCCCUAUUUGUGCUUCCAAGUUUCACCCCCCCCCAACCCUCCAUUGAUUUGUUCAUCCUUUGUUUAUUUUACAAAAUCUACAUCAUCUAUCCCAUGUGCUGCAUCCCAGAUCUACAAGCAGAAACAAAUGAAAAUUCAGUAAUUAAAUGUCAAUCUUAAACUUUAAGAACUAAAGUUUUACUUGCCGCAUGAAUUUCUUAAUUGCAGAUUUACUGGCCAAUUGAGAAACACAGAAAAUCCAAGUGCUUGACAUAAAGGUCACAUGAACAAGCAUAUUGGAGACCAAAACUACCAUACUUUAGCAACAACUCAACUGUACGAGGGAAGACAUCAACUUAAUCACUUCCUUUCUCAAUAAAAUGUACUGUGCAAAGAAUCUGUUCAUCAAGAGGAAAAUGUUGUUUUUCGAAAGCUGAAAAAUUCAAGCUCUAGUCUUGGAAUCACUCUUUCAAAUUCCCUGCAUCUAAGAAUGAAAUGACAAAAGACAUACUCGCAAAAAGCUUGAUGUUUAGCUCCAUUGAUAAAGAUCAAACAUGUUUCCAAAUAUGAAGACCCCCCUUAUGUUCAAUAUGAAGCUAUAGCUUAAUGCUUUUCUGAGAUUAGAGAUAAUUCUUUUUUGCUAUUAUUUCUAUUGACACUUUCAGGUUUAGAGAAUGAAUACUAUACACAUUGAAACACUUCUGCAUUUUUUAAGUUCAUGAAGCUUGCAAGAUCAGAAAAUUGCACACCUCCUAAGACUAUAGUUCAGUUAAAAUUCAGAAGACCAUGUGGCAACAAACACACACACACACACACAAAAUGGCAGAGCUGAAUGUUUCUAAGAAUUCAGAGACAUCCAAGCUAUUGGAAAAAGCAUCUAGUUGGUAUCAAAAUCGUCGUUAAGGGAUGUAAGUGGGCUAAUGAGCUGCCAAAUUUUGUCAUUUUGCUACACUAAAUUAUAAAAGUCACCACCUUCAAAUUUCAACCAACAACACAGCAUAUCAGUGCAUUAGGUAACCCUUUUUUUCAACAUUGGUUAGACUUGUCUUGAAUUACGAAGUAGAUUGGCCUUACAAAGUAAUACCAGUUAGCAACAGGAAUUAAUUUCAGGUUGAUCUUUACCUAUCAUUUGCCAGAUUCCAAGCUUCUUGACUCAGUUCAGGUGUUUCAAGCACCCGUAGGUAAUUCGAUAUGAAUUUGUGUGGAUGCUCCACGUGGCAGAUGAAGCCCAUCUCCUUCAAAAGAUGUCUUUCUGUUCUAACCAAAUCUGCCUUCAACUCCACAUAUUUCUGUCCUCCAUAAAAGAAAAAAAGAGACCCAAGAAAGUAUGAAUAAGAAAGGGAACUUUGUUUAAUGGACAUCACCAAUAUCCUUAAAGAUGAGUCAAAUUCACAAUCACCAUGUAAAAGAACUAAUUAGUCAAAAAAGUGUUCUAACCUUCAAAGACGUAUCCAGAUGCUCAAUUGGCAGGUUCUCCCUUCUACAUUCCAUACGAUGAAAAACAACAAGGACUUGUCUCGCUUUCCUAGGGCUUUCCUCAAGCUUUGAAGCAAGCCAGACGCAGCUCGCAGCAACCCUCUGACAAUUCACAAAUAAAGCCAUUGUAUCAUCAUAAACAAACAUUGCUGCCCAUCUAGAUAAACUUAAGAAAGUAAAAUAUGAAGAACCGAAGUUGGAUGGGAUAAGAAGAAGGAAAAAUACCUUCACGUUGAAACGAGCAAAUGAUUUUUUACAAUAAAACCGGUGGAAUAAAACUUGGCCAGUUGCCAUGACAGCCUGAGGUCUGGAAACAACCAAAUGAAGGAAAACCAAAAAUCCAAAAGCAACAAGAAAGAACCUCAAAAAAAAAAAAAACUUUAUCAGAACCAAGAAUUUUCCAAAAACUAUAUCUAGGAGAUCCAUAGUAGUUUACCAUCCACAUUCUCAUAUUUGAACAGAACCAAAUAAAAGCAGCAUAGCAUUAAAAUGAAUUAAAACUGAAAGAAAAAAGAUAAAAAAAAAAGAGGCAAAGAAAGGAUACAAUCUGAGCAAAAUCCCGCUCUCCUGGAUGAGAUCACAACCAUAGAUUCGUAAUGUAGUUUCGGUAGCUAUAUCGAUCCCAUCCUUCCUAGAAGGCAAAUUUUCUAGUUGCUCAUCAGUUAAGUAAAAUGUGUCGAUGGCUGUGUAAAUCAUGGCUGAUCAACACCUUCAGGAAAAACCCUUAACAACCUGCUGCAGCGAACCCAAUUGAAUGCUUCAUAUUUCAAUCAUAAACUAUUCUCUCUAGUAAAGAACCAACAUUUCCAUCGACCCCUACACAAAAGUACUUGUAUAUAUCAACCAUGAAAUCGACUUCUGGUCCCACCCCUACAAAAUUGGCAAUCCUACACUACUCCAAAAAGUUAAUCAAAAUGCAAUAAUUCAACAAAUUAACUAAAUUAAGCAUACCCAACUUCCUACUUAAUUAAGCAAUAACUCUAAAAAAUAAUCAAAAAGCAAUAAUUCAACAAAUUCAUUAAAUUAAGCAUAUCCUAGAUAACUGAAAAGAAAAUUUUAAAAAAUUAAAAAAAAGGAGAGGAAGAGAUGAAAGUUACUAGUAAGCAAACUGGAACGGCCGCGGAGGAGUGGAACCAGUGGCCACGUUAAUACGAGAAGAACGACGUCGGAUGGGUGUCAUGGAGUGCAGAAGUCUUUCCAGUUCAGCUUAAAGAAAGGUGAAGGCGUGGUCUACGGCAAAAGGAUGGCGCGAUUGAUCAAACCGAAGAAAGGGAAGGCGUGAUUCAGGAAACACGUUUUUCUUGGCUCCAAACAGAAUUAUGCUUCUGUUAUGAACAAGUGGGACGGAUCAUUCUAGAAUCCACCUGGCCUCAGCUCAUUGGUUAGUUUAGAAGUUAGUUAGCCGGGAAAACCAUAAAAGCAGAAGAAAUCUUAGUGAUAGGUAGCAUUUUGUCAUUUGUCCAAUUACUUGUAAAGAAAGAUUGGCUCUGCCAAUCUCCCUCCCUCCCUCUCACGUUUCAUUCCUUCACUCUUUUCCCCCUUCUAUCUCUGAAUCCAUUGUUUCCAGUCUGUAUUCAUUCAUAUUAAGAAAUUGAAUUACCAAAUCAUUUUCAAUACCAAUUCUACUCCAUUUCUAUUGAGCAAUAGUUUACUGCUUUCUGCAACAAAUCUGUCACCAUUGCCUCCAACUGGUUCUGUACCAUUACAGUGGUAUCAGAGCUCAGCUACGAGCCAUUGGGAUGGCUAAGUCACAAGAUGAAGCAUUGAAGAAGGAUCUGUCUGAGCUAGGAAGUGUGGUCAAGGUACUAGAACACAGGCAAGAAGGUACGGAAAGGACCCUCAAAAAUCUGGACCAAAAGUAUGAGAGCAUGAUGUCUAUGAUGGCUCAGAUGAUGGCCAAGUUGAAUGGCAAGGAUAAGGAUACAGAAAGUAGCAGUUCGAUAGUAGGCCCCAGGAAAGGAGAAACACAAGGGGAAGGUCAGGGCAGAUCAGAUUGGAAGGAGAGCAGAUCUUACACCAGGGUGCCUAAGAUGGAGCUGCCUAACUUUACAGGAGAUAAUCCAAGGGAGUGGAUCCGCAAAGCUAACAAGUAUUUUAAGAUCAAUGGAGUGGAAGAAAACAUGAAGUCUGAGAUUGCUGAGCUGUACCUAAGAGACAGGGCUGAUACCUGGUUCCAUGGAGUAUUCAGUGGCAGGGGAGUCAUUCCAUGGGCUGAAUUUGCCACUGCAUUAUGUGCGAGAUUUGGUGAAGGCACGCCAGAGGAGGCCAUUGAAGAAUUCAACAAACUCAAUCAGGAGGGAUCUGUUGCUGACUACCUGGAAAAGUUUGAGCUGCUCAAAGCACUGGUAAUGCCUUCACUCCCUCAUUUGGCUGACUCUUACUAUAAAACAUGUUUUCUAAGUGGCUUGAAGGAAGAAAUAGUUAACAUGGUAAAAAUGGCCAAGCCCCUAACUCUGGCUGAUGCAAUAGAAGCAGCUAAGUUACAAGAAAAAAAUUUAAAAGCCAUGCAGAAAAUACAUAAAGGCCUACCCAGCACUAUUCAUACACACAAAGCCCCAUUCCACACCCCAAGCCAUAACCAGGGGAGCUCUGCUGCUCCCAGAACGUCAGACAAACACCCCAUCAAAAACCAUAAAUAUCCAAACAGCAACCAGAACCAAUUCAGGAGGAUCACCCCUAGUGAGUACAACCUCAGAAGAGAGAAGGGACUAUGCUAUAAGUGUGCUGAACCCUACACACUUGGCCAUGUGUGUAAGCAAUCCCACAUUCACUUUUUGCUAGUCACUGAUGAAAAGGGGGACUCUGCAUCCACUGAGGAGGAAAAGGAGACUGACCCUGAAGUAUUCUGUGACUGCAUUGAGGGUCGACUGGAGGAUGAACACAUAGAGGUUUCUGUGCAUGCAUUGGCUGGGGGUGGGGAGCAUAGAACAAUUAAACUGAGGGGGACCAUAAAAGGGAGAACUGUCACUGCAUUGAUUGACAGUGGAAGUACUCACUGUUUUUUGGAUGAACAACUGGCCAAAAGCCUAGGCCUAAUCAGCAGUGGACCCUCCCUAAUGGUCAGGGUAGCUAAUGGAGAGAAGAUUCAGUCCAGGGGCCUAGUUAAGCCAGUGGUCUGGAAAAUGCAGGGAUAUGAGUUUCAACACCAGUUCAAUACCUUGAAGUUGGGGGGUUGUGAUAUGGUAUUAGGGGUAGACUGGCUGGCCAGGUUCAGUCCCAUGGAAUUUGACUUCCAAGGGCUGAGGGUGAGGUUCAAAAAAGGGAAACAACAAGUGGAGUUGAAGGGGGAGGGUCACCAGGUGCAAUUAAAGCUGAUAAAAGGUAGUAGACUGCACAAGUGGGCUAGGAAACAAACCUAUGGGAUCCUGGCUCAGUUAAAAGCAGUAACUGAGGAGGUACCAGAAACUGAAGCCAUACCCCCAGAAAUGGGGAGGGUACUGCAGGAGUUUGAGGAUGUGUUCAGGGAACCUCAGGGACUACCCCCUGAAAGGAGUCAUGACCAUUCUAUCACCUUGAAAGAGGGAUCCAAGCCCUUCCAGAUAAGACCUUACAGAUGCCCCUACGUCCAGAAGUCUGAAAUUGAGAAACUAGUGCAGGAGAUGCUGGGAAAUGGCAUCAUCCAGCUUAGUAACAGCCCCUUUGCAUCCCCUGUACUACUAGUUAAAAAGAAGGAUGGCACCUGGAGGUUUUGUGUAGACUAUAGACAAUUGAAUGAGCUUACAGUGAAGAGCAAAUACCCAAUACCCCUUAUUGAUGAGCUCCUGGAUGAGUUGAAUGGAUCCAGGUACUUCACCAAGAUUGACCUGAGAGCAGGGUACUUCCAAAUCAGGGUCAAGACUGAAGACAUACCCAAGACUGCAUUCAGAACCCAUCAGGGACUCUAUGAGUUCAAGGUGAUGCCAUUUGGGCUAACCAAUGCCCCUGCUACUUUCCAAGGCUUAAUGAAUGAUGUGUUCCAAAAACAGCUGAGGAAAUCAGUACUGGUAUUUUUUGAUGACAUCUUAAUAUAUAGCUCAAGUUUACAGGAGCAUCUGAAGCAUGUGGCAGAGGUUCUGGAUAUCCUCAGGAGGCACCAGCUGUACGCCAAAAGGAGCAAAUGUGCUUUUGCUCAGGCACAGGUGGAGUACUUGGGGCACAUCAUCACAGAGGAGGGGGUGAAGGCUGACCCUGGGAAGAUAGAGGGAAUGGUGAAAUGGCCUAGACCAGAGAAUGUUAAACAACUGAGGGGAUUCCUAGGCCUAACUGGAUAUUAUAGGAGGUUUGUCAAGGGGUAUGGCAGCAUAGCCAAGCCUUUGACUGCACUGCUCAAGAAGGACAGCUUCCAGUGGGGAGGAGAAGCUGAGGAAGCUUUUCAGAAGCUCAAAGGGGCCAUGAGUGACACUCCUGUUCUGGCCUUACCUGAUUUCAACCAACCUUUUGUGGUAGAGACUGAUGCCUGCUACAAGGGCAUAGGGGCAGUCCUCAUGCAGAACAAGAGACCAAUAGCUUACAUCAGUCAGGGGUUGGGACCAAAGAAUAUGGGGUUAUCCAUCUACGAGAAGGAGCUACUGGCUCUUGUCACAGCAGUCACCAAGUGGAGACACUAUUUGGAGGGUCAACACUUCAUCAUCAACACAGAUCAUCAGAGUUUGAAGUACCUAUUAGAGCAAAGAAUUACCACCCCCCUGCAGCAAAAAUGGCUAACUAAACUCAUGGGGCUGAGCUAUGAGAUCCACUACAGGAAGGGUAAAGAGAAUGUAGUGGCAGAUGCUUUGUCUAGGAGAGGUGAUCAAGGAAUGGACUGUACUGCAAUAUCAACUGUAGUGCCAGAAUGGAUCAAAGAAGUGAUUAGCAGCUACCAAGGGGAUGAUUGGGCACAAGAUAGCAUCAGGGAGGUGUUGCUGAAACCAGAUCAAGUCCCUAACCUCAGCUACCAUAAUGAUGUUCUGAAGUUCAAAGGAAGAAUAGCUGUGGGAUCUGGGGGAGAGAUAAGAAAGAAACUGAUCAGCACUCUACAUGGCUCACAGUUAGGGGGACAUUCUGGCAUACAAGCUAGCUUUCUGAGGGCUAAACAGCUGUUCUACUGGCCAGGUAUGCACAGGGACAUUAAGACAGCUAUUUUGGAAUGUGAUGUCUGCAAGAAAUGUAAGGAUGAGCAUGUGUCAUAUCCAGGGUUACUGCAGCCACUGCCAGUCCCACAGUCUCCCUGGAGCCAUGUCACCAUGGAUUUCAUUGAAGGGUUACCUAACUCAGAGGGAAAAGACACCAUCAUGGUAGUAGUAGAUAGGUACACCAAGUAUGCUCACUUCCUGAGUAUAUCGCACCCCUUUGAUGCCCCAAAAAUUGCUAGAAUAUUCUUGGAUGGGAUAGUCAGGUUACAUGGAAUACCCCAAAGCAUGCUAUCAGACAGGGAUAGAAUCUUCACCAGUCUGUUUUGGAGUGAGAUAUUUACACUACUGGGAGCUACACUGGACCUCAGCACAGCUUAUCACCCACAAUCUGAUGGCCAGACAGAAAGAGUGAAUCAGGUACUGGAAAUGUACCUCAGAUGUUUCUCCCAUCUAGAACCAAAGAAGUGGAACCACUGGUUGGCCAUGGCAGAAUGGUGGUAUAAUACCAGUCACCACACAGCUAUUCAAAUGACACCCUUUGAAGCUCUGUAUGGGCAGGCGCCUCCACAGAUGGCCCUGGGACCCUACACUCAGGCCAAGGUGGCUGUAGUUGGAGACUAUCUAAGGGAAAGGCAUAAGGUCGACAUUGCACUAAAACAGAAUCUAGCACAGGCUCAGGAAAGGAUGAAAAGGUAUGCAGAUGAAAGGAGGAGUGAAAGGAGAUUUGAAAUUGGAGACUGGGUAUACUUAAGACUACAACCUUACAGGCAAAAUUCUGUAGCUAUGAGGAGCAACACCAAGCUAUCAGCACGUUACUAUGGGCCCUUUGAAGUAAUAAAAAAGAUUGGAGAGGUUGCUUACAUGCUGAAGCUGCCAACAGGGUCCAAAAUACAUCCUGUUUUUCAUGUCUCACUACUGAAGAAAAAAGUUGGAGAACAGACUACACCUAUUUUACAGCUACCGGAAGUCGAUGGAAAAGGGCACUUGAGGGUAGAGCCCGUAGCAGUGCUGGAUAGGAGAAUAGUCAAGAAAGGGAAUGCUGCUGCAGUACAAUGGCUGAUUCACUGGUGGGGAACAGAUCCAGCAGAGGCAACAUGGGAAUUCGCAGAGGAUAUUGAGAAGCAGUUUCCCCAGUUUCAAUCUUGAGGACAAGAUAUUUGUGAAGGAGGGGGUACUGUCAUGGAGUGCAGAAGUCUUUCCAGUUCAGCUUAAAGAAAGGUGAAGGCGUGGUCUACGGCAAAAGGAUGGCGCGAUUGAUCAAACCGAAGAAAGGGAAGGCGUGAUUCAGGAAACACGUUUUUCUUGGCUCCAAACAGAAUUAUGCUUCUGUUAUGAACAAGUGGGACGGAUCAUUCUAGAAUCCACCUGGCCUCAGCUCAUUGGUUAGUUUAGAAGUUAGUUAGCCGGGAAAACCAUAAAAGCAGAAGAAAUCUUAGUGAUAGGUAGCAUUUUGUCAUUUGUCCAAUUACUUGUAAAGAAAGAUUGGCUCUGCCAAUCUCCCUCCCUCCCUCUCACGUUUCAUUCCUUCACUCUUUUCCCCCUUCUAUCUCUGAAUCCAUUGUUUCCAGUCUGUAUUCAUUCAUAUUAAGAAAUUGAAUUACCAAAUCAUUUUCAAUACCAAUUCUACUCCAUUUCUAUUGAGCAAUAGUUUACUGCUUUCUGCAACAAAUCUGUCACCAUUGCCUCCAACUGGUUCUGUACCAUUACAAUGGGACACUUGGAGAAGAGGGGUUUCUGGUGCCGUCGAGGGAUUUAGAAAUUUUGGAGCAUCGGACAUUGAAACCGUUUUCUUCUUGUUUCAGACCGGCCACAGACUACCCGGCCAUCCAACUAUUAGGCAAACCAACCCGACCCGUGUAAGGGAAAAAAAAAUUAAUAUGUACACGUGUAGUUUUGACUUUGAGGGGGGAAAAGAAAGCUAGAUAUCCACUUAUUAGUGCAUUUUGUGGAGAAUUCUUUCUUGUAUUAGUAGAGUUCAUAUUGAUCUAGGCCAUUUGAACAUGAAUUUUUAAAUUGAUAAGAUAUUUUGUGACUAUUUAAAAAAAAAUUGCCAAAGGAAGAAUAUGUAGAAAGGUAGGUAAGCAAUUGAUUGUGUAUUAAUAGAUUAUUUGCAAAACAAAAUUAACUAAUAUAGCAAAAGAGUAAGAAUAUAGAGGUAGAGACCAAAGAGUGCAAACCUUUCUAUAUGGUAUGGAUAAAAUUAAUUAUAAAAUAUAGAGUAAAUUGUUUAGUCGACCCUAAACUAUUACUUUUGUACACUUUUGGUUUCUAAACUAUAAUAUACAACUUCUAAAUGUUUAAAUAUGGGUGUAAACAAAUAUAAUCAAAUCGAACACCUUAGUGUUCAAACUUUUUUUAUUAUUUUAACGAGUUUGAAAUUUUGUUCAAAUUUGGCUUGUUUAUUUACUAAAUUGAGUUUGAACAAGUUUUUUUUAUCCAACUUGAAUGUUAUCGAACACAAAACUCUAUUCAAAUUUGGGUUUGCUAAUUGGGAAAUGAAGUUCGAACAAGCUCUUACCAAGCUGAGUUCGAUUCGAGUAUCGAAUAGUUUGGUUCAUUUUUCAAUGUUUAAAUGUUAAACAAGAAAAAUGUAUAAAUUUAAAAAAAAAAAAGGAAGAAAAAAAAAAGUUAAUGUGCAAAUGAUAAUAAUGAAACUACAUGUAGUCCCUUGUAUUCUACAUUCUCGAAAAGCACAUUGAGUUAGCCAUGUAGAUAAUAGGGCAUUCCCAUAUACGAGGCCAGACAAAGUAAUCUGCUCCAAGUUGGACAUAGAUCCUCUAGAAAUCAACCUUCAAUGAGAAUUUGAAUGCCAUCCCAUAAAUGUGAAUCAUCUGAUAGAAGUCAAUCCAUGUAUAGACAAGAAAGGGUACAUUCCCACUAGAAGGAAAGAAUAAAAGUAGAUUUUCAAGAAGAAGUUAUGGCCAAAAGAUAAGGUCUCUAGUAAAUAUAUCAGAGAGGACGUAUACAACAAAAAACGCAAUUAGUCAUAAGAGUCUAACAAGUAUAAGAAGCAGUCAAGCAGAGGCACCUAGUCAAGAAUUCAUGAAGUAUCUCCUUGUAAAACUGAGUUGCUGUCAGAUAACUAGGAGGACAAACUAAAGUAUUGCAUGCCAAAAAUUGGACAACUACAUUAUUAGCAGAGCAAGUGCUAUCUUGUUGCAUGGGAACGCAGAUGUGCUAUGAAUACCUUUUUUCCAAAUGCUCAAUCCAUAUCAUCAUUCUUUUUACCUUAAAGUGAGCUGUCAAAGCUGCAAUAGGACAUUGAGUACCAUGUAGCAAAAGGGACCUAUUUUACACCAUGACAGAUCGCAUAGACAAGGUAAAACCCCAUAUGACCUUGCAUUUAGAUUGUUAUCCAGGAGUAAAGGUCAUCCAGUAAGCAUAAGAGCUAAGAAUAGCUCGCAAGCCACCUCCACCAGGAGUUGAAGGGAUUACUAGCGCAACUUUGAUUUCUUUUACGAAAAUGACUUUCUUGUUGAAUAAGGAAAAGUUAUCUGACAUGCAUUGUGGAAGAAGCCUUUAUCAUAUAUGUUAUUCUGAAGAGCCUCCACUUCUUCUAGGCAAGAUCUCCUGAAUAUGGCCUCCCAUUUGCUCUGCGGAAGCUUCUUUUCAAGGCUGAGUUCACUAAACUUUCUUUACGGGCCGCCUCGCUUGCCUUCGCCUCAAGUAGCUUCCUCCACCAGUAUAAGUGCUCUUGCCACUCAAAAGAGAAGAAAAUUUAAUAGUUCUUGAUUGAGAAUAUUUGAAUUGUUUGUUCACUGUUCAAUAAUCCUUGUUUAGAUACAUAGCUCAUAACAUACAUAUGCAUAGUGUUCUGAUCUACGAUUUAAAUUCUUCCAUCUUAUAGUAGUUGUUAAAUAAUAAAAAAAAAAAAAACUCCAAUAGAGAUCCAACAGGACAAGCAUCAUACCGCAAGCGCGUACCCAAUUUCACAUGGUUUAUGAAGCUGCCUAAGUUGUAAAAUUUUUCUCCAGCACCAGUAAGCGGCAUUUGGAAUUUUAACUGCCCACUUUGAUCAAUUCAUUAUGAAUCAGGUGGUAUCCAAGGAAUCCUUGUUUUAACAAAGUGACGAUUGAUUAAACCCCGAAGAAAGAGGUUUCAAAUAUAAGAUAACUAGUGUUGUAUUUACAUUAAUCUUUCUGUGCUACAACAAUCUGAGAUCUAGAUAAUAUCGAUUCACGCAAGCAAACACGUAGAUUAUUGAUCCCUGAAAGCGAAUUUGCAAAAGGAUAAUCCGAAAUACACGCAGUGGAAGAUAUACAGUAGGUAGCUGGGAGGGAUCGUGCUGCAGUAAUGACAAGUCACCUCACGAAAUACUAAACUAAUGUUAGUUAAAAGUGGUUGUCUAAGUUAUUCACCUUUAGCGACAAUUUUGGUCUUUUCUGAUUCCAUUAAAAUAAUGAUUAUAAAUUUUGUGUAUUUUUUGUUAAACUAAAAUGGUAAGUUUGUUCACUAAACUAGGAACUUUAAUCAUUCAUCAAAUUUACCAAUUUAUUUGUAAAACUUACCAUUUUUAACAAAAGCUUACCAUUUUUUUGAAUUAAACUUACUAAUUAUAAUUAUUGUAACUUUCUUAAGUAAAAUGGUAAGUUUGUGAAAGAAAGUAGUAAGUUUGGACAAUUCAUCAAUUUACCAUUUUAUUUGUAAAACUUACCGUCAUGUUAAUUAAACUUACUAAUUAUAAUUGUUGUAACUUAAGUAAAAUGAUAAGUUUGUGAAAUAAAGUAGUAAGUUUGUACAAUUCACUAAUUUACCAUUUUAUUUGUAAAACUUACCAUUUUUUAACAAAAAACUUACCAUUAGUUGAAUUAAACUUACUAAUUGUAAUUGUUGUAACUUUCUUCAGUAAAAUGGUAAGUUUGUGAAAUAUGGUAAGUUUGAACAAUUCACCAAUUUAUCAUUUUACUUGUAAAACUUACCGUUUUUCAACAAAAAUUUACUAUGAUUUGAAUUAAACUUACUAAUUAUAAAGUAGUAAGUUUCGUUGGAGAAGUAGUAACGUUCGAUAUUUAAAGAGUAAACUUCAUAUCACACUUAUAAUUUACCAACUUUAUUACCAAAGUUACCAUAUUACUACCUGAUGUUACUUUGAAUAUUAGAAAUCUGAAUGAACAGUAGUGUAAUUGUCAUUAAAGAUACCAAUCUAGGAUGUGAGGACCACUAUUAACCGGUUGUACUAAUAUUUUAAUGUAAAAUAUUCACAAGUUACUGUUGGGUUAACCGGACAAAUUACUCUUUAAAAAAAAUAGUAUAAAAUGAAUAACUCAAUGUUAAUUUAUCAUUUUCAUACGAGGACAAAAGUACAUCUGCAAACCUAGCUAAUCCGAAUAUUUCCCGCUUGGUUUACAUGUAAUAAUGCAGUAAUUAUUUGGAAUGAAUACGACAGAGGAGGACCAAGAAGCUAGCAGAAGAUCGCAUUAGGGAGGACUGUGUCAGGCUCGUAGGCUAAUUUGGGGAAGUUUGGGGAAGAAUUAGAGGAAGGGAAGAAAGGAAAAUUGGGAACAGCAAGAAAGAGGGAGAGAUAACAGAAAAGAGAGAGAGAAAGAAAUGAAUCUUGUUGUAAUAACCAAUGUCAGUUCGUAAUUCGGUUACAGGGGCUAUUUAUGCAAUUAGCCCAUUAAUGUGUUCAACUGUAUUUGAAAUUGCAAUCACCGCCCUUAUUUUAAUGCAACGGUGUCGUCUUAUUGCUCUCUACUAAAACGCACAACCUCCUACACCAAACGACCUGCACUUAGCUUCUUUGGUCCUGACAGUCCCUUCCCCUUAACAAAAAGCUUGUCCUCAAGCUUUGAAAUCUGGGAAUUGCCUAUCUAUGAAGUGCCUGUCUUCCCAGGAAGCUUCGGAUUCUGGCAGGUUAUUCCACUUCACCAAGUACUGGAUGACAGCCUGAGCAGCCCUCAUGAUGACCCGCCUCUGUAACACCUUCUCUGGCCUUAAUAAGCACUGAUCUGCUGCGUCCAGUUCAGGUAGAGUAGAUUCCACGGCCUGUGUCACUCCCCCCCCCUCUUUUUAAGCAGUGAGACAUGAAACACUGAGUGAAUGCGAGCCCCCCCUGGCAGUUUAAGCUUGUAAGCUACCUCGCCCACUUUUGCAAUGACUUGGAAGGGUCCAAAGUAUUUGGCAGCCAGCUUCACACUCCUACGUAUAGCUACUAAUUGCUGUCUGUAAGGCUGAAGCUUGAGGAACACCCAGUCUCCUUCUUGAAAGCUCCUCUCAGACCUAUGCUUGUCAGCGAAUAACCUCAUACGACUCUGAGCCUUAGCCAGAUUCUCCUUUAUAAGAGAUAUGACCUGUAGCCUUGACUGAACCAUAUUGCUCGCAGCAGGUACAAUACUAUCAUGGAAAGGCCCCAGAGGAAUGUGAUUUGGCUGGUACCCGUACAACGCUUCAAACGGAGUGAGUUGUAAGCUGGUGUGGAAGUUAGUGUUGUAUCAUAACUCAGCUGUAGCAAGCCAACUACUCCAAUGGGAAGGGUGCUCACUGCACAUACACCUGAGGUAAUUUUCCAAACACUGGUUGACUCUUUCACUCUGACCAUCUGACUGCUAAUGAUAAGAGGAACUGUAGUGUAGAUUGACCCCAACCAAGCUGAACAACUCUUGCCAGAAUUUGCUAAGAAAAAUUCGAUCCCUGUCAGUGAUGAUUGUUUCCGGCAGCCCAUGCAGCUUGUAAAUGUUGUCCAAGAAAAGCUGAGCUAUUUGUUGGGCAGAGUACGGAUGGGAGAGCUUGAUGAAGUGGCUAAACUUAGUGAAGCGAUCCACCACUACCAAAAUAGUGUCAAAGCCAUGAGAGGGUGGUAACUGUUCAAUAAAAUCCAUGGUAAGGUGUGACCAAGCUUGCUGAGGCACUGGAAUAGGUUGCAACAAGCCAGGAUAGGAAACAUUCUCAUGUUUGUUCCUCUGGCAAACAUCACAGGAUCUCACAUACUGGAUAAUUUCGCUCUUCAUCCCUGGCCAAUGAAACAAGGAUUGCACCCUUUUAAGACAACCCCUCUGUCCCGAGUGCCCUCCAAUAGUUGAAUCGUGCAAGGCCUUGAUCAGGUAGGUUCUGACCCCAUUAGCUAUGCCCACAUACAGUUUCCCUUUGAACUUGAGGACUCCAUUUUCAACUUGAUAGUCUGGAUCUGCAUUAGGAUCCAACACUAGCUCAGACAGCUUCUGUUGAGCCUGUGCGUCCCCCAUAUAGCUCUCUAAUAGCUCUUGUACCCACCGAGGUUGAGCAGAGGAUAAGGCACACAUCUGGGAGGUCCCCAUCUCAGUUGCUCCUUGGUCAUCCGUGAUGCCUUCCAUCCUCCGCCUAGAGAGAGCAUCAGCCACACCAUUUUCUACACCUCGCUUAUAUUGUAUCUCAUAGUCUAAACCAAGCAACUUGGUGAGCCACUUGUGUUGCAGUGGUUGAGUGAGUUUUUGCUCUAACAGAUGCUUGAGAGCUUGGUGAUCUGUCCGGAUGAUGAAAUGGUGGCCAACCAGAUAGUGCCUCCAUUUGUUGACAGCCAACACCAAGGCAAGCAGCUCCUUCUCGUAUACUGACAAUCCCGGGUUUUGAGUGGAUAGGGCCUUGCUAAGAAAAGCUAUAGGGUGGCCCUGCUGCAUCAAAACUGCUCCUAUGCCAACCCCACAAGCAUCAGUUUCGAUCACAAAAGGGAGGUCGAAAUUUGGCAUGCUCAGCACGGGGGCUGUGGUCAUAGCCCUUUUUAAGUCUUCAAAUGCCAUCUGAGCAUUAUGGUUCCAUGCAAAGCCCUCUUUUUUUAACAACAAGGUCAGUGGUUUACUGAUCACUUCAUACCCCCUGAUAAACCUCCUAUAAUAACCAGUUAGCCCAAGAAAACCUCUCAACUCUUUGACUGAUUUUGGAGGGGGCCAGGACUGAAUACACUCAAUCUUAGCCAAGUCCAUGCUUACCCCUGAGGCAGAGAUUACAUGCCCCAAAUACUCAAUCGAAGUCUGAGCAAAUGAACACUUUGACCUCUUACAGUACAAUUGGUUCUCUGCUAACACACUGAGCACCGUCUGCAAGUGUUGUGCAUGGGAUUCCAGAGAAGGACUAUAUACUAAAAUAUUAUCAAAGAAGACCAAGACAAACUUUCUUAGGUAUGGCUGAAAAAUUCUGUUCAUCAAUGCCUGAAAUGUGGCCGGCGCAUUUGUCAAUCUGAAAGGCAUGACCAAGAAUUCAAAAUGUCCAUGAUGUGUUUGGAAAGCAGUUUUAAGAGUGUCAGCUGCCUUUACCCUCAACUGAUGAUAACCAGCUCUGAGAUCCAGCUUGGACAUAUAUUUCGUGCCAUGUAACUCAUCUAAUAGCUCGUCUAUGUUAGGAAUAGGAAACUUGUCCUUUAUAGUCAACUUAUUCAACCUUCUAUAAUCUAUGCACAGUCUCCAAGUGUUAUCUUUUUUUUUUCACUAGCAGCACAGGGGAAGCAAAAGGACUGGUGCUAUGGGUAAUAAUUCCAUUGGUCAGCAUCUCAGCAACCUGCCUUUCAAUCUCAGUUUUGUGAGAGUGAGGGUACCUGUAAGGCUUGAGUUUGAAGGGCUCGGCCCCUGGUUUAAGGUUGAUCUGGUGAUCAAGCUCUCUCUCUGGGGGCAAGCCUACUGGAGUUGUGAACACCUGAGAGUGCUGUUGUAAAACCCCUUCUAUAAGCUCAGGCAGUGGUUCCUCCGGCUCCUUUGUUACUUCUGUUCGCCAGGCUGCACAGUACCUCUGUUUCUCCUGUAUGAAGGAUCUGAGGUCCUUGCCCCUCACUACUCCCAUUGCAGGCUGAUUGAUAAAACCUUGUAGAUGCAGCAAACUUCCCUCAGCGCUAAGAGCAAUACUGAGGGAGUGAAAGUCAAAUGUGAUGGGGCUGAACUAGCACAUCCAAUCGACUCCCAAAAUAAUGUCCCACCCUCCUAAUUCCAUGAUUUUCAAGUCAAAUUGGAAUCUGUAUUCCUGGAUCAAUCAAGUGACCUUGGGACUCAUAGCUCCACUAGUAAUGUCAGUGCCAUCAGCCAAGGUCACAAUGAAGGGAUUAACCGUUUGAUAUGGCAGUUGCAACAAAUUGACUACCCUGUGGUUGAUGAAGCUAUCAGAGCUUCCUGUGUCCACCAAAAUUUUAACUGGAAGCCCUCCCAAACUGCCCAUCAACAUGAUAGACUUCCUCUUUAUAGCACCGGAGAGAGCAUUGAGGGAUACUUCUGCCAACUCGCCCGUCCGUCCUGUGAGUUCAUCUUGUUCCCCUUUCGCAUCUUCAAACUCAGUGCCCUCCUCUUCAUCCGUGCCCAGGUAGUUUAGAUUGCCCUUCUUACACUGAUGUCCUAUUCCGAAUUUUUCCCCACAUUUAUAACACAGGUUGUUUUUACGCCUAAACUGCAAUACCUCAGCAGAGAGUUUGUUGAACUCCCUGUGUACAAAAUCUGUCUUCUGAGGACUAGGAAUGACAGCAGGCAACUUGUAGGAGUUUUGACGAGUCUGGUUAUUCGCCGCAUUCUUAUACAUUCCAAAUCUGGAUUCCACCGCAACUCUCCCUGCAAUUUUAUUUUGCUUAGACUGAAUUUCUAGGGAGGAUUCCUGCAGUUCAGCAACCUCAAAGGCCUUCAUCAGGGUCUGAGGCUUAAACAUCUUUACCAUAGGUUUGAUAUCCUCUUUGAGACCACUAAUGAAGCUAGAAACAAAGUAGAGUUCAUCUAGCCUGGGGUUCUUCAUCAACAUUAGUGUCUUCAGCUCCUCAAACUUUUCUUCAUAUUCCUCCAUUGGACCUCUCUGUUGCAACUUGUUGAACUCUUCAACAAUGUCACGUGAACUACCUCCUGAAAACCUCUCACAUAAGAGUUCACUGAACUCUCCCCAUAGUAUCCCAGGCUUCACUAAUUUCACUCCCUGAAACCAGUUGUCAGCCUUUCCCUCCAAAAACAUCUCUGCUACAUCUACCUUAUGAUUCUCGGCGAUCUGAUAAUUCAGAAAGUACUUUUGACAUUUUCGCACCCACUCCCCAGGAUUUCCAGAAUUGAACAUUGGUAAUUCCAAGCGAGGUAUAUUAGGGGUAAACUGCCUACCUCUGUAUUCCUGCGGAAUCCCCGGUCCUUCGGUGGAAGUUGUUAAUCUCAAAUGAGCAGGUGGUGUGGGCAAGAUUGGCUCUGCUACGCUCCCAUCCAUGUCGGUCAAACCUUUCUCCUUCAUCAGUAAUUUCAACACUGAGCUGAAUCUUUGUUCCAUCUUAUUGAACUUCUGAUCCAUGCUCCCCGCUAUCGCUUCCAAUUUCGCAUUGUUUUGCUCUACUUCUGACUGGAAUUUCUGCCGCCACUCCUCAGCGCCGGCACUCCGCACCGCCGCCAUGGAUUCCAUCAAUUCUUGAAGUCGAUGCUCCUGCUUCUUGAGCUGAUCUUCCAAAGUCCUAAAUCUCGUGCUCUCUGCCAUUCUGGAUCUUCGCGGCCAAGGAUCGACCGCUCUGAUACCAAAUGUCAGGCUCGUAGGCUAAUUUGGGGAAGUUUGGGGAAGAAUUAGAGGAAGGGAAGAAAGGAAAAUUGGGAACAGCAAGAAAGAGGGAGAGAUAACAGAAAAGAAAGAGAGAAAGAAAUGAAUCUUGUUGUAAUAACCAAUGUCAGUUCGUAAUUCGGUUACAGGGGCUAUUUAUGCAAUUAGCCCAUUAAUGUGUUCAACUGUAUUUGAAAUUGCAAUCACCGCCCUUAUUUUAAUGCAACGGUGUCGUCUUAUUGCUCUCUACUAAAACGCACAACCUCCUACACCAAAUGACCUGCACUUAGCUUCUUUGGUCCUGACAGACAGCGACUAAUUAAUGCAGCUUGAGUCGAUCCAAGAGGGGCUUCUCGUGAAGUCUGGUCACAUGUUGUACAUUCACGUAUUCCGUGUACUUCAUCGGACCAUAUCCUGCCGGAGCUUCACGCAGCAGCGGCCCGGCUGGGGUGACAAUUGUAUCAGGUGACGGACCAUUCGAUCGGCACCACUAAGGUAAUUCUAAUCUUUUCGUUGUUCACAACCGCUCUGUGCCACACACUCUUGUGCUUCCCGUUGCUCAAUAUCUAGUAAAUUAAGUUCGUGCACCCUUAGUUUUUUCAUAUAUUAGGGUAAUUGUCAAUCAAUCUCAAACAAACAGCUCAGAAAAAUAUCAACCCUGCUCAGUAAAACUCGAAUAGUAUACCUCGAGUUGAUCGGCUGUGUUGACGAAAAUGGGGUUGGGAAGGGCAUUAACGUGGAACCACUGGCCUCUGUAUUGUAUCUCAAGGCCUCCAACUCCAUUUUGCAGAAGAAAGGUCAAGAGGCCAUGAUCUGUGUGAGGUGGUAUGCCUAUUGCCAAUUCAGGUUGAGGACAGGGUGGAUAGUAAUUUGCAGCGAAGAUUUGGGUGCCAUGAUCCAAGUCCAUGGCUUUCUGGAUGUAGUCUUCUUCCAUGCCCAAGCUCCUUGUUAUUCCUUGGAGUAAUUUGCUAGCCAAAUCUCUGGUUCUUUGAGAAUACUCCGAUAUAAGAUCCCUAGAAUAUAAUCAUGGUCAAAGAGAAAGUGAUUGGAACCUUUCAUAAGAAAAGAAAGGAAAAUGUAAGGCUUAAAUUUAUACCAUAUUUACAUUGUGUUGCAAGUGAUUUACAUUGAGCAAAACUAAUCUGGGGAACCAUCUGUGCCCCAAGUGAUUGGAAGCUUUCGUAAAAUAGAUUCACACACGUACAUUGUUAAUUUAUUACUAAACAUAAAAGCUUAUGUAAAAUUUCUCUUUAAUUCUUUGUGAAUGUCUGAAGAGAAUUAGGGGCAAGAACAGUGGUUGUAGGUAACAACCGUCUCUGAAGGUUAAGGACUAAGAUUCAGCAAAAGAAAAAAAAAAGAAAAUGUAAAAUUUAGAUCAUUUGGUAUACAUUAUUUUUAACGUCGUGUGUGAAAUUCACUAAAAUUUAUACUGUAUCUACAUUGUGUCACAAAUGAUUUACAUUCAGUUGAAUUGAGCAAAACUAUUUCGAGAACCAUCCAUGCCCCAAGUUUAUCUGAAGAAUAUGGUUCAAUGGAAUAAACAAAGCAUUCAUGUUUUUAUACUAUUCAAAAACCUGAUUUAUAACUGAUCAUCUAGAAGAUUGGUAUUGCUUUAGUGUUUAAAUAUUGGCUUAUGAUCUAAUUAUUGCAUUUUAAGAAAUUUACAAUGCUUGUUGGCUUCGUUGUCUUUUCAACAAUAGAAAGUUCAUUGAAUCUUUUUUUAUUUUAGGUGGGGUGGGGGAAGUGGGCAGGCAUUGCGUAUAUUUGGAAGUCAAUUACAUGGCCUUGUAAUAACAAACUUCCUAUCCUACCAAAUUGUUUUACCUUUGUGGUAGAACAAGGAAAGAAUUGCAAAAUAUUGUUGACAAUAUAGAUAUUGUCGCUACCUGAGCUCUUGGGGUUUAUCAGGACAGUAAAACUCUGGAUGCACAAAGAACCUUAGAUAAUCUCUCCAGAAGAGGACAGUUUGCUUGGAUUUAUCGUGGAUUGUGCUGCCAAACCUGACCAUGACAGGAUACAGGGGAUUUGUGGUUUCAAACUUGAGCUUCGCCUCCUCCGGCAUAUCGAAAAACUCAUUACACACGUUAAACAAUGCGUACGUUGAUUAGGCUUUCCGGUAUGCCAUGGUUUACCACCUGCAUGCAUGCAUUCGAUAUCAUCCGAUCACAUGCAUAUACUACUGGAGAAGUGAUACACUACGUGAUUAAUUAGUACCAAGUGAAAAACAUGGUGUCUGUAUACUUAAAUUUUUUCAGAUAAUAUUUCUCUUGUAUUAUAAACACAUUUUCCAACCCACCUUUUUAUAUUCUUAACUACCUUUUUAUCUUAUAUAUAUCAUAUCACAAAAAAAGUGAUACAAUAAUUAUUCUAAAUAAUAUUUCAAAUAAUACUCUAUCCAAACAAUUAGUUGCAUUAGUCAAUACAGAUCCUUGUUGGGGUUUUUACAUAUAUUUUGCUCUUAGAAAAGUUUAAGGUGAAGAAGAAUACCGAGUGUGGUUAAAUAGGUAAACAUUAUUUUACUUGCUUCAUAAAUUCAUUUUCUAACCAUCUUUGUAUAUUUUUAUUAUAUUUUUCUAUCACAUACAUCAAAUCACAAAAAAAACUUAUAGUAAUUAUUCUAAUUCAAAGGGUGUACAGUAAUGCACUCCUUUGAUCUAGACGUGGAAUCCUCUCCUUCUAGUCCUCCGUUCACUAAAUUGCAUCCUGGUGAGGAGGAUUGCCAAGAACAUUGAGGAUUGAACCGCUCUCAUUCUAAAGCGAAGAAUAAAACAAAAGAAACUCUUAUACUUAAUUAGUUUGCAUUGGUUAGAUUGUAUAGAUUCAAUUCUUGAGUAGAAUAGCAUGUUUGCUAACUCUACCAGUUCAUCAAGAAAGGACAAAAGAAAACUGUACCAUGAAGAAGCCCCAUUCCUCACAGGCUUUUCCAAGGUCGUCGAUGACUUUGGCACGUUCAUCAGGAUUGGAUGAGCUGAGCAAGGAAAAAUCAAUGACAGGAAGUGCAACUUCAGGGCCUGCUACAAUGGAUUUUUGGCUAUCUUUGAAGUGUGCAUAAUCAGAAGGGAGGGAUUUGAGGUCUUGUGAUUGGACAAGUGCUUUAACUCUUGUCAUUUGGAUGAAUUUGCAAGUAAAUACAUAUUGCUCAAAGUUAAACUCUAAAGCUGAGAAGCCCUAAACUAAGCAAACGAAGCAGUGGAAUGAAUGGUGCUGGUAAAAAACAUGGGCUGUGUCUCAAUUUAUAUAGAGAGGCAAACAAACAAAACUCAGGUCUCAAAAUUGGACAAAAAUAUUCAAAAGGGUUUGAAGCAAAAUCGUUUAAACAAUUUGUUUCUCCCCACUGCCAACCAAUCUUAGCAUCAAGGACGAGACUGCUUUCAUUUCUUUCUUGAUUAAUUAGUUUAUUUAUGCUAAUAGGGAACACUAGAAUUGACUUUUCCUUCCUAAAGCAGAUCAGAGAGUAUCAGAUGGCUAUCUUUUUCUGUUGACUAAAAUCACAACAAUCUUUUUCGAGAUUAAUAUUUAGUAAAAGAUUUGUGUCGUUAGUUGCCACAUUUGUAAUUUUAGAUACGAAAGUGCAUUAUAAUACUAACUUCGCUUUCACAUGGCUUUACUAAAUAGUCCCACCAAUUAUUUUUCUUUUUUGAUAGGUUGUAGGCUGGCACGAGAAUAUAGUAGAACAAACAUCUGUGCUAAUAAUCAAGUGAGAAUUGUAUGUGCUAUUUUAUUGAUAGAAGUGGAAGCCAUGUAAGGAACGUUUUCUUUUAAUCUUUCCUACACUAUCAGCGGUGAAUGAAUGAUAAUUAUGUAAAAUUUAAAGUUCAAAUUCAACUUUUACACACAUAUUAUAAAUUCAAUGAUGAUAAUAUAUGCACUAUCAGUUUAUAUAAGGUAUACUCUUUAAAAAAAAAAAAGGGGGCAGAUCAAAACAUUUUUGAAGGUACACAUGACUCCUGAUAACGAAUAUUUUUAGGAUAUUUUGGAUAUAACACCAAAUGACAAGAUGUUCAAGGAGCAUUCAUUUCUUCACUGAAUCAUUACCAUUUGUCACAUUGUAGCGUACAUCUGCUCAUAUAUCAAAUCUACGUGCUUAUAUUUCAAGUGGCCUAGCUAUUUGGAUCAGGGCUUCUACUGUUACUAAUAGUGAUAGUGUCGUACAAAAUAGAUACAAACUCAAUAAAUAUAUAAUUCCGCCUAGAUUAAUUAUUUUUAGAGGUAUUUUUAAAAUAUUUUACUAUAAUAAUAUAUAUGAAAAAUAUUUUAUUGUAAAUAUUUUUUAUGAUAUUUUUGAAAGUAUUUUGGAAUAUAUAUUUAAAUAUUUUUAAAAUUAAAUUUUUGUGAUACCUUUUAAAAAUUACUAUCACCGCCCAUCACCUCUUCCCUCCUCCCCCUCCCUCUUCCUCCUCCCUUCUCUUUCUUCCUCCUUCUCCGCUCCUCCGUCUCUUUCCUCCUCCCUUCCUCCCUUCCCUUCCCCUCCCUUUCCCUUGAAAGGAGAGCAGUGGGGUGUGGAAGAUAAGGGAGGAGGGGAGAAGGAAGAGGGAGGAAAAGGAAAGAGGAGGAAAGAGGAGGAGGUAGAGGAAGGGAGAGGAAAAAGGAAAAAGAGAUGAUGAUGGCGGUGGGGGGUAGGGAUGGUGAUGGCAGGUGGUGAUAAUAGAUGGAAGAAAAAAAUAGAGUAGAAUUUAUUUUUUUUAUUUCUUUAUAUAUUUGAAAUUAUUUUUGAUAUAUUAUAUGGAUGUGGUGUUUUUGGAGUUAUUUUUCUUUGCAUAUUAUUAUAAUAUUAUAUAUAAUACAACUUGUUUUUCAAAAAAUGAGAAAUCCAAACAGAACCAACACUAAAAUAACAAGUGUAGACACUAAGUGCCUGUUUGAUAACAUAAAAAAGUGCUGAAACUGAAUUCAUUCAGACAUUCAGAUGUUGUGGGUGUUUGAUAAAUAAAAAUUCACCUGCUGAACUUAUUAAGUGGUGCUGAAUUUGUAUGUAUUUUUUUCAGCACAAGAAUCGUAGCUGAAUGCUUAAUUUGAUAAGAGUCAAGAGAUUUACUUCAACUACUUUAUCUUAUCUACCAAAUAUAUCCCUGUUUGUUAAUUACAUUCAAAAUCCUUAUUUAAUUAAACAACCUAAUAUUCCCUAUUCAAAAUCCUUAUUUAAUUAAACAAAACAACCUGAUAUUCUCUAUUCAAAAAUUUUUUUUAACAAUAAUAUUUUUUUGCAGUAAUUUUCAUCCACAAACAUUUAUAUUUUGAUAUUUUUUUGUGCAGAUAAAUAUUAUUUAUGUGAUGCAGCUUAUCCACACACACGUGGCUUUAUGACACCAUAUCGAAAUAUUAGAUAUUGGUUGUCUGAUUUUCGAAAUGCUUCUCGUCCAAGAUCAAAAGAAGAACGCUUUAAACCAAGCACAUGCAAGAUUGAGAAAUGUAAUUGAACGUGCUUUUGGAGUAUUAAAAGCUCGUUUUUCCAUUCUCAAAAUGAUGAAACCAUACCCUUUUCCCACACAAAGAAACAUUGUCAUUGUAUGCAUUGUUCUUCACAAUCAUUGUCAUUUUCAUACCUAACAAUUUUAAAUUAAUUAAAUCAUAAGUUCUAUUUCCUUUUUGGAUUAAAAGAUAGAAGGGCAAAAUUGUACAAUUUACCUUAUUAAGUAUUAAGUUAUGAAUAUUUAUCAAACAGUAUAAAUAGAUUCAGCAUUAAAAUUCAGACAUUCAUAUAUCUCUUUUCAGUGCUUAAAAUUCAGCAAAUUAAUUAUUUCAGUAUUCAGAAUUCAGAGUUCAGAGUUCAGAAUUCAGAUUCAGUGUUAUCAAACAGAGCCUAACACAACAAGAUAAAAUAUAACAAUCUUUUUUAUACACUGAAAUUUGCGAUGUGCGUUCAAUCUCCUCUAUCCAAUUUCACUACUCCUCAUCUACCACCGUCAGCUAUUCUCUGAAGUCACUACUGUGACUACAGAGGAUGUGGAUCCCAAAUUCCCAAUUAAUUGAACCUCAUCGCGCGUGCCAUAACAACACCUUUUGUUUUAAAAUUAAUAACACAAUAAACAGUCAAUUCAAGUUUUAUCCAGCUAGCUUAGGUUAAAAAGAUUGAUCCGACUAUUCUGUCUCACUCUCUACUCCACUAUUUAUCCCACUUUUGAUGAUUAUAUCAUCAUUUUUUCUUUAUAAAUGUCAUAUUUUAAUUCUAUUUUUUUUCUUUUAAGUUCCAACAACUAUUAAUCGGAUAAUACAUGACAUUCAACAAACUAGAAAGUCAAAAUUCACAGGAAAAUAAAUUUUUUUGUGAAUUUUCUACUAUAGUUUUUAUUUUUCUAUUAUAUAUUAUCUUUUUAAACUGUUGUAUUUUAUUUUAUUUUUACUUUGUUAAGAGUUAUUUGAAUUUAAGGAAACAAAAAAGAAUAAAAAAUAUAGUGUUCAUGAAUAAAAAAAAUAUAGUGGUGAAACAGGGAAUGAGACAGAAGAUCUAUUGCGAAAAAAUACCAUAAUUUUAAGUCAGCAAUGAUGUACGAUGGGGCAAUUUGGAACUUAGGAUAGGAAUGAUUGUCAGAUCAACCGUCCCUAAACGAUAUAACACUGUCUGUAUAAAUUAUAACUCCUUGUACAUUAUUAUAAUGAAGGUGUGAUACUCUAUCCAUAGGAAUCCGCAACGGAUCCUCUGUACCACAACCCUGUCUCACACCCUAUCCCACCCCUCAUAAACUUGCCAAGUGUCCUUUUAUUAACCCAAUCCUGAAACAACCCAACUCGAACCAUGUUUAAUUAUUUAACCGAUUAAUCGGGGUGAGAAACUUAAUCACACAAAACCAAAAUCCAUUAAACUAAAAACCCAAAAAACAAAAUUAAAGAUUAAUCAAGGCACAAAAAAAAACCCCACAAGGCCACGAUUCUGGUUUCCCAUCAGAUUUCACUCCUCCUCAAAAGCUUCCGUCAGAUAUCACUCAUCAGCUCAUCAGAGAUCACUCACAAUUCAAAUGCCUGGUGGCAUGAUUUCGGCUGAUAAUCAUAUGCUAUGUCCUUCGUCACGAAGUCGAAGGAAAUCUGAUGGUGGAAUCGUGCGCCGUGUGAAAGCACAAAAAUCGCCGUUCUUGACCGAGACUCAAGUUGUGCUCCAUCUCGGAACCUUGUGGGGUUAGGAGUAAAGCAUCCCAAGGUUAGCGCAUCUCUAAUAGCGUGGAGAAACAUUGGGAACCCCAAUUUCGUGGUCAUUCUCCGGAGCCCUUUCUUCAGGUUAUGAGUGAUCAAUGGGCAAUUGGACGAAGCUCCCCACCUGUUCGAUCAAAUGCCUAGGCGUCAUGAAUCAUUUUUUUCGUAGGUUUUUCUUGCCUUUGUUUUCCCGCAGUUUUCUUUGCCCAUUAUUCUGUCAUUCGGAUUUAUUGUGACUCCUUUCUGAAAUCUGUUCUCAAAUUAUAGCUGUCAUAGCCUUUAACUCUGAUGGUUGGUUGAUAUUCACUUAUAUAAUGAUGUGCAGCAGAUUAGUGAAUUGAGUUGAAUGAUGAAGUUGAUGAUGUGGUCUACUUAGCUGAUCUCUGUGUUGUUUCUAUAAUUCUUACAUGUAGUUAAGUGCGAUCUGCUAUGCCAAAGAGGUUUUAGAGGAAAACGGGACAUGAUUGUUUUGGUGAGGACAUGCUUUAGCCAAGGGAAACUGAUAUACCAGCUUUGUUUCUGGUCUUUGUUGUGCUUCCCCUGGUUACAUAUAUCUUGCUAGGAAAAUGGAGCGAGUCAACGAAAAAAAGUUAAGGUCAACAGGCAGCUGAAGAAAGUUAAGAUCUGAAUUAUAGGAGCAAUUCUAUUAUCAUUUAAACAGAUAGAGCAAAAAUAUUAAAUAGGAGUAAUGCAUCUGUUUGAAACAUUUCAGCAAAGAUUUUGUUUGCCAGUUCUUAAGCUGCUUGAUUGAUGAAUCUAAAUGGUGUAUUCUGGGCCUAGUCAUUCAUGAAAGUUUAUGGAUAAAUUUUUUUCUUUUAUUUUACAGAUGCUAUUUCAGUAUGAAGAUUUUGUGAAGUCCUUUCACUAUGAAGUUUUCAACAUGUCUCCAAGAGGUCUUAUAAAUUGUGGAAACAGGUAUUUCUUCAAAAUUUUUCCUGCUUUUCUUGUGCUUUUACAUAUCAAUAGCUCUAGAAAAAUUUUAUAGAUAUAGGAAAUGUACAGACUCUUAAUGCAAUAAUGUACUGAAACAAAUUUCAUAGGAUUUUUUAUUAUUUGUCAAGUAUAUUCAAGAUUUCUUUCAUUUUACUGUGCAGUUGUUAUGCCAAUGCUGUAUUGCAGUGUCUGACCACAAAGCCUCUCCUUCUGUUUCUGCUUCAGAGAUUGCAUUCUAGAGCUUGUUACGAUUGGUUUGAUUUACAAUGUCUUGCUUUUGCAUUCUAGAGACUUCCGAAGUAAAUUCUGCUUCAGAGAUUGCAUUCUAGGGGUUCAUGUUAUUUCGAUCCACUACUAUUACUGAAUAAGGGGUUGGCAUGCUUCCCUUCAAUGUUCGCGUGUUUUAAGCAUAUAUUGUUGCAGUAUCUUUGAGAGAGACUAGAGCUAUGCAGACUCAAGUUAAUUGUGUGUGAGAUCGUUAGCCUUUUGCUUUGAUUGUAAGAUGAUAAGUGAAAUCCCAAAUAUCUGGGAAGGUGUUGUGGAUAUUCCCCUUGUCUGAUUAAGUGCAGCUAAGAUGUUAUUUCAUGUCAAAGUUGAAAAUUAUUGGCUUUGGUCUCCAUGGAUUGCUUUUGUGGCUUUAAAACAUAACGUUGUGGUUUGAUUCCGCAAUUCUAGUUCAUUAUGUCCUGCACGUCAAUAUAAAUUUUGUAUAGCAAUUUUUUCAUUCUAGUUCAUUUUCUCUACGACUUUUAGCAUUAUUUGAAUUUUGGCAGCAUAAUCAUCAAUUUCAUUGUGCUCAAACCUCAGAAAGAGGAAAACAAAAAAUGGAAUGUGUAUAAAAAUCUAUGAUCCCUCUUCUACAAGGGAACAGAAAGAAAAGAGUGGAUAGAUUCCGAGGUGUAUAAAUGUAUAACUUCACACCAUCCAAGAUUUUUGCCCUGAUCAUUCAUGUUUAGCAACUUGUUGAUCACUAUCAUCAUUAUUUCCCAGUUCUUGUGCCUACAAAAAACAAAUGCUAAGUUAGCAAAUGUAUUGAAUUAUAAGUGUAACUUAUCAAACUAAUAUAUGCAGAAAACUCUUCACAGUGCAUACAGUGCAUUAUUCCUGAUCCCAUAUACAUAUACCAACCCUAAAUACAUCAAAUUUGGAUGAUUUGAUUAUGAAAAGCAGGAAAAGGUUAUUGUCAGUUGUGAUUAAAAUAUCACUAUCAUUGAGUUCACUAUCACAAAAAAAUUCAUCCUUCAUUGAGCUUCAACGUGCAAAAAGUGCAUUAUUCCUGAUCCCAUAUAGAUAUACCGUAUGCACAGAAAAAGGUUAUUGUCAACAGUUUUUUUGUCUAGCUCAAAUAAUUAAAAAUGUCAACGGAAGUGCCAAUAAUAACUCCUAAUUUCAUAUCCAGAAUAAUAACUCCUGAUUAUGAAUGAUGAAUAUAAGAUUAAGUAAUUAAUCAAGAUUUUUUCUUACUUGGACAAAACUCAUUGACGCUGCUGGUGUGCUAUUGAACUUGAAGACAGCAAGUCAUAGCCUUGGUAGAAGUUAGGGUCCAACGUCUGCCCAAAAAUAAGAAAUAGAAGACCACCCUUCAUUAUAAAAAUAGCUAUAUACUUGUAAAAGUAUAAUACUAUAAAAAAUUAAUAUAAAUAAGAAACAACACAAAUUAAAAGCAUAAUAUUUGCUUACUUGCAAUAAUUGUGUCAUGUUUUUAGGAUUUCGCCUAUUGUAAAUGUCUUCUAUUGGAAUUCCAAAUUCCUGAUAUAAUUAAAGAGAGACGACCACAAAUUAAAAAUUUCAUUGAAAAAAUAUAUCGUUAAUGUAGUUUAGUCAUCUAAAGAAUAAAUUAUUCAAAUAAAAAUUUAAAAUAAAUUACAUAUCUACUAUGCUAUACAAGACAAAAAUGACGAAUAACGAUACCUGCUGGGGUGGUAAUUCUCGAACAAAACCUUGAAUUGUAGCAGAAUCCAUACUUGAAUGAACAACAUUAUUUCCAAAUUCCUACAAUCAUUUUUAUCCAAAUUAUAAAUAAAGAUCCUAAUACUAUUUCUAUACUCAUCAUUCAUCAGACAACUAAGGAACCCAAAAAAAAAAGUAAUAGUCAAACAAUCAAAAACCAUUGUUCACAUAAACUAAAUAAAUUGUCUAACCUGUAAUUUUUUCGAUGAAGACUUCUCUUUCACCUUGUACUUGCGUUUCUUAGUAGCCAUUUCCAGUGCACUUCUUGGCCUCUUGCUCGACUUGUAGGUGACUUUUUCUUUCACUUUGAUGCCUUUUAUUUUAUUAUAGGCAACUUCAGAUGGAUUAGUGUCAACAUCUUGAUACGCACUACAAUUUUCUUCAAUACGCACUUCUUUCAUUUUCUUUUUCCCUUGACAACAUGCAUCCAUUUGUUCUGACAUUUUCCAAAAUCCAUCUUUAGCAAUUUGAUAAGCUUCAUCACAUUCAGAAGCUACUUCAGUAUCGAAUUCCAUGUCAAGUUUCGGGACCAAGUCAUCAGGUAUAGCCAAAGGAAGAAAAAUUUGAUUUCCUUGAUUGCCAUCAGUAAUACAAAGAGGUAAGGCAUUAUCAUUUAUCUCCUGCAAGUCAACAUCUUCAAAGUCCAAUUUACGACAUGAUUGGACUUCAUGAGUUGGCAAAUCAUUCUCCAUAUUCCCCCAAAACCCAACAAAUGACCUGUAUCAAAUUACCGAAUACAAAUACAUAAUUUAUUACCCUUUUUGGUGAAAAGCAACAUGGUAGGGAAAAUCAUGCACCUAUUAAACCACAGAAAAGAAUGACUCAGCAAAUAGCACAGAGGAAAAUAUGUGAAAAAUAAGUAUGCAUUCAAGCUAUUCAUACACAAGAGAAGAGGCCCAAAACUAAUGCAUCAAAGUAUUCACAAAGAAAUGGCACAAUUUGCAAAGUCACCAGGAGAAAUAUCACACACACAACAGAAUUUCACUAGAAUAAAAUAACCCAUGCAAAAGUACUCGACCCAUGAAUGAAAAGUAGAUAUCCUCGUAGGGAAUGAUCAAACAAAGAGCAGAUAACUUACUGUAUAAACACCCAAACUAGAAUAUUAAAAAAUAAAUAAUAAACAGAAAAAAUGAAAUACGUUAUUAAGUUCUCAUUUUCCCUCUCAACAGGAAAGACUACUAUGGCCAUGUAAUUAGUAUGUGAAGACUUUGUUUAAUAUUAUGUCUUCGUCAAUGAAAAAUUAUAGGUUUAUAAGCUGGAGUAGAAAUUCUUAGGGAAGCAAAUCGCUAGCACUAGAAAUUCUUAAAUAUUAUUACGGCACAUUGCCCUUAGGAAACCUUUGACAUUGUCAAGUCAUACUAAAUUAGGAUCCCUGUUGACCACCAAAAAGAUUUAACAAAAAAGAAAAAGAAAAAGUCAUACUUAAUCAAUACUAGGCCAGACGCUGGCGUUUCUUGUGGAUUAAUCGCCGAAUAUAACUUUUGCCGAAUCAAUACAUGUUGCUUUUCAUACCACUUUGGUGAUUCUAAAUUUACUAUUCUUCUUAUUAACCAAACUCUUAAUUGUUUUUGUAAUAGUUAAAAGCCUGGAUAGAAGCGGCACAUAAAUAACGCAAUUCGUUGCAUAUGAAGAGUACUUAUUUGAAGGAAAAUUCACCUACGUACCUUGCUCCGUUGAAGACUAGCUUUAGUUUAGGAGAAAAGGCUUCAGUUUAGGAAAAUUCACCUACGUCCCUUGCUCCGUGAAUAUUUCGUCAAAGCUGAAUGGUGAAGAUGAUGAACUCGGACAGCCCUGCUGCGUUGCGAUGAAGGUUUUGAGAAGGAUACCAAUCUGAUGGGAAACCAGAAUCGUGGCCUGCUGCGUUGAAUUGCACUUUGUUGUCCUGCCCGAAUUUUGUGAUGAAGCUUUUGAGGAGGAGUGAAAUCUGAUGGGAAACCAGAAUCGUGGCCUUGUGGGGUUUUUUUUUGUGCCUUGUUUAAUCUUUAAUUUUGUUUUUUGGGUUUUUAGUUUAAUGGAUUUUGGUUUUGUGUGAUUAAGUUUCUCACCCCGAUUAAUCGGUUAAAUAAUUAAACAUGGUUCGAGUUGGGUUGUUUCAGGAUUGGGUUAAUAAAAGGACACUUGGCAAGUUUAUGAGGGGUGGGAUAGGGUGUGAGACAGGGUUGUGGUACAGAGGAUCCGUUGCGAUAUGAAUCUCAUAUAUAAUAAUUACUUAUGUAUUGUGAAGUUAUAUAGGUAAUUCAUGUAGAGUUACAAACUCUUUAAAAAAAGUUACACCCCGAGUCCGGUAAUUUGACUGACUGCUGCAGCCUGCAAAGUCGUGACUUCCUAGAUGAAUCAGAAUUUCCUCCGCAGAAAAAAGGGGCCGUUUGUGCCUUAAGAAAAUUAACGGCAUUCUAUAUAUAAUAUAAUAAUCACCAUUGUUGAAGAAGUGUCAAUGGUCCAAGUCCGCGUGAAUUAUGAGAGACAUGCCAGAGAACUAGUUACCACAUGUGGUUUUUUUUUUGGUUAUAAAUCACAAGUAUACGCGUAUAUUUAUGAUUUGCGACUAAUUCUAUUAAAUAGAAUCAAGCUCCUUACCAAGAAAAAACUUUCUCAAUAUUAUUCUUUCCAUUUUUAUGAAUUUCAAACCCAAAACCUCACGAUCAAAGAUAGAAACCCAGUUCACCGGCACCAACAUCCUUUGGUGUUAGCCCAUGGUUUUCACUUUUACGGUUGGUUGGUAGCUGAUGCUACCAGAUAGAUUCAAUUGGCUUUAGCAUAUGGUUUUAACUUUUAGACUUAGUUGGUAGCAGAUGCUACCGGAUAGAUUUAUGACUGUAGAGCAAUAUUUCGUUUGAUUAAAUAUUUUGAUAUCGCCAAUUUAUAACCAUCCACAUAAAUAGAUUUAAGAACAUACAAAAGCAAAAAAAAAAAAAAAUGUAUCGGAUUGUAAAUUCAGCACUCACCGCCAAUUUUUUUUUAUUUUUAUUUUUUGUCUAUAUUCACCAUCUACAUCUACUCUUACUCCUAUUCUAAUCUAUACUAAAGGAGUGACCCAAUAGAAUCACAAAAAAAUCGAUGAAAACUGAACCACCAUCAAAUCAUACGAGUAUAAGAGGCACCCAUGAGAGAAUUUAAGAGAAACCACGUUAAGUUGCAACUUUUGAUAGAAACAAGGUUUGAAUUCUUGAACUCCCACCUUACAAAGACAUCUGAUAGCCAACAACUUACCACCGCCAAUUCCUCUGAUCAAUUUUAGUUCCAUUGAUUUCCAUCAUGUCUUUAGAGAUGGUAAUGUCCCUGCUGACACUUCAGCAAAAUCAGGAAUUCAAACUACCACUAUUAUUUUGAUGGAGAAAGCUCCAGACUUUGUAAUGCCAGCCAAUUUUGGCUGAUAUAUCAGCUUAUUGAUAAAAUGUUUUAUUAGUUUAAACCCAAAAAAAAAAAAAAAUCUUAGCCACUAGAAAAAGGGCACUAAGUUGUGAGUCUAAUCUAAUUAUAUAUUUCUACCUGUAUUAUCAAGUCUUACCAAAUUGUCAAUCUAAUCUAAAUAUACUAUAUUCGUAGAAUUUUUCCUACCAAGCGUGGGUGCUAGUUAUAAUUUGAACAGUACAGCAUAAUAUUUGAGUAACCUAAAACUUGAGACUGGCAAGAUAGAUUCACGUUAGAGGUCAUACAUCAAGAUACUACUGUUCUCAAAAGAUCAUUCAUAUGCAAAAACAAAGCUCAUACCUUUGGUAUUUCAAUCCCAUUAACAAACCGUCCGGAAACUAUGAAGUGUAAAACAGUUAAAAGAUGAAAGAUGUGAAUAUUCAACAAAAAAUUUAAAUUUCAAAUUCAAAUUUUGCAUAAUUAUCAUUCAUCCAAUACUGACAGAGUGUGUAAGGAAGAUGAAUCCCAAAAUAAAUUCAUAGAAUACCAUUUCAGCUUCCAAUUUGGAAAAGCGAGAAGAAAUCACCAGAAACUGAUGAUAAAUUAGCCCUUUAAUCCCCUCAUCAUCCAUCCUUCUCGCCUCUCAAAACCAAACGACAAGGCUGGAUUUUCUUCUCAAGUUCAGCAGACGGUUGGCACUGCACCACAUCAUCCACUGUGGUUUCACUGCUUAUUCAGACAAAUUACUCUUAUCUAUCACCUCCACAUUAGUUGCUACAUAUGACUGCUCUCUUUUUAAAUCUUGGAAAGAAUGUGCAAUGAGUAAAAACUCCUAAUCGCAGUUCCCUGUAAUAUAGAGUAGACACUAAGCCAUGGUACCGAAACUACUAGUAGUCCCUUGCACUCUAUAUAUUCUGAAAAAGCACAUUUAAGUUGGCCAUGCAGAAAAUAGACCAUUCACAUACAGGAGGCCAAACAAAGUAAUCUGCACCAAGUUGGACAUAAAUCUUCUAGAAAUCUACCUUCAAUGAGUACUAGAAUGCCUUCCCAUGAGUGCGAUGAAGCCUCUGAGAGAAGUCAAUCCAUCCAUAGACAAGAUACAAUCCCAUCAGAGGGAAAGUAUGACUGUUAAUUAUCAAAGAGGUUAUGGCGAACAGAUAAGGUUUCCAUAACUAGAUAUAUCAGAAAGGACGCAUACAACCAAAAAAAUCAAGUUGUCAUAGAGUCAUAAUAACAAGUAUAAGAAGCAGAGGCACCUAGUCAAGAAUUCAUGAAGUAUCUCCCCGUAAAACUGAGCGGCUGUCAUACAACUAGGAACACUAACUAGAGUAUUGCCUACCAGAAAUUGGAGAACAACUGCAGUAUUGGGAGAGCGAGUUCUAUCUUCCUUUGGUCAUUCUAGUAUCUUCAUUCCAAGCCACCAGUAGAAGUGACACGCGUUGCAUGGGAAUGCUCAUGUGCUAUGAAUACCUUUAUCCAAUUGCUCAACCCAUUUCAUUCUUUUUACCUUAAAGUGAGCUAUCAAAGCUGCAACAGGGACAACGAGUCCCAUGUAGCAUAGCGACUUAGAUUACACCAUGACAGAUAGGUUAAAAAAGGUAAAAACCCAAAUGACCUUGAAUUUAGAUUGUUCUCCAGGAGUAAAGGUCAUCCAGGAUGCAUAAGAGCUAAGAAUAGUUAGCAGGCCACCUCAUCCAGAAAUUCAAGGGAAUACUAACGCAAUUUUGAUUUCUUUUGUGAAAAUGACUUUCUUGUUGAAUAAGGAAAAAUUAUCUCAUAUAAAUUGUGGAGGAAGCCUUCAUCAUAAAUGUUAUUUUGAACAACCUCCACCUCUUCUAGACGAGAUCUACUGAAUAUGGCCUUCCAUUUGCUCUGCGGAAGCUUCUUAUCAAGGCUCAGUUCAACUAAACUUUCUUUAAGGGCUGCCUCACUUGCCUUUGCCUCAAGCAGCUUCCUCUGCCAGCUUAAAUACUCUUUCCACUUGAAUGUCUGCAAUUCAUAUUGACCAGCAAAAGAAUACAAGUUUUACAAUCUAUGCAGCAGCAAUAUCACAUCAGGAGCUACCAAGACAGAUAAUAUUGUACCCGUCUCUAACAGAAAAGCUAAAACUUUGAGGUUGUUUAGCAGCAACAAACUGUAUUCCCUGUUUGGACGUCUCAUUUCUAUGGUUAAAACAUUUAAUUUUAUUUCUCUUGCAUGAAAACUGUUUUAACUAAUUAAUAUCGUUCAGGGGCUAUACUUAGCAAUGCCUCAAUUAAUUUGUAUAACAAUGUCAAAUUGUGGGCCAAAUGAACAAAACGAAAUUGUUAGUAUAUAACCCCAAUGAAAAGAAGCCAGACCUCAUUUGUUGUGGUGUUUGUGAUGCAUAAUUUAGCAUGGUAUCCAAAGAAACCACAUAGUAGUAGAGAAACAAUGGCUAGAAACGCCAUGAUAAGUAUUUGUGUAUUGUAGGAGCUGAGCAACCACUGCAUGAAGACAAUAAAGAAACACCAUCUUAGAGCAUUUUAGUGAGAAGAAAUGCUUGCUUAAACACAAAUCAUAUACCAGAAAACGUAGUAAAAGAAGAUGAAAUACAUUAAAGACCGUGAGAACAACAACCAAGCAAAAAUCACAAGACUGAUUUCAGAAACACAGUAUUUUCUUAACUAGUGCCACAGAAAGGAAAGCAAGACCAGACCCAGUUGUAUCUGGCCUGGACAAGAAUGGCAGUUUCUAUCUUUUCUUGCAUAAUACUUAGCACUCAAAAUAUGAAAAUUACUACUACCAUUAGAGACUUAACUUUCAGACACCCAAUAGCAAAACCUGAAAUGCAACUAAACAGCAGGGAUAACACAACUAUAUUUUCACUCAAUCACCAGCCAAUCAGAAUCAGCUCAAACUUUAAAACUUAUAAGAACAAAGUUUGCAGAACCAGUUUUAAAGCAAAUGCAAAGGUGAACCACUCUAAAAAAGCAUAAAGCCACACAUUAAUUUGUUGUUUUAUCUUUUUUAGUAGAACCAAGAUGAGAUAAGAAACCACCCACUGUGUGUGUGUGCGCGCGUGCAUGCGCAAAAAGAUACCCCUUUCUAAUAGAAGCAAGUAAAUUUAAGAAUAUCUAGAGCCAAGAACACAUGGCUUUUGCAGCAAGGAAUUACGAUUGCUAGUAAAUCAGAUUUAAAAGAAAACAAUUCACAGGAAGUUUCUCAUUUACUAGUUGUAACCACCCUCCUUGGUAAAAAAGUCGAAACACUACUAGAAGUCCUAUUUCCUAUAUCAAUACAUUCAGUUAUUGAGUUCAUAACCAUAUCAUCCAGCCAAAAAUCCAGAAUAGUGAAAGGCAUUUCUCAUCUUACACACACUAGCAGGAGAUAAACAAUUUUAUUCAUUAUUCUGCAUCUCUUUCACACAAUAGCUUUAAACAAAGAUCAAUUUCACACAAUAGCUUUAAACAAAGAUCAAUUUCAGACCUCUAUCACUAAGUUUCCAAAGAUGAGCAUGAAUUAUCUGGCUAUGAAAGAGGAAAGCCAAAUUGAGAGGUUCUGUAUUUGGCCUUACCUUAAAGUUCAUAGACUAAAUUAUGUAUCCAAAUUCGAUGAAAUUGAAAAACAAACCAACUCUUGCUUGAUCCAACUUAAAACAUGCAGAACUAUAAAUAAUUGAUAUUUUCACAAACUUAUAAUCCACCAAGCAUCCUUUGAGUCAAAUGUAAUCCACCAAAAUAUCUUUCUCAAAGAAAAGCUUCUGCUCAUUCAUUUUUUGAAGCUACAACUUCUCCAUAAAAGUUCCAACUUUGAGAGCCUUUUACCUUUUUGUACCCCACUUAUUAUCUCAAAAGAAGCAUUUAAAUUGUAGUUCUUAAAUGAAAAUCAUCAAUCCCACAUUCUCAAUCCACCAGAACUAAAUGGGGCUUGUUCAGAGGUCAAGUCAAUUACAGAUGGACUCAUCAUUCCUGAAAAUCUAUCGUUCUGCUCUCAUGAAAAAACCAUCUUCAUUGCUUUUUCGCUUGGCUUUCUCAGAAUCUAGACAAACAGAGGAAGAAUACUACACCAACAACCACAAUUUCAGUACAGAAUUGUUGCAAGCAUUCUUGUUACAGCAUUGCAUAACCUAUCCCCAUGUCUCCAACUACUUCUUCAUUCCAUUGGUAAAGUUACAAGAGCAGAUUCUGUUAUUUUGAAGCCAAAAUGGUCAACUAAGAUCAACAGCACCAGAUUAUUUCAUUCUUUUAGACCAUUAACAGGUACAUGGAAACCAUAUGCACAACUCAAAUGUUGCCAUCAACUUAUAUUAUUUAACAAAAUGAUCAGAAAUAGGAUUCGUUUCAGCUUUUUCUGGUAACAUUAGAUACAUGCUACAUGUUCAUUAAGUUAUCAUCAAGAAAACCAUUUGCUAGACUUAAGUGAUGUCUCACUGCGUAAGCAUGAAAAAUUAAAUGAGCAGGACCAACCUAUAAAUCCAGCAAAACUGGCAAGUAUUGAGAUUUAGAUUAAUCAGAGAGGAGAAAAAUUAGUAAAGUUAUAAGGAGCUUACCUGUACCACAUGUGGAGCCAAGCUUCUGAAUGAAUUUUCAAUCCCAUAAUACACUACAGCAAGAAAAGACAGAUUAGGUUUGUUGUACUUUGAUAUGCAAAUCAACACAAUGAGAAACAGAAAGGAAACACAUCCAGUUAACCUGUCAAUAUAUGUAUCACUCGUAGUUCUUUCAACCGACCAGCAAGAAGAAAUAAAAUUGCAAUCACUCCAUAAACACAAAGAAGAAAGUGCCUGCAAAAGCUCUGAAUAAACAUUACAAAAGAAUUUAUUGAAGAAAAGCAUUACCUACAAACCAUUGAAAACCAUAUGGGAACCCCUAUCGUGUAUGCAUUACCAUAUAGUCCAACUUUCAUAUCUUCCCAGAAUUCAUUUUACAAAUAAUUAAAUAUUCCUAAUCGACACAGGGAACAAACCCAAAUUAGAUUUUUUUGACAACAAACUGGUCCGGAGAAGAACGAGGAAAGCUACUGACUGUGUGAUAGGUUCUUUAUGAGAAUAUGUUUACUCACCAAAGAAGAAAAGCCAUGAAAUAUCUGGUGUUCUUCUCGCCAAUGCAAUUGUUCUGCGGUAGUAGGAAAUAUAGCAUAAAACUUCAACAACUAAUGUAAUUGAGUAAUUAUGAGGAAAGCCCACAAUUCAUUUAUUACAAGGAAAAGAAAGAAGUUAUGAUUAACAAACCAUCCAUCCACAAUGAUGGUCAAAUCGAGCAACACAACGAUUGCACACACUGCAAUGCUUGGACCUUGCAGGUCUGAAAAAGAAAGAAUUUAUCCAAUCAGUUUGAUAAUAAAAAAGGACUCAAAGCUCCAACAACCAAACAAAGACAUAACCUUGGAAUCUUGCAAGUUGAACAAUCUUUUUCAAAAAAUAUAAUGUUGUCAUAGGGAUAGGCAGCAAGAUACUGAGAUACAUUCUCAAUAUUCACAGUUCCUGGAUCAGAAAAGCUUGUCACAAGAAAAAGUAGGAUACCCACGGCUACAGCCAAAAUGCUUGUGUAUCUGCAAUAACAUGUAUAUUACAAGUUAUGCGCCUAGUUUAUGUCAUAAAUUAAGGACAACAAUGAGGUUUACUACGCUACCUGUGGACUUCACCAAGGUAAUAUCCUGGAAUAUAGCUGAAAGAUGACUUCACAAGGAUGUAAUACGUACCUCCGAUUAUUCCAAGAUAUAUUAUCUGCACAACAGAAAAGAUGCUAACUAUAUUUCUUUGACGUAAAGAUGAGACCGUUUUCACAAUUAAACAAAGUUAUUAUCGUAGGAUACUGUAAAGAAUACAUCUUUAUAGCUUCACCAUCACAUUUUUUACGUAACAUGGACUAUCAACUGACUUUUAUACCAGUCAAUAUCAUCACUUUAGUUUUCAUUUAGAACCCAAAAAAAAAACCCAAAAUUCUUCUCCAAAAUCCAAAAAUAAUAUAAAUACACAAUCAAAUACCAAGAAUGUAAUAAAUAUAUAAAUAACCAUAACCAAGAAUGUAAACCACUGCAAACUGCAAAGUAUGGUAGUCCCCAGAGCUACAAUCACUAGUGCAGUAUCUACCUACAUCAGAUUUUACUAGGGUAUUGACUGAACUAUCAUCUUAAUCUACUUCCAAUUGCAUUCAAGAAAAAGAAAAACAAAAAGGGUUCUUCAAGUCUGUAGAAACAGGUCAAAAAAACCUGUAAAAUUGGGUUAGGGCGAUCACAACAAUAGUAUUCCACUGAUGCCAGCGCUCCAGUUCCUUUAGGCCCAAACACAAGCACGACAAAUCGCCUGUGUAACAUUGAACUGUUAAUUAAAGCAUCACAGUCUAUUGAAACCCACAAAGAUAGAAUUUGGUAAAAACAACGCCCCCCAAGAAAAGAAAAGAAAAGAAAAAUGGGUACCUGAAAUAAUCAUAAGCUCCAAAGGUAAGAAAAAUAUGGAUACGUUGAAUGAAGGUGCCCUGAAAAAUUGGCCAAUUGCCGCAGAGGAAGGAUACAAUCACCAGCAGUGUGACCAGACCGUGGCACACCAGAAGCCACUGUACUUCCAUCAGGAAUGGCUCAAUGACUAGAGCCAGAGGGAAAAGAGAAUAUUGGUUAAGAACCCAUUUAAUGGUAUAUGCAGCAAUAAAAAGUUCUUCGUUGUGGAGAAAUAUCUAGCGGAGGUUGCAAAUAUUCUUAUUCUGUUUGUCUUACUUGCACUGGAAUAAUGGGUUUGAGGCGACAGGGUUUGAUUGGAAAAAGUAAAUCCAUUUGAAUUUUGACCCCUUUUGGGGUUGCGAGGUGAUUUUGGUAAAAAAAAAAAAAAAAAUACUUUUGAAUGUUAAAAGCACUUUUGAAGUAUUUGGUUAAUAUCAUUACAUAAAAUUAAGUGUAAAAUUUUUUGUGUUAAAAGUACUUUUAUCAAAAGGUUAAAUUUGAUACUUUUAGAAUAGUUUUGGUGUUUUAAAAAAUAAAAUAAAAUAUUUAAUUAUUUUAUCUUAUAUUAUAAACUAAAUAUACAGAUAAAUAUGUUUAAAAAAUUUUAAAUUACACAUUAUCCAAUAUAAUAAGUACUUAUUAAACUAUGUAUUCAAACAACAUAUUUAAAAGUAUUUGAAAACUCAAUAAGUGAUUUUAUUAAAAACUCUAUUAGGUAAAGUACUUUUCAAUCACAACCCAAAACAGGUCCAGAGAUGAACAAUAAAAAAAUUAGCGUAUCUUAUCUAUUUUAUUUAACUAGCAAAGAUGAAUGGCAAAAAAUUAGCAUAUCUUUUUUUUUAAGGUUUCACUUUGGCUUCUUUCUUUCCCUUUUGCAUGCUAAGUUACUAUGGGUUUGUGUCCAUAAUUAUCUACAACCGUAAAUUUGAAUCUAAUAAGUGAAGUACAAUAAAAGUGUCAAAUACUUGGCACCAAUUACAAUAAUAGUAUUAGUAUUUGUAAUUUAGGUCUGGACUUAUAAAAAAACACUUAUGAUUUAGGCUGAUUUGGCAUUAUGUUACCAAACCCCUCCCCCCUUGGCGCUCAAAAGGGUUUUUUUUUUUUUGCAACCACACUGCAAUUUCAAACAGGACUUUUGUAGUUUAUAAUAUUAACUUUUACCCGUUAGUUUAAUCCAAACAAGAACACUUGUGGAGACUUAUGUACAAAAUAUACAGUUUAUUACAUAAACCUAACAAUAUAGUUUGCACACAAGUUAGUACAAAUGGUUUAAUGAUUAAUCAUCUCGCAAAUGACAAAAACCAUCAAAGAGGCUUCUUUAUCCACUUCUAAACAUACUCCCUCCCUUUUUUUAUAACUGACGUUUAAGAAAUUUGCUCUUAAGUACUUUUAUCUGUCGUUGUAUUAUCCCCAUGCAGCAUUAAUUAUUUUUUCACAAUUUUACCCUUUUAUCUCUCUUUUCAUAAUUGAUGAGAGUUGGUUUGCAUUGCUUUUGGCCUAGUAAAACAGCACCAUUUAAUACUCUAGUGAGAGAAAACAUGGGUGAAUUGAAUAAUUAAUGAGGGUACAAAAGAAAAGUAGUGUAUAGAUUUAAACAAUGAAAAACUUUUCUUAAUUGGUGUGCAAAACCUUAAACGUCAGUUAUAAAAAAAAAAGGGAGGGAGUAAUAAAUAAAUUAGUAAGUACACUAUGCCUAAUUUCAUUGGAGAUCUCUCUCUCUCCCUCUCUUUUGUGAGAGUUUCAAAAUUUUCUUUCUUUUGAAAUUUGUGCCUUGUCUUCUUCCUUUGGGAGUUUGAAGCUUCUAUUUGAAAAUCAAACAAACUUCCAAAGCAAUAAACACUUCUAAAACCCAAACAUAUCCAAAUUAAAUACAUUGAAGUACGAUAAUCCUAACUCAAUAAAUGGCGCUCUUAAAGGCAAAGACAAAAAUUCUACCAACUCCAAUCCUGAUUCGCGGAAAGAGGGUGUAAUAAACCAGCUAAGAAUUCAUUUUUGCUCCACUUUAUCUUGGCUUUAGUCUGGACAAGUAUUUCGAAGCAUAUCACCUAACAGAUCCAGUCUUGAACUUGUAGUACUCAUUUCAGCUAGCUUUUUCUAACUUUUUCAGAUACAAAAAAAAAAGUAGUAUGAAUAUCUAAAAAAGUGAAAAAGAAAAUAGCAUCAGUUUUUCUGGAAACUAAAGAGGUCAAAAUACCUCAGGGAGGAGGAAACAAAGAUAGGCAUAUCAAAUUACUGGUAAUGGUGAAUAUUUCUAAGCCAUUAAGGGAAGGUGAAAUGGAUAAGUUUUAAGUAUGAGAGAUGUCUUGACUUCUUUUAUAAAUGUGGAAGAAUAAGACAUAGUGAAAAAAAGUCAACUAGAAAACCAGUUCGGUCCAUGGCUUAGUGCAGGUAGUGGUAAAGAAUCACUCCAGAAAGAAUUGAGAGAACAAGGUAUCUCACAUGUUUCCCCAAACAAACAAAGAUGAGGAUUCAAAGAUGGGGAAUUGAUUCAAAAAUCAAGUGGAAAGGAGCUGACAAAGGUAGGAAAAACUAGCAAAAACGAGAUAGAAAUCAGAGCUCCAGAAAGAAGCUCCUCAAGCAGACAUGAAGAAAUUGUCAAGAUGGACAAAGGAAAAACAAAUGAGGAAGAGGCAAAUACGUACAGACUAGAUCACAGAGGAAAAGAUGAACAGAGAACAAAUGCUAUGGGAAAGCAAUGUUUAGAGGAGUUCAAGAAUGCACAAAAAGGAAUUUGAAACAAAAAAGGCAAGGUAAUAGAGGGUGAGGAAAUGCAAGUGGAUGGAAAGUUGGAGGCCCGAGGGGUGAAGAGUAAUCGGAAAACCACAAGAAGGACCAGAAAGCCAUUGAAAUGACCAACCAUCAUUAAACAACCAUUGAGAGAUAUACAAAACAAUGUGAAUACUUCAGAAAACUCAGGCAAAAGGAAGUUCCAAUUAGGGGUGCAAUCAAGUCAAGCCGCUCGCGAGUAGCUUGCGAACGGCUUGGUCAAAAGCUUGGACCGAGCUCGAGCUCGAGUUUGAGCUACUCGUUACAUUUAACGAGUCGAGUUCGAGCUCCAAAAAUAAACACUCGAGUGCUCGACGAGUUUAAUCGAGUUUUCAUACCAUAUUUAUAUUAUAUAUAUUAUAUUUAUAUUAUAUAUUUUGAGAAAAUAUUAUAGGUUUAGUUCAAAACUCGAGCUCGAGCUCGCGUAGAUCGGGUUUGAUAUUUACUCAAACUCAAAUGAGUCAAGCUCGAAUUUAAUUUUAUUUUAUUGAGUCGAACUCGAGCUCGAGUACUACUGAUUGUGAUCGAGUUCGAGCUCGACUCGGCUCGAUAGCACACCUAGUUCCAGUUAGUGGAUAAAGGUAUGGUUGAUGCAAAGGUGGGAGACAUGAUAGAUAAAAAGGUGAGAGUGGAGACAGUUCAAGAAAACUAAGCAAUUGUAGGAGAGGGGGUGGAGACCAGCCUAUACAGAUCUCCAAAGAACAAAUGAGGUUAUUGGCGUGGAAUUGUCAAGGUGCAAAGAGCCCCUUGACAAUUCCUCAGUUGAAGGAGGCUUGCAACCUCCUCUCCCCAAAUCUGAUUUUUUUUCUGUGAGACUAAAAAUAGACAACCUUUUAUGAAAAAAGUAAAAAGAUAGCUUAUACUAGAUGGAUGAUUGCAGUAGACUUUAAUGACAUCACUUCGAAUGAGGAAAAAUGGAAUGGAAGAAGAAGGGAAGCAGGAAGUUUCAAGAGUUUAAUGCUUUCAUAGAAAGGAAUGAGCUCAUUGAUCUAGGCUUUGAUGGUAAUCCCUGGACUUGGAGUAAUCAUUGGUCUACUAAAGGAGGGAUCAAACAAAGGUUGGAUAGAGCUUUUGGAAACAGUGCCAGGACCCAAAUGUUUGAUAGAGCUAGAGUCAAGCAUAUAGAGAAUCUUGGCUUAGCUCAUAGUAUGAUUUUUCUGGACUCCACUCCCCAACCUAAAAAGAGGAAAAAAAAAAAAAAAGAAUUCUGUUUGACAAAAGAUGGUUAAAAAAGGAAGGCAUUGAGCAGGUAAUCAGAAAUGCUUGAAAAAAAGAUCAGGAGGGGUCAAACAUGUACAGAGUAACAAGAAAAGUAGCAAAUUGCAAAGUGACUCUUCUAAAGUGGAAAAAUAAUUUCCAAGAAAAUGUUAGGCAAAGAAUAGAAAGAAUAAAAAAAUAGCCGGAGGACAUCAAAAAGUUUGAUUGCCAGGACAAAAAAGAUAGGAUACAAGAACUGAAAAUUCAAUUAAAAGAAUCUUGCAUGAGGAAGAACUUUUCUAGUUCCAGAUAUCAAUGAUGCAAUGGUUGAAGAAGGGUGAUAAGAGCACACACUUCUUCCAUUCCAAUGUAAAGGAUAGAAAAAGGAGAAAUAAACUGCAAAGAAUCCAAAAGGAGGACAAAUCAUGGGCUAACACAAAUAAAGAAAUAGGCGAGGAGGUGGGAAACUACUUCAAAGCUCUGUUCAGCAGUAGGGGAGUGGGUCACUUGGAUGUGAUUCUUGAAAGAAUACCACAUAUCAUCACAAACUAGAUAAACACUGACUCACCAAACCUGUAGAUAAGAAAGAAAUCAAAGAAGCAUUAUUUGCCAUGAAUUCAAACAAAUCACCUGGCUUUGAUGGAAUGACACCAAUGUUUUUUCAAAAUUUUUGGCACAUUGUUAAAACUAAAAUCAUCAAAGCCAUUAGAAGCUUCUUUCACUCUGGUAUCAUGUUGAGAGUUGUCAAUCACACCAUUAUCACCUUGAUCCCUAAGAUAGAAAGCCCCAUACAGGUCAAACAGUUUAGGCCAAAAAGCCUUUGCAACGUUUUCUACAAGAUUAUUUCUAAAAUACUUGCAAACAGACUCAAAAAUGUCUUAGAUAAUUGCAUUCACAAAAAUCAGGCAGCCUUUGCACCUGGAAGACAAAUUUUGGAUAAUGUUAUUUUGUCUCAUAAGUACAUGCACUAUCUCAAAAACAAAAGGCAAGGAUCUCAAGGUUUCAUGGUUUUGAAACUAGAUAUGUCAAAGGCUUAUGAUAAGGUGGAAUGGAGUUUCUUGAAAGCAAUCAUGGCAAAGAUGGUUUCUGUGAUAAAUGGAUUAACUGGAUUACGACUUGCAUCUCAACAACUUCUUAAGGUACAUUUGAUAAAAUUGAAAUUUCCAAACUGUAAUCUGAAAUUUGAAUUCAUUAAGAUAUUGAUUGUUAAGUACUAAAUCAGAUACAUUUGAAUGUAUAUUAUAUUAAGUGAUAAGUGAAUAACUCAUCACUUAUUUUAGAGAGCAAGUUUUGGCUAAAAAAUUCAGUACUACAUAAUUAAUUCAGAUAUUCAAUUUUUGGUCAUCAAACGAGUUUAAACAAGUUAAGAUCUGAAUUCAUUAAAUUUAAGUACUGAAUUGUGAUAUCAAAUGGGGCCUUGCUCUUUUAACAUAAAUGGAGAACCAAAAAGAUAUGUCAUUCCUUCUAGGGGUUUCAGGCAAGAUGAACCAUUGUCACCUUACUUAUUCCUCCUAGUCUCCGAAGUCUUCUCAAAUCUAUUGGCUCAAGCAAAGAAGAACAAACGACUGAUUAGAAUGAAAUUAAGCAGGAAUGGAGCCUCAAUCACUCAUCUUUUCUUUGCUAACCACUCACUAAUUUUUUUGCAAGGUAGAGACCAACCAAGCAGAAGAAGUAAUGAGAAUUCUAAAGAUGUAUGAACAAGGCUCAGGUCAUAUGAUCAAUUUGGACAAAUCAUUAGUGAUCUUCAGCAAGAACAUGGACAAGGAAAAGCAAAGAGAAAUCUGCAGAGGAUUGGGCAACAUACAAGUGGUGAAGCAAGGAAAGUAAUUAGGAUUGCCCAUGGUAAUUUCAAGAACUAAGGAACAGGUGUUUGGGUUCAUCAAAGAGAACUACCAAAGAACUGUGAAGAGUUGGAGGAAUAAAAUGCUAAGUCAAGUAGGAAGAGAGAUCCUCUUAAAAGCUAUCACUAUGGCAAUGCAAAUGUAUGCAAUGUCACAUUUCAAGCUUCCAGUAAAAUUGUGCAAAGAAAUAAAUGGAAUGAUGGCGAAUUUUUGGUGAAGGGAAGAGAAUGGAAAAAGAAAAAUUCAUUGGUGCUCCUGGAAAAAGCUCACAGGUGUGAAGGAUAAUGGUGGACUAGAAUUUAGAGAUCUUCGAAAAUUCAGUAAAGCACUGCUUGGUAAACAGAUAUGGAGGUUACUAACAUGCCCAAAUUUGCUGGUAAGUAAAUUCAUGAAAGCAAAGUACCCUCUCAAGGGCUCAAUACUGAAUUGCAAGGUGAAGAAUAAUGCAUCUUGGAUAUGGCAAAGUUUAAUGGGAGCAAGAAAAGAGGUAAAUAAGGGUGUUAAAAAGAAAAAUGAAAAUGGGAGAAGCACCAGAAUCUGGGAUGAUGCAUGGAUACAGGAUUAUAGGGGUGGAAAAUUAACUUCACUGAAGGCUCAUGAUUACAAGCUUGACAAAGUGGAAGAACUGAUCUCAAACUUUAGAUGGAAUACAACACUCAUUUUCAGGACCGUAAAAUACUUAAAAUACCUAUAAGCCUAGGAAGGCCAAACAUUUACUUUUGGAGUCACAGCAGCACAUGAUAGUAUAUAGUUAGAACUGCAUAUGAAGCAAUGACAAUCGAGGAAAAACAACAAGAAAAAAGGGCCAACAAAGAGGGAGAGACAAGCCUUGCAAGAGAGAGAGAAAGGGCAUGGAAACAGUUAUGAAAAACGAAAAUCAAGCACAAACAGAAAUUGUUCAUCUGAAAAUGCCUGAAUCAAGCACUGCCAGUUAGAGAAACAAUUUUCAGAAGGACUAGAAAAGGAGAACUAAUUUGCAAGAACUGUGGUGAGGAAGCUAAGACAUUGGAACACCUUUUCUUUCAUUGUAGAAAAGCCACAGAUAUAUGGAAAAUGGUCGCCCUCCAAUGGGAUGGAUUAUAUGAACAUAUAGGAAACUUCAACAGCUAGUGGAUAAGAUUGCUGGAAGCAAGGAGAAGGAAGAAUGGCAAGAAACACAUUGCUUUGACAGUGGACAUACCGUGGUAGAUAUGGAAGGUUAGAAAUGAAAGGGAGUUCAAUGACAAAGAGAGACACCCUAUGCAAAUAAUACGAAAAGCAGUGAAUGACUGAGAGGAGUAUAGACAAGCUCAAUACAGAUGAGCAUUUCAGAAACUGAAGUAGCCAAUGAACAAGAGCAAAGGUAUGCAGGAGAAGAAAGUACAUUGAAAAUAUGCGUGGAAGUAGAACAACACAAGAAAGGUCAAAACAUGGGGACUGGGAUAUCUACUGAAAACGACCAAAACCAGUUGCAGGCAGCAUGGAAACUAAGGGAAAGAAGUACUGGUUCUAUGAUUCUAGACAACCUGCAGGCCAUUAACUUGGCCCUGUAGGAACAAGGAUGGUAGUGUGUUAAAGUCCACGUAUCCUGUCUUCAAAUCCUAAACCUAAUAAAAAAAAACCAUCCUCAUGCAACAUCAGAAUUGCUACACACCUGGAGGACAUCAAGAACUUCAGCUCAAUAUUUAGGAAGUACUCAUUUGAUCGUCCAAAUGUUGAACAGAAUAGACUAAGUGAAAAAUUGAGCAAACUUGCUCAAAACAUAGCUUUUGAUAAGGAAUUCUUAGAUCCUCAGCCUCUUAGUACACUUUUGUAUUGCUCAUUUUGAGCCCUUGCUCAUUAAGUGUAUUAUACUUUUGCCAUUAAUGAUAUCUACUAUCGUUUCAGGAAAAAAGGAAGUACACUAUGCCUAAUCCUAGACCUUUAGGUGAGUGAUUUGCUUCAUGGACAUAUCAAUGGGAAAGCAACAGAAAAAGGGCGACUCAGAACACAAAAUUGGUCCUUGUCAUAAAAAUUUCACGAACAGUUUGUACAAAGAGGAAGGAAAAAUUACUAGUUCAGGGAGAUUGAUUGAAGGGGCGGUCAGAUUAUUGACAUAACUAGAUAUCGUCAUCAUCUAUGGUCUCUUCUAUGAUGUUAAUGCAACCUCCUACGGAUUUUCCCUCAGACAUAGCCUGUGCGAGUUUUGAUCUUGCAUCUUCAUGGCGACGCAGAA